AGAAGAAGAAGAAGUAUUGAGUCUUAGAGAUAAAGUUUGUUAAAUAUUGAGAGAAAAAAUUUUUAACCCAUAAUAGUUAUACCUGACUUGAGUAGGAUUGUUUCUGUGAUUGAUACUUGUGGUCUUUAACGUAAAAUAACUAAAAUUAAUUUAAUUUAUGAUAUUAUUAACAAAGUAAUUUAAACUAUUUUAUAAUGAAAAGUAUAUUUAAUAAAUUAAUUUUGAUAUAUUUUAUUUUAUAUUCAUGUUAUAAAAAUUUAAUAUUAUUAUAUAAAUAUUAAUCAACAAAAUUUUAGUAUAGGAACUUAUUAAACAUAGAGUUAAAAUAAUAUUUUAUAAUAAAUAUAUUAAUAAUUAAAUUUAAAUCAAUGUUUGUUUAAAAUUUUUGACUUCAUUAUAUAAUUAACUAAUUAGAUUUAAAUUAAUAUUUAUUUAACAAUUUCAACUUCAUAAUAAUUAUUUUUUCAAAAAAAGAAUAAAAAAUGUAAAAAAGUAAUAGAAAAAAUAUAAAUAGAAACAAAAGAAACAUAAUAAUAAAAGAAUUUAAAUAAAAAAGAAAAUAUAUAAAAAAUAACAUAAAAGAACAAAAAAUAAAGAAAAAAUAAAAAAAGGAAGAAAGGAAGAAAAAUAGCUGAAGAAAAGAAAAGAAAAAAAAAAGGAAGGGGAAGGGGAAGGGGAAGGGAGUGAAAAUAGCUGAAGAAAGAAAAAAAGAAAAAGGAAGAAAGAAAAAAUAAUAAGAAGUAAGAGAGAGGAAAGACCGUGAGAGAACGGAGCGAAAAAAUGAGGACAAGAGAGCGGGAAAGGUAUUUGAUGAGUAAGGAACACGUGGUCUGGCCUUGGGGGUUUAAGUUUAAGUAAUAUUUAUUUAUUUCAAUUUAAUUUAAAAUCCAUCAUAACUUAAUUUGCUAAAGAAUCUUUAUAUAUAUAUAUAAAGUUGAACACAGUAGUCUCUAUUUUCCCUCUUAAAGUAAGGAAUUUUUGAUCAUUUUUUCAAAUCUUUAAAUAUUUGAAAUCAAAACUGAAAUAAAAAAUUCAAAUCACAUCAAAUUAUUUAUCAUUACCAAAAACAAUUAUCUGCCAUCAAUUAUGUUCUAGUAGUAAAAUAUUAUCAAUUACGCAAAUUAUUUUCCUCUAUUCAGAAAAAGAAGUCUUAAUCGAAAAAAAGAAAUGAUUCGAAAAUAUUGUUGACGUACAAAGAAUUUUUAUUGUCCCCACUCACCCCACAAUAUCUUUGCUGGGGACAUUGACAUGUCUUUAAUAAUUGCAUCUAUAAGUGUCCCACAUAAAUAUGUUUAGAUUAUUCCUGCAGUCUAUACCUUAUUAAACGCUUCUAUACUCGAGUUUACAUAUAUAUCAACUGCACAACGAUUAUUUAAGUUUAAGAACUAAUGAUUUCGAAUUUUUUGAAUAUACAUACAAUAUUUGGAGAAAUUUUUUAUCGCAAUAAUAAUCUUACAAGACUUGGACGGGGUUCAAUCCCAUAGAACCGUAGAACUUGUGGACUAAAAAGAAUUAAACACUUCCAAUUCAUUGUCAUCCAUUGCAUUUUGGGAUCUUGAUCCUUUCCAUAAAUUGCUUGGUGCGGCUGUUAAAGAAAGUUUAUUUUCUUGCAUAUUAUCUAUAUAUAUACUCUGUAUUUUGGUAGGGCUGGUAUGAGGAUCAUAUUAAUAUAGAUCAGUUCAUGCAUAUAUGGUAACCUGUAAGCAGUAGUACAGAGAUAAAGUAAUCGUACGUCAAUUAAAAAUUAAUAAUAAAAUUUUAAUAAUUUCACAAUUUAUUAUACUUAUUUAUAUAUCUAAUAUCUAAUUUAGUCUUGUUAGACUAAUACACUUUAGAGAACUCCCUCUCCUCUCAUCUUAAUAAAGUUUUUAUAUAAAAAAUCUAAUUUCUAAUUAAAAAUUAAAAUCUAAUAUUAUACUUUUAUCGAUCUUUUAUAAUAUAUUUCUUAAAGAAUUAAAUUUUAUUAAUGACAAGUUUGCUUAAACAUGCAGCUAAGUGAAUUCGUAUGUAAAUCAUCCCUGCAUGAUUGUUUUUAUUAUUUUGAUAUAUCAGUUUUAUAGUGUUUAUCCUUGUAUAUACUCGUUCCCUUUUGUACCUUUAGCACAUCUUGUGCUGCUAAUAAUACAUAUUCAUUGUUGAUAAAUUUUUUUUUUUAUCAAAGAUGAGAAUGCAAUAAGCACACCAUAAAAAAAUAACAAAAAAUACAUAAUUAAUUUGACAUGAGUCGACACACUUUUUACUUAUGACCAUGAAAAUAUCUUAAUAAAUAUUUAUAUAUUAUCAACAUAUAAGAAUUACAAAUUUUUCGAAUAAACUUUAAAAACCCUCCUUAAGCACCCUACAAACUCAAGUUUCUUAUUUAAGAUUUAUAAAAAAUUAUAACAAUCUCACUUGUAAGAGAUUCUCUUACAUGCAUUUUUUAAGCUCAGAUCUUUUUUCUUUGAUACAUGAUUCUGUCUUUUUGUUGGUACAUGAUUCCUUUUAUAGUUAGGAUGAUUCUCAUUUCAAUUACCUUUAUUUAUAAUGAUGAUGAAUUACUUAAGAAUUGGAUAAACAUUGAUUAUUUUUUUUUUUUUACUACAUGAGUAUAGAUUAAUUACUUAUAAAUUUUGAAAAUUAUAAUUGACAUUCCCUAUAUGUAAUGGUUGGUCUAACAGUGAAAGGAGAAGAAAAUGAAAAAAAAAUAUUACAUGUACAAAAUUAAUAAUGCUAACAACUAAUAUUUAUCAAUAAAAAAAGAAAACAUACACAUUGUACUUGCAAAAGAGAUGGUUGUGGCUCAAGCACUUGUAGGCACGCACAUUGAUGAACGUCCAUUGCUAAAAAAUAAUGAAUUAGUGAUCAAAUUUAGUGAAAAAAAAUAUUUUUUUCAUAAGUAAUUUCAAGGUCACUAAAUUUUAGUGACAUUUAAAAAAAAAACUUAUUUAGAUUCUCUUGUCAUUAAUUUUAAUUUUUCUAGUAAUAUUCAUGUUCAACGAUAGGCCAUAUAUCACGUUCUCCGCAUACAUUUGCGCUUUCUAGCGAUGGAACUCAUGAUUUUCAUUUUCGACAGGUGUUGGAUCAAAAAACUUUGAUAAUUGAUACCAUCUCAAGAUUCAAAGUUAAUUUCUCCAUAUACAAAGAAGGGGAAGAACAUGAAACUGAGAUAGAUAGGCAAAGAACACAGAAUGUAAUUCCAUUAUUCGAAUAUAUGAUAAGAGAAAAUACAACCCCAGUUAAAAAAAAAGAGAGAUAAUACAACCCGCCUAUUAUAGGAUGGGAACUAACAUAUAAAAUAGAUAACUAUAACAACCUAACAUAAUUGAAUGACAAUUUAGUUACAACUUCCAAUCUAAUUAACAAUUAACAAAACAAGACAACUAAAUGGCAACAUUAGGUUAGCAUGAAUGAUCUCUGUGUUGCAAGCUCUAAACCUUGUACAUGCAUGUUGGCCUUUGUUUGAUGACAAAAUUCCCCCACCAUUUCAUAAAAAUGUCACCAUGAUAUCCUUUGAUCUAAUAGGAAAAAGGUAAAGCAUACCGAUGAUGAAGAUGUGUAAUUCCGAUUCUCCGUCACUAAUGGAGAAAAUUCGUCAACUUAUACCUUAUUCCUUUAUAUGAUUACUAUAUGGAGAAAGCUAGAAUGCCAUUAACUAGCAAUUUGAUCUUUAAUUAUUUUAUAUUGGGGGGAUAUUUGAAUGUUUCAUGUUUAUUUCCGCGUUCUUAUGUACUUAUGGGCACACAUUAUCAUUUGGGCCCGUUGUUCGUGGGAUGUAAUGAUUUUCUCCCGAAUUAAUUAAUUGUAUGAUCCAAAGUGUUUAUAUCCUUUUUUUUAGUAGUUCUUUUGUUAAGAAUUUUAUUUUACACACACUUGUCCCUUGUUUGCCGGAUAUAUUGUUUUUAGUGGAUCUAAAUGCAUUGUUCAAGUUGGCAAUAAGAAUUUGGACAAACAUCAGAAAAUGUAUGGGUGUGAACAUAAAAGAAAUCAACAACACACACAAUGUUUAGCAAAUACCCUUUACCAAAACAAGGAUAUUAAAUUUCCAUGUCGCUUAUUAUUCUCACAACUGAGUUCUUACAAUAAUAACAAAUGCCCGAUCUCAUUUCGAAGAACUUUGAUCAGCUACAAAAACAAAGCAAACAAAAUAUUAAAUAAAAUCAACAACAAUUUUUGCAUUUUAUUUCAUGCCAUACAUAGCAGUACUACCUAGCUGGUUGGCUUGUGUUAUAUUUCACUUGUAGAAGUGUCUGUUAUCUUGCAUCUGAAGGAGUUCCUCGAGCAACUUAUUAUCCAAGUACUCCAACUCAAAAGUGUCAUCAAGAUCACCACCUUGCAUUAUUUCUCCAGGUCUCACAAGGUGGUUAUUAUCAUCACCAGAAUAAUUAGAAGUGAAAGAAGAAGAAUAAGAAGGAGGAGGCACAAUUAGAGGCAUAGGCAAAGAAGAGUUUGGAUUAUGAGAUUGGUACUCAUUUGGGAAGUUGAGAAUUGCUCUAUGACCACGAAAAUGAAAAGCAGCAGCAUCAUAAGCUCGAGCAGCUUGUUCCGCAGUGUCAAAUGUUCCAAGCCAUAUCCUUGUCCCUUUUCUCGUAGGGUCACGAAUCUCUGCUGCAAACUUGCCCCAUGGCCUUCUUCUAAUCCCUCUAUACCGAACCUCACAAUUCCCAUUUGAAGCAGAUGAUCUUCCACCCUCCAUUGUUAUUCUCUUAGAACUUAAUAAUCAGAACCACAAAAAGUAUAGAAAGAAAGAAAGAAGGAAAAAACGUUGCUAAGUUAUUAUUAUCUGUGUUAGAUAUAAUGAUUACUAUGUCUUCUAGCUAGCUAAGUUGAGGAAGGUGUUAUAUUGGAUGGGGCUGGAUAUGGAUAUGUGAUAACAUCAUUAUAUAUUAUUUAUGUAUGCAUGUACGUGUUCUUGGUAUGAGGCUUGACCACAGGGUCGUAUUUGACGGUUUGAAAUUCAACUUGAAUAUAUUCUGUAAACCAUAAUAUUAAUUUUUAGUGUGUUGAAGUUGACCUUUCUGAGAAUAUAAUGUAUGACGAUGGCCAAGCACAGCGCAGGGCUUAUUCGCACUUGUAGUACGUUGCUAUGGCCAAGCACUUGGGUGCAUCAAUGUGCAUGAUAUAUUUUUUUAUUUAUGAAAAGAAAUUCACUGAUCUAACUCAUCUAAGUGAUAAGUAUUAUAUGCAUAUAGAUUAUAAAAUAUCAAUCAAAAUACAUAGUUUAAAAUGUAUAAAUCUCAUUUUUCAACUCUCUCAAUUAGGCAUUCUUAAUAGUAUCUCUAUCUAUAUAGAUGUGCAUUUCACACACUACUUAAGCAACUAACUAAAACAUUCUCCCAACCACCUCAAAAUGCUCAUUUUUUUAUAUCUUUGAUUUUGUUAAUUAUUUAUUCCUCUUAAUAUAUUAUCUUUUAUCUUUAUUUCUAAACUGAACUUCAAUAGUUUUUAAAACUGUUUAGAAUUGGAAAAAAAUUAUAUCUCAAUUUAAAUUGUUUACCAUAACUUCAAAAUGUUAUUUGUAUAUUUAAAAAUAUAUAUUUAUUAUAAGAUGAUUUAUAUAUUAAAAUAUUUAUAUGAUAUAAAAUUUAAUUGUAUAAAAAUAAAUCCUUAUGAUAUGAAAUGCAAGGGUUAAAAUAUUUAUUAUAUUAUAAUUUUCAAUGCAGUCUUUACACUGUUAUUAAUUCCUUAAACCAUCUUAAGAAGACCUUAUCUAUAAAGUUUCUUCCCUCAAACAAGUUGCAAUAUUCAACCGAUAAGAAAUACGAUGCAUUUAAUGUAAAACAGUAGAAGUCUUCCAUUCAAAGGGGUAAUAAAAGCCACUAUCUACCAACAUCGCAGACAGAUAAUUGGUUGAGACCAUUCUCAUACAUAAAAAUUUACUAUUUUUUUUUUUAAAAAAAUAGUAACGUUCUUUUAAAAAAAAUAGCAACGUUUGAUAAAUAUAUUAAAAUAAGACUAAACAUAAUAUAUAUAUAUAUAUAUAUAUAUAUAUAUAUAUAUAUAUAUAUAUAUUAUUUUACAAUUAAAUACAUUAUGAAACAUAAUAAAACAGAACAUAAAGUUAAAAAUAAUAUAUUUUGUUUUAGUAAAAAAAUUAAAAAAUAAAGCAAGACUUGCAAAACAAAACAUUUUAUUUCAUUUAUCUAUGCUGAGAUGACAACGCUUUGACAUAACCAAUGUAAUUAUUUAGAGUCGCCAAUUAAGAGUUUAGAAAAAGUGAGUUUUGAAUACGCCAUUGUUAGCCAAAACACAAAAGAAAGGUAGCAAGUUACCAGAAAGAAUCCUUUGAUAAUUUUAUGUGGUUAAGUAGGGAUUGUAUCAUUGUCAAGUAAAUUCAGUGGGAAUAUUUUAACAUAUAUAUUGUUCCCUAUUCAAUUUCAUCAAUCUUUUGACUUAAUUUUCGUUAUACUAUAUAUAAAAUUGUACACUAUUCUCUUUACGGCAUAAUUAAUUAUUUAAAUUACUUGCAAUAUCGUCCAAUCUAGCUUUGGCUGAUGUUCAGAUGACGCUUUACUACGACUAAGGUAACAAUUAAUCUUAUGUGGCUUGAAAUUGCCAAUGUGCUGAGCUGUUCACCUCCACAAAUAUCGUAAUAGAAAGACACGUGUGCGCUGCGUCCCAUUCAUCUUAUGUGGCUUGAAAUUGAUUUUGAUAAGUUUCGAUUUUAGGUUUAGUGUAUAUAUUUUUUUAUAAUAGAUUGGAAUUACAUUUUAGGUCAUUUUAAUAUAUAUUUUUUUAUCUGCAAAAGAUUAGUUUCUUAAUUUUGAGGGUCAAGGUUCAAACUGAUCAUUUUUUCCCACUCCUUCUCCUUUCAUUAUUAUUAAGUCACUCUUAUGAUUCUUUCACUUCAAUGAAUUUAUUAUUUUAUAUUUUUAAAUAUAUUUUUUAAAAAUAAAAAAUUAUUAUAUAAAUAUCUAAUUAUAAUUCAUGUAUAAUAAAUUAAUUAAUUUUUAAAAUAUUUUUUGAAUGAAGAACCUAAAAGCUCAUUGGUGGGACCGGAUCCCCCUUACAUUGCUGCUUUUGUCCUCGUUUGUAUUUGUUGGGCAAGCCUUUCCUCUUUACUGGCUUAGGUUGUCCCAGCCUGUUUCUGUUUUUGCGUGGGUUUGAUUUUGGUCCCCCAUGUUUAUUUUGCUUUGUUGUUUUUUCUUCACCUUUUUAAUAUAUUUCUGGUUGUGCUGUUUUUGGCACAACCAGUUUUGCUUAUAUAUAUAUAUAUAUAUAUAUAUAUAUAAAAAGAAUAUUAGCUUAGUACUACAUUAAUAAAUAAAGUUGGUCUGGUAAUGUCUCGUAAAUUAUUAGAUCAAGUUUAGAUUCAAACAAAUCUCUAUCAAAAUUAUAGGUCAAGUAAUUAAAUUUGAGCUCAAUGCUACUUUUUUUGUGUGAAUCAGAUGGGCUAACGCCCCAAGAGAGAAAAACAGUUGCAGAAACAUAUGUUAAUACAACGAGAGAGAUAAAAGUCAAAUAAAAUCAAACAUCCUCUGACCAUAAUUUGUCAAUAGGUCAGCAACUUGAUUCGCUUCGUGCAAGGUAUGAGACCAUUGUAAACUCCCUCCAAUGCAAAUGAAAUGAAGAAUCCGUUGAACCAUAUUGGGCCACAUGUAAUUCCGGAUAGCUGUGAAUUAAAAAAUAAAAAAUAAAAAAUUAAUCACCACCUGAGAAUCAGAUUCCAUUGUCUGAAUCCUCUACUCCAAGCAAUUUCAAUACGAAAAAAUGGGGGAGAUAUGAUAUUUCUUUUGUAAAUUUCAAAUUUCCAUUAUAAGCUUCGAUCAAGACACCGCAUAACUACAAGAAAAUAAUUUAUUGGUCUAAGCGUUACUAAAACUUUAGGGAUGAAUUUUUAAAAUUUACAUAUAAAUUGAUUCAUCACUAAAGUUAACCUUUUUUUAAGCACUUCAAAACAAUUACUAUUUAAGUGUUUGCCAUCAUAAAAAGUGAGAGAAUGUGAAGUAUGCUUGAAAGAUGAUGAAGGACUUGAAGAUCUUUUGAAUCUUGAUGAUUGACCACCUCACACUAGGUGUGAUGGUUUGAUGUAAUUUUUUGCUUAUAUGUGUGCGAUGUCUCUUAAAGUUUUUUUUUUUUUUUUGCAAAAAAAAAUAUAUGGCUUUUAAAACAAACAACAUUAGAAAGGAUACCAAUUAGGUUAGCACUCUUGUUAUUGCUGUUGGAAAGCAACACAACCAAUAAUAUAUUCCAAUAGAAAGAAAGACAAAACACGGGGGGAGGGGAAAUUAGACCAUGGAUAAAACACUAGGUGUCGCUUAAAGUUAUUAAUUAGCUUCUCUUAUGUCUAAUCAACGCAAUUUUGAAUUAACAUUCUCUUAGGUGUUUGAUUAUUUUUUAUUUAUGAUAAACAUUUCAUAUUGUCAGUCUUGUGACUUAUGCUAAGCCAAUGCUAAUUCCAGAUUUAACAUUGACUUUUUUCUUAUCAUUACAUUUAACAUUUAACAUUCACUUUUGCACUACAGAUUUGAAUUUUGACCAGCUUUUUUUUUUUUUUGCAGUGACUACUAUGGGUUACACUAAUUAUUACAUCAUGCUUUUUUUAAAGAAUUUUAUCCUAAAACCUAUUGUUGAAUUGAUUCUUUUCUUUUCAAAUCGAUUAUAUCUACGAAAUCUUGUAUUAAUAUACAUUAAAAAAAUGGCAUACGUAGUAUAUGCUUUAAAAAAAUAUAAACAUAUGCACUCUUUGGUUACAUAUUUAUAGUUGCUGAUUUUUUACCCCAAAAGUCAAAAUAGUAUAUAAUUAUUAUAAUUAACGGUUGGAUCGAUAAAACUAUUGAUAGUGUAUUAGCAACACAUUCUUAUAUGCCGUUUUCAAUACCUCUUCUCUUAUUGGUUAAAAUUUAUAUUGGUAUUACUAGUUAUUAGUUUUGAAAUAGAACACACAAAAUAGAGAAUAAGACUCAUUAUUAAAAUAAUAUUCCCUAGCUAUGUUCUAUAUAAGACUCUCUUCAAAAAAAUUACUUGUCCAUUUUAUAAGACCUUUUCUCUAAUUUUUUCUUGUAUUAAUUAUUUUUUUAAAAAUAUUCUUAGUUAAAAAAUAAAUGCUGAAAAUUAAUAAGAUAAAUUCUUUCUCUCUUAUUAGAAUUGAAGAAGAUGAAUAGCAAUUAGGUGGGAAGUAAUCAAGUAGAAAGAGAAAUAUGAUUAAUUUUAAAAAUGCUUAAAUAUGUUUUUAAUAUCACUCAAGUUAACAUUUUUUUUUGUCUCAGUAAGUUCAUUUUUCUAAUUUUAGUUUCUAUAAGUUGAUAUUUUCUCUUAUUUUGAUGUAUGUAAGUUUAUUUAUUUAUUUUUAAUCCUUGUAAAUUUGUGCUUUUUUAAUUUUAGACAUUUAAGAUUUUAAUUUUUCAUUUAUAGUCCAUAAGUUUGUGCUUACAGAUACUAAAAUUGGAAAAAUGCCUUUAUAAGGACUAAAAAUAAGUAAAAUAUCUUAUAGGAGGCAAAAUUAAAAAAUCACAAACUUAAAAGGACUAUAAAUAAAUAAAAAUUUACAAGGACCAAAAGUGAAAAAAUACGAACUUACAGGAACUAAAAACAUAUUUAAGUCUUGCAAAAAAUAUUGAGGGCAAUUUUGAAAGAGAAAUAUAAAUUAUGAUAAAUUGUCACUUUCACCCCUGAAAGUGUAAUACAAUAACAAUUUAAUCCUUGAAAAAACGAAAAGUUUUGAUUUUGUUGUUAAAUGUGUAAAAAGUGAGACAACUAUACAUCAUGUUCACAACUUAAUAUCAAAUUGAUACCUAAUUUUUAAAACUCAAUAAUGUUAAAUUGAUUCUCAAAAAAUAUAACUUAAUGUUAAAUUAGUACAUAAACAUUACAACUUAUUGCCAAAGUCGUCCACAAAACUUGACAAAACAUAAUUGUCAUAUUUUUUACACAUUUAAGGACUAUAAAUUAAAAUUUGUCUUUUAAUUUUAGAAACCAAAUUGUCACCUCUUUUAUACUUUUAGUGAAGAAAGUGACAAUUUUUCCUAUAAAUUAUUGACAAAUUUAAUAUUACUAACCAAAUUAACCAAGUUUUUAAAAAGGUUAAUUUAAGGAAGUACGACCCCCUAAAAAUAAAAGGUUUAAUUGUACUUUUGGUUCGUCAAGUAUUGUAGUUGGUUGAGUUUGGUCUCUCCGAUUCUAACUGUGCAAGUUAGGUACUCUAAGUAUUGGUUGGCAUAUCAGUUUGGGGUGAGGAUACAUACCUUAUUAAGAGCUGGUAUAUCAAUUUGGAGGGAGGAUGGAUACCAUAUUAAGAGUUGGUAUGUUAGUUUGGGAUAAGGAUGAAUAUCUUGGUAAAGAUUAUGAUCAGAAGAGUGAGAAUAACGUUUUGAGGGAAGAUCCUAUAGUAUGAGAAACCUGGUGAUGAUUAUAGUGACUAUAGUUAUGAACCCAAAGGAAAACCUUGUUACAUCCUAGCAGUGAUCUACACCUUCCUACGUUUUUGGGAAAACAUUUUGAGAUGUUUGUUAGACAUCGGAUGGGUGUGUUGUUUGAAAAACCUAGUGUAAAAGUGCUUUGAUGUUUUAGAUCUUGUUGGAAGUUUUGAUUUAUCAAUGUUUUUAUGUGAUUGAAAGCUCAUUGGAAAAUGGAUUAAAACGUGGUUUAUGUUUUUAAUUUGUUGAAAUUUUAAGUUCAACCCUUUUGUGUUUUGAAAGCUCUCUUUUGAAAAAUGGAAUUGCAUGCUUUAUGACAAAAUGAGUUUAACCUUCAUGAAGUUGUUUGAUUCAUGUUUUGGAAAGGGAAUAGAUUUAUGGUAAAGAUCAUAUUUUUAUGCAAAAAGGUACACAGUACUAGCAAGAUGAAAAAUUAGUUAGAGACGUUCUAUUUGGGAGGAUUAAGGUUGGAGAAUUUGGAUAAAUCACUCGGCAAAAAGGGAUUACUUGACCAAACGAAAAACUGGGAAGGAAAGUAUCACUAUGGACUUUAUCCCACACAAGUCUAGAUCAGCUAGGGGAUUGUGAUACUAUAUAGGUGUUUGUCAAUAGGUUAAGGAAGUGUGCUCGCUUCUUACAACAAACUAUAGAGAAGAUCAAGUUGAUUCAAGAAAGGAUGAAAGCAUCACAGAGUCGAUAAAAGCCUUAUGCGAACAUGCGGCGAAGACCACUAGAGUUUGAAACGGAUGAUCAUGUGUUUGUGAGGGUUACACCUACAAUGGGUGUAGAAAAGGAAAUCAAGUCCAAUAAGCUUACUCUGAAGUUCCUUGGACCUUAUCCGAUUCUCAGACAUGUAGGUCCUAUGGCUUAUGAGAUGGUUUUGCUACCUUUCUUAGCCAACCUACACAAUAUAUUUCAUGUUUCACAAUUGAGGAAGUAUAUUCCAGAUCCUACACAUGUUUUAGAAGUGGACAUAGUGCAAAUGUGUGAAGAUUUGACCUACAAGACUCAACUUGCAAGAACAGAGGAUCAAAGGAUCAAACAACUUAGAGGCAAGACCAUCAGUUUGGUCAAGGUAAUAUGGAGCGACAAUACGGGAGGUAUGACAUGGAAGCUUGAGGACAAGAUGUGUGAGCAGUAUCCGAGACUAUUCCCUAAUCAGUGAAUUUUUUAGGACAAAAAUUUUCUUGUUGGGGGAGUAUUGUAACAUUGUGUUUUCAUAAUUGGUUGUUCAAGUGAUUUAAUUAAAAUUGUAAGAGUAAUUAAAUUUAUAUUUGAGUGUCUAUAAUUAAUUAAUGAUUGUUGUGAUGGUGCUUUGCUUAUAUUUGUAUGUGUUCAGUGAGUUUUUGGUGAGUUUGAGCCUAGAGAAAUAUAGGCUUGUGAUGGUUAGUGAAAGGGGUGUGAGUUUAGCAUAUACUUAGGUGUAGGAAGGAAAAACCUUUUAAGCCCUACAUCUCCCUAAAACCCUUUUUUGUGUUGAAACUCUCUCUCUCAACACACCUUUCUUCGCAAUUCUCUCUUCUCCAAGAAAUCACUAUUAGAGAACCUUGAACUUUGCUGUUAUGCAAAAAAAAAGGCUAUUUCUCCUCUCUUUAGUGGUUCUUGAUUGGCCUUAGGUGAAAUAAUUUCCCCUUCUUCCUCUCCCUAAGUUAAUUUUCAUUUUUCUUAGAGCAACCAUGCACUUUCAUGGAAAAGCUUGAUUUUAAGGGGUUUUAAUUCUAUUUUUGGUUGACUUUGGGGUUGGGUUGAUGCUGGUAUAGUGUGGUUGUUGUAGGAUUGAAGGAAAGUUCUUCACUUGGACCCAAAGCUCACUUUUUUUUCCUUUCUUUUUCAAAGAGUCGUCAUCUAAGGUUUAUGUAGGAAAGGGAAGCUUUAUCAUUUUCUAUGCUUAGGUUGUUGUAAAUUAAUUUCAAGGUUGUUGGAAAAUAAAUCAUGUUUUUUAAAAAAUGAAAAUUUGAGCAUUUGAGGUUUUGAGUUUUAAAAUUUGGAUUCUUAUUUAUUUGAUGAAUAUUGAUUAAAAGUUCCUAUUUGUGGAGUGUUUUGAUGUUGUUUAUGUAUUUGGAAUUGAUGGAAAAGAGUUUGAGUUUGUUCUGGGAUGAUUUGGAAGUCAUAAGAGACAAUUCUACAAAAAUUUUGAAAUUCUACAGAAUUUGCGACUAGUGAAUAUUUUCGCGUCCACUAUCCAUUGUCACAUCCAAUGUCUAGUGUCACAUCCAAUGUCCAAUGUCACGUCCAAUGACCAUUUUCACGUCAAACAUCCAGUGUCGUGUCUAGUGAUCAUUUUGAGUCUGAUGAUCAAUUUUGAGUCCAAUGAUUAGUUUUGAGUCCAAUGACCAUUUUGAAUCCGAUUAUCAAUUUUGAGUCCAUUGAUCAUUUUGAGGCUAGUGAUUAGUUUUGAGUCUAGUGAUUAAUUUUGAGUACAAUAAUCAAUUUUGAUAUGAAUGUGAUUAAUGUUUGUUUUCCUUGCAUAAAUUAACUAUUUUGAAAUCUUAAUGAAUUUAUGAUGAUAUGAGAUGGGUUGAGAUGAUGUUAUUUUAAUAUUAGAGUUGACUUUAUGUUGAUAUCAUGAGAAUCACAUUCGUAUGAGUUUUUGGUGAGUUGUUUGCAAGAAUUCAAAGAUGUUGAAAUGUCUUGCUUUACUUAUUGAACUAUAGGUGGGUUCAUGAGUGUGAUGAAUGUAUGAAUAGUGAUUCUAUGAUGUUAUAACCUCUUUAUGAUAUUGAGAUUGGUGAAUGAAUUUGUGAUAAUGUAUGAUAUUGAUUUGAAUUAUCAUAACAUACAUGCAUUGAUGAAUGACAUUACAUGUGAGUAGACACGUAAGUUGGGAGUGCUAAGAAUAUCCUCAACCUAGUGUUGGAGGUUGUCGUGGUGGCUAACGUUGAAGGGGCCUAUAGAAUGAAUGGGUGGACAAAUCCCUAGAUAGGUUAAGGUCUUUGCAAGUCUUACCAAGGUAAGCCACUAUCCACACUCAUCCAUUUUCGAUAAAAUCACACUUCUUCUACAGGGUUAAUUCAAGUUUCCUUGAAUGGUCAGAUCAUAGAGUGCGACUAUGUUAAAGAAUGCACUUGGAUUAACCACUCAAAAGGGGAAAUCUUUCGAGAGUAAGGAGUCAAAAUCUUCUGGGAGUAAGGAGUCGACAUGGCAUAACAUGAUAGCUAGAUAUGUACAUUGAUAAUUGUGACUUGAGAAUGAUGUGUUACUUGUGGAGUUGUAUUAGUACAUGACUGUUGGGAAAAUGGGGGAUUUCUAUAUCUCUUUUAACAUAUUGAUCUUAUAUUUAUUUUAUAUAUUAUUUUUUUAAAAUGAGCUUACCCUUGCGUUUUUUGUUGAGCUAUGAUGAUUGUGUCAUUUGAUAUGAGAGCAUAUUAUGAUGUAGUUUUUUAGGAGCAUGUCACUCAUGGUUGAUGUGUACUUGGUGGUAGACUUAGGGGUGAGAUUCGACUCUAUCAUUUAUUUAUGUUUUGUCUUGGUAGGUACCUACUUAGUGUUUAUAUAUUUUCAUGGAUCUAUGUCGUAUUUAUUUCCUAAAUUGGACCCUUGAGUUUUGUUUGGAGAUUUAUUUUUUAUGUUUGAUGAUUUAGUGCCUUGGAACACACUUAUCUUUAUGUUUUACGACUGAUCUUUUAUGGAUGAAGUUUAUAUGAUACACUUGUAUUCUUGAAAAAAAAUUACAUAUAUUUUCAUUUAUUAAAUUAAUUCAAGAGUUUUAAAGGAGAUAAAAAUAAAUUUUUCCACAUUAAAGUCUUAAUGUUUAACGUAAUGACAUUUGAGGUCAUUACAAGUAUGACAUAAUUGAACUUUUGAUCUCUCAAAAUUGUGAUACCAGAGGGAUGAAAAGUUUAAUUAAUAAGUCACAUUACUAUUUGUUAGGAAAAUUAUUAAAAAAAAUUGACAGAAAAAAAAUAUCAAAUUUGCAUUACUAAUAUUACAAUAACUAGAGAACAUAAUUCACAUUUUUUUUUUGAAAGGUCCUAAUUCACAUAAUUAAAAUUUGAUUGACCAAAAUAACAUAAUUACGAUAUUUUGGUAGAUGAAAAAUCCAAUUAAGCCAAAAAUAAAAAGGAUCUUACCGACAUUUUUUUAUAUAUAUAUGCAUCAACUUACGUAUCUCGAAGCUCAUUCUGAUCAUGGUUCUAUCUCCUCCCUCCUUCACAAAUAAUGCGACGAGAUACAUUAUACAUUCAACAAAGGCUUCUAUAUGUUAUUCCUCUUGACUUUGAAUUUUGAAAUUGAGUCCGGACGAUCUGGUGGACCAGCUGAUCCUUGUCUGAAGCAAUUGUUAAAUGAUAAAACCAUAUAUCCGUCCUUAUCAGUGAAAUGAAAUGUCAAAUAUGUUCGUUGGUGACAAUGCAAGUUGUAGAGAUCAUAAAUGCAAAGAUGCAUGUAUCUUCUUCCGUUUAUAAACAAUUCCAAACAUUAAAUAGCAGCAAGUGGCAGAUGCUUUAUUACAAGUUGCUGAUCAUAGACGCCCAACAAAAAAAGUUUCAAUCAUUCAUAUCUAUAUCAAUCGUCUGCAUUCUCUUAAUAUUUUUAAAAUCAUUUAAACGGUAUCCAUUAUGAAUCUUUUUCAUCUUUUGAUCAUAGAUAUAAUGAUUAAAAAGAAGAGCGUUGAUUUUCCUAUAUAUAUAUAUAUAUUACUUUUGUCUUCCAGAAAAACCUUAUUUUAAAAUACCUAACAUCAGUAAGAUUUGAUGGUUAAAUAAAUUUCUUUCUAGCAACAUCUCAUGGUUAAAACUUGUAGAACUUUAUACAGUAAUAUCAACUUUCGUGUGAAGAAAAUUAAAUGAAAUUUAACAAAGGUUUGACAUAAUACAGUGUUAAUUAACUCGUAUAUAUAACUUCUAAGAAAAUUAAAAUUAACUCAUAUAUAUGCCCUUAACUUGGAGCUACGGGGAAAACAGGGCACGCUGGCGGCUGAUGUGACAUGUAGCAUGUGUUUUGGGUCCCAACUGUUUAGGGCAAGAAAAUUGGAAUUCACUAAUUUAGAUAAGACAGAGGCAGGUUCUUCGAACGGAAAUGUCACGCAGACACCGGAGUGCACUCAACUAUAUUCUCAUCCUAUGGAGUGAAGUCAUAUGAAUACAGUGUUACAUUAUGUACCUCUUAAUUUAAAGUAAUUAUGAGAAUGUUAAUUUAGUCUUCUAGAAUUAUGUACAUUAUUAUAUUAGUUUUAGAAAGAUAUUUGUUUUCAAUUUUAUUUCAUAAAUAUUUAUAUUAUUUUUUGACAGGAAUAGUUCUAUUAUUAUUACUAUGUUAGUCCUUUUAGAAUUUUAUCAUUUAAUUAGUCACUAAAAAAUUAAGAUAAAAUGGGUUUUUGGCAUUUUAAAUUUUAUGAUGUGGAAUUAGUUUCCAAAAAAUUAACCCAUUCUAUUUCAGUCCUUCAAAAUACAAAACCAAUCACUAUUAGAGGGACACAACAUACUUUACCAAAAACUUAAUAUAUUAUAAUAUUAGUCUUUAAAGGUAUAAAAUGUUACCACUUUUAAAGGACAAGUGUAAUAAUACAUACAAAUAUGAAGGGCCAAAUUAAAGAAUUUACAUUAAUUACUAAUGAGAAACUGAUAGAUAAAAUAUUUAAAUAAUUCUGUUUUAUUAUGUUAAGACUUAAAUAUAUGUUUGUCUAUAUAAAAUGAGAUAGUUUUAAUUUUGACCCAGCAAAAAAAAAAAAUUGUUUUUCAUUCCUCUGAAAUUUAAAAUGACUAUUUUUUGUUUUUAAAUGGGUGGUAUUUAGUUUCAGUCCUUAUGAAAAAAUUAUUUGAUUUUCAUCCCUCCAAAAUCUGAAUUUUCAAUUUUUUAUCCCUAAAAUUCACUUCUAAGAUAGAUAAAUAUAUAGCACUCACUUGAGAAAAUGAAAAGGUAUCGCUUGCUAACAAGGAACGGGACAUUAAAAGCAAAUUAAUUUCCCACUUACAGGGCGUAUGCAACAUUAUGGUGUGUGGUGACAUUAGUGGUGUGUGUGUCAAGUCACAAGUGAGUGUUUGAGACAAAGCAGCUUGUGAGAGUGAGAGUGACACUCACUCAGUCUUCCUUUCUUAUGAAUUCAACACUCACGCGCCUCUCAUUAGAGGACUCGCCAACCUCCCUUCUUCGCCCUCUCCAGUUGCCCACGUUUUUUUAUUAUUUCUUUCACGCACGUGACUUUACCAAUUAGUUCUAGUACCUUCAAUUUUUUUUUAAUUAUGUUUAUUACUAUUUCUAUUCUUUAGAUCAACCACGCCAGCCUUAUUUUAGUUUAAUCAAUUAUUUUGAAUUUAAUUUUUAAAAAUAUAUUUGUAUUAAAUAGUUUAAAGAAUUUUUUUACUGCUUAUGUCUAUUUUACCCGAGUCAAAUUAUAUUACUUCAAUUCAAAUAAAAUAUAAUGAGAGAAUAUAUAUUUGAUUUUUUUUUUGUAAAGUUUAAUUUUUUUUAUCAAUAACAAUUAUAUAUGAGUGAAAUUAAUUUCUAAUUCAGUAGGUUAAACAAUUUUAUAUAAGACACAAGACAAAAGAAAAACUCAUAAAUUAACAUUUUAUUAAAGAGUGUAUUUAAUUUAAAGAACUUGUCUUGUAAAAAAAUUAAUACAAAUACAUUUAAAUUAAAAAAAAGUAUUAAAUAUUUUGAAAGUCCUCACAAAGUAGAAGAACUUCUUUUAAGGUGGUUUAACAUUUCCUUAGAUCCUUAGGGCAUAUAUAGGUCCGCUCUUUAACAGUAGUGUUCAAUAACAUAAAAAGUAGAUAUCCAAAGACAUCCUCCUUGACCAAGAUUCCAACUUUACCUUUAGUAUAAUUCAUCUAUUCAUUUUUUUAUUAAUUCCUUUUAUUUAUCCAUUAUCCAUGGAUCUUUUUGGUCAUCAUGUUUCCUUCUUUUCAAUUGAGUAUAUAAAGGAGGCAAGCACCCCAAACAUUUGUUCAAGCCCACAAAAGCAUACCACACAGUCUCACACAUCAAGAGGAGAGGGAAAGAAAGAAAAAAAACAGAAAAACAAAACAGCUGAAUUUGGUGUCUAGUCUACAUUAAGAUUGUCAAGAGAUGGAUUUUGAUUCAUCUUUCUUCCAAUACCAAAACUUUAACUCUUCCUUUGUAAAUUCCUCUGUUUGUGCAGAACCAUUUUCUUGGGAGAACUUUCUUUUCUUCAAUGAAGAAAACACCACCACCACCACCCUUAAUUCCUUCACCAUCACUGACCACUCCUCACAAUCACGAAUCAAGGAAUCAUCAUCCUCAGAUUAUUCCAACUCUUCGGGCUCCUUGGUCAGCACUGAGUCACAACUAGAAGUCUCAUCCAAUUUAACUCAUGCAAGCCAUCAACUCGAAACACAUGCAUCACCACAACCACCAAAAGAAGGUAACAAAGACAAGAGACCCUUCAGAGGAGUGAGGAGAAGGCCAUGGGGAAAAUUUGCUGCUGAAAUAAGAGACUCCACAAGAAAUGGGGUCAGAGUUUGGAUUGGCACAUUUGACACAGCUGAAGCAGCAGCACUGGCUUAUGACCAAGCUGCUUUGUCCACAAGAGGGUCCAUGGCAGUGCUGAAUUUCCCAGAAGAAGUGGUGAGGGAAUCACUCAAAGACAUGCAGAACAAUAAUAAGCCAUCAUUGGAAGAUGGUUCCUCUCCAGUGUUGGCACUCAAGAGAAAACACACCAUGAGGAGAAAAUCCAAAGCCACUAACAAAAAAACCAAAAGGGGUCAUGGAAUGGAGUUAGAAAAUAUUGUGCUUUCACAAAAUGUGCUGGUCUUGGAGGACUUGGGUUCUGAGUACUUGGAGCAACUUCUCAGCUUGACUUCUUCUGAUGAUGAUUUCCUUUGCUAGUAACUAAUUAGUUUAAUUUAAUUAGGUAAUUUCCUGCAUUUGAAUUUUUUUCAUUAAUUAAUUUAAUUAGGUAAAUUUGUUGUUGUUGGCAUUCGGAUUCGCCACGUUUCAUCAUCUCUCUUUUGGUGGUGAUUUGUUUUUUCCGGUGUCGUCAUAAAGUAAUGAGAGAGAGAGAGAGAGAAGAAUGAAUAAGGAGUCCAAUUGUAUAAACAAAUGCCAUCAAGGAAAAAAAAAAAUCAAACAAUUGAUGUUGAAAUUUCUGACCAUGCUUUCUUGUACUCGAUGGAAUUCUUAAAUGAGGGCAGAGGGAUGGAAUGGUGAUCGAUGACAUUGACUGCCACGUUUAAUUUUUCCCUUAAUUAAAAACUUAGUAAUUAAAAUGUCGGCUUAAAUGUUUUUAGUCUUUAUAAAGUUAACAAAUUUUGAUUUUUGUCUAUAGCUAUAAUUUAUUUUAUAUUUUCAUUUUUCUAAAGUUUAAAAAAUACUGUUUUGGAAUCCUUCUAUGAAAUAAGUGAAUUUUAUUUUAGUUCCACUAAAAUAUUCUUCUUUAAUUUUCAUCUCUUCAAAAUUGAAAAUAAUUGAUUGUUUUGGAUCUCUAACAUUCAUUUUGAGAUAACUAGAUGAUAUUUAUUUAAAAGAUUUUUUUUUUUUCAAAAAAUAGAAGUAUCACAUAUGUUGACAUAAUACUAGAUGUCAUCUGAAAUGGUUAUUUAAUCUUUCGUUAAAAAUAUAGAUAUAUAAGAGUGAUAUCUAAGCCCUUAAAAUGUUAUAUAAUUAAUUGAGAAUUUUUUUGAUUAAUUCUUGUACGUACAAGAGAAUUUUGUUAUCGACAAAUUUGUUGGAUAGUUUUGUAUAUAAUAAUAGUUUUGAUGAAAAUAAGUCUUGUAUUAAUAAUAAGAUGAGGAGUAAUUAAAUUAUUUUUUAAUUAGAAUCUUUAUCUUUUAUUUUGAUAAAAAUUAUGGGAUAAAUUUUUCACCUUGCCGGUUAGUCCAACCUAUAUAUUUUUUUUAAUAUUUUGAUUUUUUUUAAUUAGUGUUAGUCAAAUCUUAUCUACUAUAAAAGACAAAAUUUUUCACCUUGCCGGUUAGUCCAACCUAUAUAUAUAUAUGUUUUUCUUUCUUCACCUUUUCCUCAUCCUUUUGUCUGAGACUAAGUUGAUGCGAUUUAAUUAUAUGUUAUUUUGUCAUUCAUUUUAAAAGAGCUUACUGUACUUUAGAAAAAUUUCACAACUAAAAGUUAGCAUUGUGAGGUGAAUAAACCUUCAAAACAUUGCUAACACAUACCUCUAUAUAUAAAAAUCUUAUCCUCGUUUUUAGGUUCAAACCAACCCAUGCAAGUGAUGAGUAUAUACUAAUAAAUCUAUAUUAUGUUGUUAAUAUAUACCUCAAUAUUUCAAAUAUAUUUUAUAAAACAUAAACGUGGAUAUGAUUGAAAAAGUAAAAAUUAUUUUUUUAAUCACUAUGAUGAUAUCAAAUUUUGGUUUUAAUAUUUCUAAAAAAAAUGGUUAGUUUCCUAAUUAUUUUUCAAAACUGAAUACUUUCGGUAUCUACAUUAAUUGUUAUACAUCUAUUAAUUAAUUACAUGUCACUUUUGACUUACUUAUAUGGGUUGAAAGUCCUUUAACACAUGAGUAGUUAAUGAAUUUGUUGGAAAAAAAAAUAGUACUCACUUACGAAAUUAAACAAAUCAAAAAUUAAAUUUUAUAUGUAUUGAAACUAAGAUUUCACAUAUAUAUAGAAUCCAAAAAAAAAAUUACGAACUAAAAUUUAAAUAUGUAAAAUAAUUAUAAGGGUGAAAGAGAGAGGAAAAUAUAUAUCAGGAAAAGGCACAUGCCAUUCGAAUAGAAACGUAUAAUAUAAACAUAAUCCACCCAAAAAAUAAAAAUAAAAUAUAGAAGCAGGUCAAUAUAAAACAAGUUCAAAAAACAUGAUUUAGCAUCUAAACAACCUAUCUUAUACGUCUUAUUAUUUGAAAAGAAAGAUGAAGAUGUGUGUUGUAUCGUGGAACUCUAAUAUGUUCUUUUGUAAAAAAUAAAAAAUAAAAAAUAGCUUCACUAAGAAUUUGACUCCAUAUAUAUACAUAGGGAAGUUUGAAAAUAAUUUUCUGAAUAGUUGGUGAUAUAUCAGCAUAAUUUAGUUAGCUCCAAUAGUUAUAGUUUUGACGUUAUAUAUUUCUCGUUUAUCGCGUGAAUCGAAGCCUCUCACCAAACCCUGCUAGAGUCAAAUUCAUCAAUUUUGUGCCAUACGCCUACAUUUUUAUGAAUCCUUCCAGAAGCAAUAUUAGUCUUUUUAUAGUUUCCAAUCCAUAUUUAUUCAAACAAAAUUUUCUAAAGGAGUAAUCAUUUUUUAAAAGAGACAGAUGGAAAGGCAUGUGGAGAAGUACAAUUAAAAAAGAAAAAAGAAAACCUGUUUGUUUAUAUUUGUAUAAUAUUCUAACAAAUUUAUUAUAAAAGAAUUUAUCAUCAUAAUGAUUUUAGAACUUGAGGGUUUAUUUUUAAUAUUUUAAAGUGUAGUUGAAGGUUUGCUGAGAAACUUUUGGCUCCACGUACUGUUUUUUUUAUCAGCCAAAAGAAACAUAUAUCAUUAAAAGCACCACUAUUUUUUUAUAGAAAAAUUAAUGCCACUAAUAAUUUAUUGAAGUAAUUUUGUGUCAGUUUAUAUACUUUGCAAAUUAGUAAAUUAUUAUUUUUACAGAAUUAAUUAGUAAAUUCAUUUGUUCUUUCGAAUUUUUAUCUUCUUGUUAUUGAACAUUCAACAAAUAAAUUAGACUGAAUUUAUAUUUUUAUAUAUACAAAGAGAUAUGUGUGGGAGGGUACAUCUCACUCCAACUGAAUGGACAUAGCAAAAGUUUUCCUCCCAAUAUUAAUUGUGAUUACAUAUCUAAAGUUUUAUCUUAAAACCAUUGAUUAAAAUGUAAUAAUUUCAUAUCAAUUUAUUUAUGGGUUUAAUAGUAAUAUUAAUGGAUGUCAUUUAACUAACGGGAUAAUCAAUAACAAUAUUGAUUAAUGGGGAUAUUAUAUUCUUCUUUUUUAUUAAUAUGGGGAUAUUAUCUCAAUUAAUACUAUUAUGAUAUGGAUAUGUAUAUUGAUUAGUUUUGUGUUAAUUUAAGGAUCUUGUGUAGGACAAUGGAUUAAUUAGUUCAUUUCUCACAAUAUAAAAGAAAAAAGUUACUUUUCCGCAAUUAACAUUGAUUUUCUUUCCUCAAUUAAACUUGUUUAAAAUAAAUUGUUGCAACGACCAAUUAUUAUCAGUAACAGUUAAUAGUAAAUAUUAUCUUAUUAUAUUUUGAUCAUAAGCUUUCAUUGAUUAGUUUACUCUUAACUUAAAUCCUACAUAAGUAUAACAAAGGUUAUAGGUUCUCUUAACUUUUUUAUUUUAUAAAAAAUAAGGAAUUUUUUAUUGUCAAAAUUAAUUUCUCUUUUUCAUUGCUUAAAAAAAUAUUCAAAUUGUAAAAAUAAAAAAAAUCACAAGAUAGUGAUUAUAUGAUAAUUUUAUCUUCAGUAAUCAAUAUCAUCAUUAGAACCACAAGGAUAUGAUGAAAAGUCCAGCGCAACAAUUAAUUUGUUUUAAAAUUAAAAUCUUCUGUUCAAAACUAAAAUACAUCAGUGUAAAAAAUAACUAAAAUCAAUCAAACCAUAAUAUUCUCCUAUAAAAUAACGUUGAUUUUUUUUUUCAUUAUAUCCACAGACAAUGAGAAUGCAUUUAUCCUAUUAUGCAUGUUAAAAAUAAUUUCUUAUAGCACUGUUUACUUCUUUUGAUUUUCAAAAUUAAAUUUUUACAAUUCCUUAAAUAAAAAUUAUUUUUCUUAUUUCCAAAUUUUUUUUGGUCUAUUCUAAUUUCAACAAUAAAUUUUCCUUUUGACUAGAAAGUUGAUUUCAAAAUUAAUAAUUGUAGGGGCUCAUCCUAUACUGUGAUUUUAGGUAAAUUUUGAUUUUGAAUAUUUCUGUGGCAAGGAAAUAGUUCGUAAAAGAAUUAGGGAAUUUAAAAAAAAAAAUUUAUAGGACACAUAAUUUGAUUUAAUAGGGGUAUUAAAAUGGGCUAAGUCAGAUUAGUUGACUAAAAUAGCUCAAUUAAUUAUGUAAGUUAGACUCUGAAAAUUGAAACACAAUAUUAAUUUAGUCUAACCUAACUAAAAAAUUAGCUUGAAUAUUCGGGCUGGACUAACCAUUGGCUUGAUAUAAAUUAUUUUUAAAAUUUUUAUAUUUUUACAAUUAUUUAGAGCUUUAUUUAUUUGAACUAUUUUUUAAGUAAUAUAAUUAAAAAAUAAUAAAUAAAAGGGAUAAGUAUAAAAAAAAAAAUUGUGUUGAGUUUCAUUUAGAUUAAAUAUAGUAAACUUAUCGAAUAUUAACACGUAAUAUAUUGAUGUAAAAGUUUGGAAAUAUUAUAAUUUGAUAGGAAAUUAAUUAUUUUAUAUAAAUGGCAUAUAGAUAUUAUUAACUUGACUGAAAUUCUUUCCUCAACUUGUAAUUUAAUUGGUCCAGCCUAAAAAUAUAUUAACCUAUAAUGGAACAAUGUAUACGAUGAUACUGAUUUAAAUUCAUGCAUCUAUAUAUAUAGAGGUGGAACAUUAGCCAAUUACACCAAUACAAUGUAUGCAAUAAUAUGAUAUAGGGAAAAAAUGACAAGAUAAAAUCAAUCAUUUUUUUAUUUUAAAUUAAAAUCAACUUACGCAUCGCAAUUUUCUUUAAAUUAAAAUCAUCAUAAACUUAAAAUGCAUAGGUACAUUUUAACUAAUAAAUUUUUUAUUAUUUUAUUCAUUUAUUUUCUUAUCGUACAAGUAUUUGUCAAAAAACUAUUUAAACUAGAUCUAUAGCAAAUUUUGAUUGAGCGUGCGGAGGUUAUUACUUUAGAUUGUUUAUAAAUAAUAAAUAAUAUGAAAUUGACGGAUUGCUUGCUUCAUUCAUUAUAUUAGAGAAUCUUUAUUAAACCUAGUUUGAAUAGUUUGGUAGGCUUGAAUGGGCUGGGCUCAUUAAACAAACAUACAAAAUAAUAAAAAUUGAUGAAAGGAUUCUUUGGCAAUUGCUAUUUCUACCCCCUCUACUUUACUUGUACACUACCCCUUCUCAUUUGUUUUCCUAAUUUACCCUGUAAAACACAGUACUCCCUCGUCUCUAUUGCAGAAAGCAGAGACCCUUGGCAUUUUCAGAACCCAGCACCAGAAACGCGCAAUCUAUCUAGAUGCAAAACCGUCUUCAUAAUAAUGAGGAUGGAAAGAGAGACAUAGAUUUGAUUAGAUCGGAAGUGGGAACCUGAGGGAAGAAGUUGGAAACAUUGAAGCCCUUAGCGAUGAGAGCGCGAGAAGGUGCUUGAGUUGGCAAAGAAGGCCAUGAAUAAAAAUGAGGAGUUCAGAGUAAUAUCUCUAGACCAAGUAAUUAUUUAUAAUUAUUUUUUUAUUAAUAAAACUACUUAAUCUUAAUAUAUGAAUGAUUAUCGUAAAUCAUUUAAGUAAAAUUUUAAUUUUAUUUCAAAAAAUUAGAGAAAAUUAUUUUAUAUUUAUUUUAGAUUCAACCUCCUUGACUUAAAAAAAUAUUGAAAUUAGCAUAAAAUUUAAAUUUAAUUAGUAAAUUUAUGGUUGAUAUAUAAAAAAGAUAUUUUGACAAAAAAUAUUAAUUGUAAAAUUACACAUUUAACAAAAAUUUUAUUUCAUGUUGAUAUUUUAUAUACAUAUAUUAAUUUAAAUAUUUAAUAAAAAAAGUCAAUUUGAAAUUUAAAUAUUUAAAAUAUGAAAUCAUAAUUUAUAUUUUAAAAAAUUUAACAAAGUAUAUUAAAUUAAAAUUUGAAGUAAAUUUAGUCUUAGUAUUUUGAUAUUAAACACGCGGUUUCUGGCAUCUUCGUGAGUAGUAAGUCAUUGCAGCAGGAAGUGCUCCAAACAUAGUCUGCUUGUGGAACAGUUGAACCCAACACAUCAACCUCACGGUGGAGCAUCAAACUUGGCCUUGAACAAAGAUGCUAUGAUAAUAGGAAACACACCUCCUGCCAAAAUUCCAAAUCCUUGCAUAGCAAACACUGCAGCUAUAAAGGCACCGCAAGUCUUCUUAUUAGAAUACUCAGACAUUAUGGUAAUCUCCACCAAUGCCAAAAUCAAGCCAGAAGCGGAAGAAGCAAAGAGUUGUCAUCAUAGUCUUUGCAUCUCGCCCGAAGGAAAGACACGAAAUGGAAGCUAUUACCAUAAGCACGAGGGUCAUGCCAUAGACCUUUUUUCGGCCCAUUUUGUCGCCGAGCCAGCCAAAGAAAAGUUGCCCGGAAAGUGUUCCAACAAAAGCUACACCAUUAACUGCAGCUGACACAUUGGGAGGCAAUGGACCAGGCUUUGCAGCCCCAUCAACGUGGUAGUAAAUGCGGCCAAGUAGCUUUGUGACAAGUGAUAUACAGAAGAGAUCAUAGGCAUCAGUGAAGAAGCCCAUUCCAGCAAUGAUGAUUGCUGUGAAAUGAUACCAUUGUGUUUUUGCUGCGUCCAGGGCAUUUAGCACCUCAACUUGCUCCUUUCCCAUCACUACCCAACUUUUCUUCCAUCUCCAAAAUUGCUUCACUUAUCUCUGCAAAAGUGGAACAGAUUGCAAGAUGUUAUUAUGUUAAACUUGCCUUGCAUCAAGCGGGAAAACACAGCACCAUUAUGAAAUUGAAGGGUAAUUUUUAAUCAGUGAUUAACAUGUGAUGGCUAUGAACAUUGUUGAACCUAGCAAAUCAAUAACGAUUAUACUAUGCAAGUACUAGAACCAUCCAAAAUAAUUCAAUCAAGCAAUGAGAUAAUCAAAUUAUGAUCUGAACAAAGAUAUAGCUACUAUUGCAGAUUGUGGUUACAGAACAUUAGAAAGGUAAGUGUUGAACAAUAUGAGAAAGUAAACACCCGGUGGAAAGAACUAAAUAGUAUUUUUUUCACCUUUUAAAUUUCAUCUUGGAGGAAGAAUGAGCUUGAUUAAAUAGAAAGAACUAAAUACUAUUUUUUUUUAUAAAAAAAGUAAAGAAAUCUCUAAAUGGACUUGAAAAUUUUCAUUUUUCAUGAAAAAAAAGAUAUGUCUAGUACUUAAGGUAAAAGUACUAAGUAUACCCAAAAUGUAUUGUUACUCGAUAUUUAACGGGUACGGGUACCUUUGACAAAAUAAUGCACGCAUUCCAAACUCCAACUACAAUAAAAUCUUAUUCCCUUGUUUAAGAGUAUUCAAACUCCAUUCCGAAGUUUUAAUGGAACAAAUGUCUUCCCAGAAAGAAGUCCCGGAAACACAGACACUAUCACACCCUCUACCCCUCACAUAUAUAUUAAUAAAGGAAUAAAAAUUCAAAUAUUAAUUAAAAGUAUUUUUAAAACAUUUUUAAAUACAAGCUUUUCAAAUGGGUAAAAGGCUCACAUUCACUUUCUUCUGCAUCAUAUUCAAACUUGUUCAAAUAAAUAAUAAAGUCAUCUCGACUCAAAGAAGGUCAUUUAAGUCUCAUACAAUUAAUAUAGAAUCUAUAUCCUAAUGUCACAUCCUAUUAGAGCGUGGUGUUCCCGUGUCCUCUAGCAUGAGGUUCUUCAUAGUCAUCCACCUAUUCAUCUGCUCCCCCGAACACAAAGUUCAAGAUCAUCACAGGAUCCAAACACAAACAACAAACCGGAAGUGAGUUAUCACAUUUCUAACUACUAGAGAGAAACAACACAACAUAUAGUAGUCAAAUACAAUUUACUUAGCAUAUCUCACAUUAUUUCAUCACUUUGUCAUUCAUCAAUCACACUUUUCAUCCAUCAAUCACACAUUUCAAUCAUCAAUCACUAUACACAUGAAUCACACAUUCCGAUCAAGACAUAAUAACACAUCAAUUUCAUAAUAAACAAUUAACAAGCGUAUGCGACAGUUAUGCUAAGACUCAAGCCUAUAUGCAAUGUGGUACUAUGUCAGUGAAAAACCUCGUCGGGCGCCUAGGAGUACAUGACAAGACAAACCACACAAUAAUAAGUCAAGUCACUCUCACUAGGUAAUAUCAUAGGGAGACCAGUCAGGGUCACAGUAUUUUGCGAGAAUGCUCCAACCAUAUGAGAUCAACAUAGGCUUAAAGGAACACUCAAACCGUGUGACCCCUAAGGCCUACACUCCGAAGAGUCCGUCAGGGCCUCUCCCUCCUGAUUCAGGUCCAACCCAGAAAAUAUUUUAGCACACAAACUCUAUCUAUGAACUAUACAAAACACAUGACUCCUCAAUUGUUCUCAAAAUAAUUUUAACUCGUCGCCCUUUAAAGGUCUUAUCAUUAACUCGUCGCCCUUAAAGGGACUUAACAUUAACUCGUCACCCAAAAAGGGACUUAGCAUCAACUCGUCGCCCUAAAAAGGACUUAACAUCAACUCGUCGCCCUAAAAGGGACUUAGCAUUAACUCGUCGCCCUUGAAGGGACUUAUGAUCGUGUGAUUGUAUAAUUCAUAGUUCACAACUCAUUGCACAUAUAUAUCUCAAUCAUAUACAUACUUAAUUUAUCACAUACACUUAAUCCCAAUCACAAUGGUAUAAUCUCAAUUUAACAUGUUAUCACACCUCAUGAAUCAUAUACACUUUACCUAUGAAUUAUGCAAUACACACAUCUACUCAAUUGUUUUCAAAAUCAUUUUAACUCGUCGGGUUUCCACAGUGGAUCUCAUCACAAUACUCGUCGCGCUUAAAGGGUCUUACAAUUGUGUGAUUGCACAGUUCAUAGUUCACAACUCAAUACACACAUCUCAUCUCAAUACACAUGUAUUUCAUCAUCCGUCACAUGUUCAAUUUAUCACAUACUCAUAGUUUGAAUCAUCGUUUCAUAACCUCAACAUAACAAUUUAUACAAAAGAUUUUAUCACAACAUGGAAUGUAAAACCUGUGAAAUAGUUCCUCAUAAUUGUAUCAAAAUCAAUUAAUCAAAAUCAUGGGUUAACACAAAGACAUCAAGAGCACUCAAGUUUAUCAAUCAAUUCUCAUCAGGACAUCAAUUGGUACAUAGAACACAAUAAUUCAAUAAACAUCCCAAAAUAAACCCAAAUUUAGUUCUCUAAGGAUCCCUACACAGGUUCAUUCUAACCCCAAUUGCGAUAAACUCAUUCCUUACCUCUGAGCGGACUCACGUGUCUUCAGUCAACGAUAGUAACAUCUCUAGCGAUUCCCUGAGAUUCCUUCAGUUAUUCCUCCGACUUGCUCCGAUAGAAUUCCCAAACGUCAAGAGACGGAGAAGAGAUUGAAACCUCCACUUGUACUGUCUUCAUGCGAUUCCUUUUUCUCCCUCCACGAAUAUUAUCUCGAAAAUCCCAACGGUGGAAGUGUGCGAAAUUGAAUUUCGAACAACAUAUCCAAAUUUUAUGAAAAUCCAACGGUUAACGAAAUCGAGAUCAUAGUUUUACCGAGACAGUUUUGGGUUUCUGCGGGAAAUUAAAAUGCUACAAUGCGAAGGGUUUUCCUCUAAGCUCAGAUAUUAUUUUGAAAUUCUCAACGGUGAGAAUGUUCGAAAUUGGGUUGCGAACUUGGUACUCAAAUUUCACAACGAUCCAACGAUGAAGGAGCCCGAAAUCGUCGUUUUUCUGAGACAGAUUUGGUGAGCUGCGGGAAAAAGAAAGGGUUUUGGGAGUAAGGGAAAAACGAAAAUGAGGCACCUGACUUAACAUAACUAUUUAUACCUGGGGUACUCAGCCUAUUAUUUGCUCUAUAUUUAUUUAUUUUAUAAAAAUAAACUCUAUUUUAUUUUCUAUCAAACAAAUAAAUGAAAUACCCUUUUUAUUUUCUCUCAAAUCAUUAUUUUAAUUAAUAAUUAUAUCUCCUUAUUUAUUUAUUUAUAAAAAAAAAAAAUUUCGUACCCCAUUGCCCAGAGUCUCUUCGCUAUGCGAAGGUAUAGGGGAGGGAUGUUGUACGCAACCUUACCCUUGCAUAAAAGAGGUGCAACACGAGGACUUCCCAGGAGGUCACCCAUCCUAAUACUACUCUUGCCCAAACACGCUUAACCGCGGAGUUUUGAUGGGAUCCGGUGCAUUUAUUUUAUUUAUUUAUAAAAUCUCAUCAUUUUUCUAAAACUCUAUUUAUUUAUAAAUAACAAUCCUUUUUAAUCUAGAUUACAAAAAAUUAGAAUGUUACAGACGCAUUAUUGAUCAGAAUACACAUUUUUUGGGUAUACUAAUAUAUCAAGUAUAAACCAACUAAUAACAACCUAUGCACAGCCUAAUUUCUUUAAACUUUAAAAAAAAAACUUUAAAAUGAACGUUUUUUUAUACAAGUGAUUUUAUAAGAAGCAAAUAAGAUUUGCUUAGUAAAAUAAGCUAACAUCUAUUUUCUUAAAGAAAAAAGAUGUUUAGACAAACACACUAAAAAAUAAAAAUAGUUAUUUAUUUUAUUAAAAUAAAUACUUAUUGUAACAAAUAAAUUCAAACAAACUAACUCUUCCUCUUAACCAAAUUUCUUAGUGAUUUUGGUUGAAGUAUGAAAAGACUUUGUUGCAACCUUAAGUGAUGUUUACUUGGAGAGACAAGUGAAAUAUUACUUGGGUUUAAGCUUGAAGAUGUUUGUUGAAAAGAAUAUUUGUAACUUUGUAUACAUGCUUUCAUUUUUCAUGCUCAGACAAUAAUUUGAUCAUAUCCUUCCUAAUAUUUACAUAUCAUAUUCAAAUUUUGUCAAGCUAAGUCAUGCAUAUAUGUUACAUCUACCCAGACAACUAAUGAAAAACAAGAUUCAUAAAUGUAGUGAAAUGGCAUGCACAAAUAUAAAUUAGGAUAAUAGCUAGAAGAAAACACAAGUUUAUUAACGUAAAAAAAAUAGUGAAAUGGAAAAAAGAAACAUAUAGAGUGGACGUAUAAAAUAAUCAACUUGUAGUCACAUAACGCAUGCAUGGAAUGCGACAUUAGAAGGAUUUAAUAUAAAUAAGACAGAGAAUAUACACCGGGAAAGGGACGAUGCUUAUGAAGCUGAGCUGAGAGAAGUUGAGAAAAAAUUGGAGACAGAAAGCAAAAGAGAAGAAUUGGCUGUACGCAAAAGAUGUGAAUGGAAGGCCAAAGAUUUAUAGGCAACACAUGUGCAAUAUAACUGAGGGUAACGGAAAUAGAGGGUUAUUACCUUCCGGUUCGAGAGAACGAAUUGUUUGAGUAAUAUGAAAAACGAAGAAGAAGAAAAUGAAACCCUAAUUUCCCAAUUGAUGCCUUCUAGUUCUAGGGUUCGAUCCCCAAAGUCUAGUUUGGCCUGCACUCGAUUGUUUCACAAUACGGAGGAUUAACCAGUCAUAUUACACCAAAUCAGCAAUUGCUAUGAGAGUUAAGAUUAGAUCACCACUAGAUUCAAGUUGGGCACUUCACAAACGGUGUAGAUUUGUGGCUCUAGUUAACUAGUAUGUAUGUGUUAAAGUUUUUUUAGACUUCCUUGAUAUUUAUUUAUUUAUUUAUAAUUAUAGGAGUAAUUAUUAUUAAAUAUUAUAUUAUUUUAAAUAUUUUAAAAAAAUAAUUAAGUAUUUGAAUAUACUAAAUAUUUAUUUUUUAUUUAAUAUUUUAGUUGAACUUAAGAGUCUGAUUAUUUAUAUUUUGUAAAAAGUUACUUAAAAUAUGAAAUAAAAAUUGUAUAUGUAUAUCUUAAAAAAUUAUUUUAUUUAAGAAUUUAAUUACAAUACAUUUACAGUAUAACUGUUAUCCAACAAUAAAUUGUUCUUAUCAUAAAAUUAUUGAUUUUUAUAAAAAAAAAAUAUUUUAAUAAUCAUAUCAUAUAUAAGAUAUUUUUUAAUUAGUUUAAAACAUAAAAUAUUUAUUUUACAAAAUAUAAACAAUAAAUUCUUUAUUUAAAAUUUAUAAGUAGCUGUACGAAAAUUCUUAAAAAUUUUAUCAUAAAAACACUUUUUUCAUAAACCCUUCAAAUUUUCUAAUAAUGUAUUUUAAUUGAAGAGAGAAUUUGAAUUCAUGAAGAUAAAAGACAAUGAACCGGUCAAAGAUUAUUUGGGCGGAUUAAUGGAUGUCGUGAUUCAAAUGUACUUCUUGGUGAGACAUCAUUUACAAGUUAGAAGGUUGUAGUAAAAAUCAUAAUUUUGGUUCACAACAAGCUUGAAGCCAAGAUCUCUGCAGUUUAAGAGACGUAUGACUUGUAAACUCUCAUAAUUACAUAAUUACAAGUUUAUGCACAAGAGUAAAGAGUUUCAAUGAAAAGUGAUCAAGCUAUUGAAGAUGCCUUCCAAGCAAAACACAAUAGAAGGUCUUCCAAUAACAACAAAGGAAGAGUUGAAGAUACUUCAAGAAAAGGAAAGUUUUUGCACCACCAACACAAAUGAUUAUGUGUGAUAACCUUAAUAGAUACUGGCAAUAGUAGAAGUUUCUAAAUGAAGGGAGUAUAUUUGUGGCAGAAAACUCCACUUUUUUUGUCUUAAGGAAUUCACAAGAUAAUAAUACAUUUCUGUCAAGACUUCUGUCGUUUUUGAAAUAUUCCACAAGAGAAUAUAACAGAACAUGUGCAAAGGAAAAUGCCCCAUCUCUAGUGCCCACUUCGCUCCUUUCCACCUCUAUUAUUAUUAUUUAUGUUUUGGGAAAUAUGCUAUUUUGGUUGCAUGUUGUACAUAGUAUAUUUUUUGUGGCAUUUGAUAAUAUGUUAACAUAAAGUAAACAUAGCACAUGAGCUUUAUUAUGUAUUUGAAAUAAAAAAUGAAACACAAAGGUUAUCUUGAUACAAAAAUUUAUAGAGUUGACAAUGAUUUUAACUUGGCUUGGAACGUCCAAGUUGUCCUGUCCUACCACCAUAUAGUAUUUAACUAACUUGUUAGUGUUAUCCCUUUUUCUUGAGAAAUUCAUAUGAACUUAAUUUGUCAUUUUAUGUGGACUAAAUCAUUACAUAUUAAUUAUUAUGUUACAUUCAGUUAUUUCUGAUCUUUGUAGGACCAAGUAUUUUUAUGCUAGUAGUAUUAUUUUAAUCUAUUGUGAGGAAGCUACAAGCUAACAAAUCACUUAUCCAUGAUAAUUAACUUGUUCAGUUGUUUGGGUUCCACAAUGAGUUCAUGUUCUAUUUCUCGAUGCUUGAAUUCUGUCUUUCCCUGUGGUCCUACUUGAUGAUGCAACAGAUGGGACAUGAGUAUCAUCAUCAGCUCACCGCAACAUGAAUCAACAUCACAAACUAAAACUAAAAGUAGAAGAUGCCGAUAGCAAUACCACAGUAGCAGACCACAAAGGAGGCAGCAUUAGGAAAUGGACAAAAUAGAAUAACAGAAUAUCUUCUAGAUACUACUAACAAAGAUUUGUUCUUGAUACAAAAAUCAUUGUCAAUUUUAACUUAUACAAAAAAUUUAUUUUAUUUUAUUUUAUUUUCUGUUUCUAUAAAUAUUUAUUUAAAAAAUUAUCCAAACUAAGCACUAAGAAGAUUUAAUUUUAAAGGUAGAGCAGUCUGUCUCUAAGAAACUACAGCUAAUUGAUAUACGAGGAACAGUGUCCCUAACAUUCAUCUUCAUACAUUCGAUCUCCACCUUGGCUACCGGUAGCAUGGCAAAUAGAUAUUAUUGCAGGGACCACUAUGGCAGCUACAAUAGCUGCAACACCAAAAAGCAAUGCUACAGUGUUCAAAUGACUGCUGCUCUACUGAGCCACUAGAGCGCCAAAAACUCAAGACAGAAGGAAACAUCAAUCUAUAAGCAUAGGAACAAAAAUUAGUUGAAUUUAUUUUCUUGUUCUGUACAGCAUUGCCACUACACUAUCAAAUCAUGCUAGAAAAAACAAGUUUAAUACAACACCCGUGCCGUGCCUUAAAAACAAGUUUAAUACAACACCCGUGCCGAGCCGCAAAGUAACAUUUACCGUAUCUCCUGACUGCCUUGCAAUAAUACAACAGGUCACCCGUGCCGUGCCUUAUAAUACAACAGAAGGUUGGAGCGGCAUUUUCAAUCACAAGGUCAGGUCAGGAUCAUCUUCAUAAUCAAAAUCUUGUUCACUUGAAGCCCUUGCUCUCUUGGCAUCUCUUGCCCCACCUCUACCUUUCUUUGGUUUACCCCUAUGGUAUACAUGCAGAUAUUUUAGCUCAUACGGGCAUGCAUUCUUUACAUAAGCGCAAAGAUUUAUGGAACAGUUUCUGUAAACUAACCUAUUAUUUAAUUAGUUAAUUCAAAUUUAAUAAUACAAAGAUAAAUUAGUUGAGUGCUUACUGUCCAUUAGCAUAAAUUCCUCCACCUUUUGAACGACCAGGACCAUAAUCUGGUCUACCAUCUGAGACAAAAUACAAUGAAUGAACAACAAAAUUCAUACCAAUAAAGUAAUAGAAACACUUGCCUAUAUGAACUCACCAUCUCGUCCAGCUGCAAGAUCUUCUGCCUGUAGUAAACAGGUGAAGAAAAUCCAUGUCAGUGUUACAAGUCAGAAAUAACCAUUUGUUGAAAAAUGCUGACACUAAAUAAAUAGACCUUGAAUAAUUAGAAUUGGAUGAAAAAAAAAACAUAAAAGGAUGAUUUAUUUUAAGGAUAGGUGUCAAUAGAAUGGAAAGAUAGAGCCUGGAAAAGGAUCCAGUCUUGAAGAGCUUAGAAAUCUAUGUUCACCAACUUGAAACUUCGAUGUCUCCUAUCCUCCAUAAAAGAUGUUAUUAGUCAAAGUUUACAUUUUGAUACUCAAGUUUUAAGAUUUCAAAUAUAUACUGCUCUAAUUUGGUAACAAGCAUGACGCCUGUCAAAAUUGAAAUCAAAUGACAGGACCUGACCUAAGCACAUGUAAAACAUUUAGCUUCUCUUCUUUCAAUGGAAAUAGACUUCCUCAACCGUAUAUGACAAAGAAUACAGUACAAUCAUAUAUCUGACAGUCUAGCAUGAAUUGCCAAGUUCAAUUAUUGUUUCAUAUAUUUCUGCAAAAGAAUGCCUCUGCAUUGCUUUCUGCUCCAAAUUGAUCAAAACGGUACCAUCAGGUCAGGCAUUCUUUGCCAAACUUCCUCUGCUAUUACUUUUGAGUUUUGACUGGUUUAAUCGAGAUAGCACAGAAUUAUGGAUGUACACUAGCCCAAAAAUGUCAGAAACUAAUGCAUCCAACAUGUCCUAAUCGCUCUUAUCUUCCCAGGAGAUUAACAUGCUGAUGCUCUCAUUAUCAAAAAGUACUAUGACCAUUUUUUCUAACAAGGGUGUAAAACUGAACAAUAGAUGAACUGCAAGAAGUUAUCUUUUUACUAUCCUGACAGAGAAAAAGUAUAUAGUGUUCACUAGUGCACAUUCUUUUUUCUAUUGCUGGUUGGAAGCAUAUCACUGAAUAUCAGAGAUAUAGUACAUACCGCUGGCGAGGUCACUGAAGAUAAUGAGAAGAGCCUAUCUUCAGGUUGAAACUUUCUAGACCUCUUCAGGCUGCCAUGAAGAAAUUCGAUUCACCAAUGUCAUGCAAACAUCAACAUGGAGCCAAACUAUGAUAAAAAUCAUAUCUCACUUAAAACAAUUGAACACAUGCAUGCACAAAAAUUAAGUCAUCUCUGAGACCCUGAUACAUAAAAACACAGAAACACAUAAAUUGAUCAUAAGAAAAUAAUCAUGAAUAACAAAACUACACUUCAUAAACUGUCCUUGCUUCUCAACAUUUCACACAAUUCUAUUUCAUUAUCUAGAAUCUUGGUAAGAUUGAAUUAUCAGUGCAUCUAGGCAAGUCCCAGCAAUGUAUCACUUUAUAUGGAAUAUCAGGGAUCAAUACAAGUAACAAAAGUACCAGACUCUAAUGAGUUAGCUUUUCCAAACCAUCAAUGAAUCAAGAUUUCAGAACACCCAAAUUGAGGCCCAAUAAAUAUGGUCUGUGAUCAAGUAUAUAACAGAUCACAUACUUGAAACUUGAAAGUUCAUCCUUACACUUCCUAUUUUCCUUAGGAUCAAGGUUAUCAAACUCUCGAGUUAACUUCCUAACUCUUACGAGUUUACAAGUUCACUUACCCUCUACAAGUUGACUCAUGUGCAAACUCUCUUUUUAGUAUACUCUGGGUAGACUCUAUGCAAACUUGAUAGACUCUCGAGUUUACCACCGAUUCAUUGAGCCAACAAGUUAAAAAAAAUUAUACCAAAACACAAGGGAUUUUGGGUUGUUUUGUGUUUGUUUAGGGUUCAACAUACCUCUGUUUGGUAUGUUGUUCCAGAAUAAAAAAACCCUCACCUCUAACAACAUUAAACCCUAGUUCUCCAACAACAUCAAACCCUCAAUGGGAAUACUCUACCACUACUAUCACAUCCGCAAGUUAUCUAAUAGUGAUGCAUUACUAGAAUUGGUUAUUUAAGUAUUGUGGAAUUUAUGGUUUAUUAUUUUGUUUUAUUAUGUUGUUAAAAUGUUUACUUGGUAUGUUAUUGAUAGGUAUUUUGUUAUUAUUUUUAUAUGAAAUAAACUCUUAUAAGUUUAUGAGUCGAGUCUAUGAAACUCCUACGAGUUUACGUAGAUUCUUGAGUUUGAUAAUGUUACUUAGGAUUAUAAGAAUCACAGAUUCUGACAGAAAAUAUGGGUGCUAUUUCUUUUCAGCAGAAAUGAAAUGAACUCCAGAAACUACGAGUACAGAAAGAAAAGGUUGUUUGACAACAAGAAGUCAAAAUAUGGAAUAAAUUAUCAGUGUCUAGAGAAAACAUAAAGAAAGAGCACCAGAGAGAAAAAAAUCCCUACAGUGCAGUGUUCUUCGAUGAAGAUAGGAAACCUUCAAAUCCUUUUAAUACAUUACCACACUGUCCAGGAUCCUGUAAGUAACUUGUCUCCAUAUCAUACACCUGUGUUAAGGGGAAAAUAUCAGCUACUGCUCGCUACGAAUCACAUGGAAUGUUCGUUUUACGCAAGUAACUUGUCUCCAUUUCACUUUUAUGUAAACUUGAUCAACUCAACCAUGGGAAUGGGGUUUGAGCAUCAUAGACACUGCACCAGAAGUGCAUCACUACAUGCCCAAUUAAGCAAUAGACCUCAGUUAUAUUAUAAUUUAAAAUCACGUGAAGUGCCCAAUUUUAGGUUAAAUUACAUUUUGCCUAAUUAUCCUGUUGCGUACGGAAUUGGUUCAACCAACCAAACAAUAAGCACACACAUUUUAAUAAUUUUAAAAAUUUUAAAAAUCAGUUUUUUUAUAGGAACCAAAAAAAAUAUCAUGGUAACCGUUCAUACAUAAUGAGAGAAAGUUUUCGCCCCUUUCGAAGGGAACCCAGAUGCGAACGUUAAAAAAUUCACCUGCUUUUCAAUGCUGCGAAGAUCUUCGUGAAGUUUGGCUCUCCUACUAAGCAGAGAAGCUAACAUUGCCGACGGGUUCACCGUACCCUUUUGCCCUAAAACAGAACAUUAUUUUAUAAGUUUAAUAAUCCGGAUUAAAAUUCAAUUCAAUCAGAGGGUAACGGAAAUAGAGGGUUACUACCUUCCGGUUCCAUGUUCGAGAGAACGAAUUGCUUGAGUAAUAAGAAAAACGAAGAAGAAGAAAAUGAAACCCUAAUUUCCCAAUUGAUGCCUGCGCUCGAUUGCUUCACAAUGCGGAGGAUGAAACCCUAAUUGCUUCACAAUGCGGAGGAUGCCUGCCCAAUUAUGUUAUAAGGUAAGUGUUGAACAAUAUGAGAAAGUAAACACCCGGUGGAAAGAACUAAAUAGUAUUUUUUUUAUUUUAACAAAAGAAAUUGAUAAACUCACCUUUUAAAUUUCAUCCUGGAGGAUGAAUGAGCUUGAUUAAAUAAAAAGAACUAAAUACUUUUUUUUUUUAAAAAAAAAAAAAGUAAAGAAAUCUCUAAAUGGACUUGAAAAUUUUCAUUUUUCAUGGAAAAAAGAUAUGUCUAGUACUUAAGGCAUAUGUACUAAGUAUACCCAAAAUGUAUUGUUACUGGAUAUGUAAUGGGUAUGGAAUUCACUGUACUCUUUUACCCUAAAACAGAACAUUAUAUUAUAAGUUUAAUAAUCUGGAUUAAAAUUCAAUUCAAUCAGAGGGUAACGGAAUUAGAGGAUUACUAUCUUCCGGUUGAGAGAACAAAUUGCUUAAGUAAUAUGAAAAACGAAGAAAAUGAAACCCUAAUUUCCCAAUUGAUGCCUUCUAACCCGUCAUAUUAGGCCAAGUCAACAACUGCUAUGAGAGUUAAGAAUGAUGUUGAGUGAAUAUAAAUUGAGAAAGGCAUGGCGAUUAGAUCAUCAAUGGAUUCAAGUUGGGCGGGCACUCUCACAAACGGUGUAGAUUUGUCGCUCGACUGCUAGUUAACUAGUAUGUAUGUGUGUUAAAGUUUUCUUAUACUGUAUUGAUAUUUAUUUAUUUAUAAUUAUAGCAGUAAUUAUUAUUAAAUAUUAUAUUAUUUUAAAUAUAUAAACAAAAUAAUUAAGUAUUUUAAUAUACUAAAUAUUUAUUUUUUAUUUAAUAUUUUAAUUGAACUUAAGAGUCUGAUUAUUUAUAUUUUGUAAAAAGUUACUUAAAAUAUGAAAAAAAUUGUAUAUGUAUAUCUUAAAAAAAAUUAUUUUAUUUGAGAAUUUAAUUAUAAUAUAUUUACAGUAUAACUGUUAUCCAAUAAUAAAUUAUUCUUAUCAUAAAAUUAUUGAUUUUUAUAAAAAAAAAAUUAAUAAUCAAUCAUAUAUAAGAUAUUUUUUAAUUAGUUUACAACAUAAAAAUAUUUAUUUUUCAAAAUAUAAACAAUAAAUUCUUUAUUUAAACUUUAUAUGUAGCUGUACGAAAAUUCUUAAAAAUUAUAUCAUAAAAACACUUUUUUCAUAAACCCUUCAAAUUUUCUAAUAAUGUAUUUUAAUUGAAGAGAGGAUUUGAAUUCACAUGCUCUUUCAAUUAUUACCUCUAUUGACCAAUCAAUUCAACCAUAAAGUCAAGCUAGGCAAUGGUGAUACUGUUCAAGCCCAAGGAAAAGAAGAAAAAAACUAUUUAAACCAAGAAAUUUGAGAUAGUUGUCAAAAAUGUUCUUUACAUUUAUAAUUGGAUCAAAAUUUGUUUAGUGUUGCACAAAAACUAAUACAUAGAUAUGAAGUUUUUUCAAAGAAAAAUAUUAUUUUAUCAUUAACGAUGAUAUGGAAUUGAGAUGACAAAUAUUGAAAUGAUUAAUAAUCGUUUUUAUUAAAAGUUGAUUCAAUUAAAAAUAGUGAUUUUAGUGGCAAAAUUGAUUAGAGUGAUGAUGUUUAACAUGAAAGAUUUGGUCACAUUAAUUUGAUGUCAUUAAAGUUUAAAAAAAUAAGAUGAAUUUGAGAUGAUAAAUUCUUAUAUUAUGAUUUUUGAACACACAAUGAGUUAAAUUAAAUGUAUUUCACAUAUUUUAAAAAUUAAGUUUGAAGUUUAUAGAGUAAAAACUUAAGUUUUUAUGACAAUUUUAAAGAUGAAUGAUAGAGAUAUGAGAUUUUGUCUUAGUUAAAUUUUGAAUUUAGAAUAAGUUUUAGAUAGAGUUUUUUCAUUGUUGUAGAUUUUAUCUUUAAUCUUUUGUUGUAAUUAGUUAGUUUAAAUUUCAAAUAAAUUAGAUAAAAGAUUAGAUUAUUUAGGAAGUUCACAGUGAUUGUAAGUUUAUAUAUAGACAUUUUCAUCUUAUAUUCCAAUGACUAUUUUCCUUCAUUUUUUUUUUAUUUCUCUAAUUUCUUUCUAAGUUUCAAUAUUUUCAUACUUUAUUUUAUAAAAUAUUUUUAACAGGUAAUUGAUAAGAUUGAUAAUAUGAUAUGAGAUGAAAAAAGAGAAUAAAAGAAGAAAUGUUAAUAAAUUGUUUAUAAAUAAUAGGUGUUCAAAUUUUCUCGAUCUAAUAAUUUUUUUAAAAAAAUAUAUUUUUUAAUUCUUACAAUUUUUUAUUUUAUUUUUAUAAAAUUAUAUUUAUUUUAUUUUUCAUUUCUUUAAAUAACACUUUUCACAGUAAAAGUAAAAAUUAAAAAUAAUUUAUAACUAAAAAUAAAACAAAUAUAAUUUAUAAAAACUAAAAAUUGAAAAAUAAUUUUACAUGAUGAAAAAUAAAAUAAAAAUUAAAUUGUAAAGAUUUUUUUGAAGAAAACAACAACAACAUCCAUUUCUUCCUGCAACACCCAGGUUUCCACGGCUAAUCCUAAUCUUGGGCACUGGGUUGCAUCUCUCGUCAACGCUGUUCCAGUAAUCAGGUCCACAGCUCAAAGUUCUUACCUUUUCUGUCCAAAUUCUGAUUCUCUUCAUGGAUUUCCCGUUCCUGGUAUCUACUCUACCUUUUUCUUUUUCUCUUUCCUUUUCUUUUCUUUUAAUUUUGUUUUUUUUCUUGCGAAACUAGGAAAAGCUGAAAAUUUGGAAGAAAAAAGCAGAGCAAGAAGAAGAAGGUCCUCCUCUGGUGUGGUUCGAAACCUCUGCCACUGUUUCUCGCCGCUUCCAGUUUGAACCCAAUGGCCAACUUUCUGUACUCUCCAACUACUCACCCUCUUUACAAAGUUGUAAUUUUUAAAUAAAAAAAAGUUAGGAGUUAAAAUAUUGUUACUUGCUCUAAGGAAAUGUUUUUUUUUUUUUUUUCCAAUGGUAAUUACAAAAACAUUAUCUUAUUUCACUUUGUUUCAUUUUAUCCAAAUAUUGGUACAAUGGUGAAAACAACUUGUGAAUUUAUUUAAAGUGUCUUUUGGUCUCUCUGUAGGUAACGCUUGUUGGUGAUUCUAGGCCAUUAUACCACAGGAUUGUUGACUCUUUCUUGAAUAAAUUUUUCCCUUCAGGAUAUCCAUACAGGUUCUUUGGUCUUUUCCUGAGUAUGUUGUAUGCAAUGGUUAUUUGUUUGACUAGCUAAUUUGUUUUUUCAGUGUUCGCCUUGCAGUGUGAAUGAAGGUUACCUCAGAUACACGCAGUUUCGAGCACUGCAACACACUGCGAGUGCCGCGCUAUCAGUGUUAUCAACUCAGGUCUUCUUCUAAUAACUUAAGAACCUCAGCAAAUCAUGUAACUGCUUUCCUAACGACGGAUGCUAAAUUCUUGUGGAAGCUAGGUGCAUUUUGGUUUUGAUUAUCUUUUGGGGGAAGUUGCUUUUUUUUUCUUUUCUUGUAAGCUAAUUCAAACACAGUAGAUGUUGGCUUGUGCUAGCAGAUAUAACUAAAAUUGAUUUAUAAUUUUAUUAUGAUAUAUAAUCAAGAGAAAUAACUAAUUAAGAGGGAUCUAAUUUGAGCGGUAUCGCCUCUUUGCCAAACCCGAAGGUUAAAGUUAAGAACAAAAGAGCAUUGAUUAGUUUGAGUUGGUGUGAGAGUUUGUGAUUGAGAGCUACUCAUGUUGAGAGAAAAUGCUAGUGAAGGAAAUUGGAAAACUAAAGGAAUAGUUAGUGCAAUGAAUCACAAAGAAUUAAUCAUUUUUAUUUAAAGAAAGCCAGAAAGACUUUAAGAGUGGAUGAAUUUUGCUGGAAAGAGGAUUGCUGGCAUGACUUGAAUGUUGUUGAAGAUGAGGUGGCAUGAGGGUACAAGUAAUGAAGAGCAUGUAGCAGUCUUAAGGAUCUAGCUAUCCUGAUUUGGCAAUGCUAUAAUCUGUGAGCCCAUUUUAAUAUUUUGUAAUGCCUGUAUAUGUAGAACAUUCUUUUUAAUAACUGUAAAUUUUUACAGAAGGAUCUCCACAAAAUAAUUGAGUUUGAAGUGGGUGUCUAUUAGCAGACCUCCAACAAGAGGAGUCUAAAUUUUGAAGAAUAAGGAGUGUAACCAUUUAGUCUGCUAUUAUACAGAGUUUGUUAUAAGGUGGCAGGAGGAGAUUGGGGGGAUUUUUUGCAUAAAGAGAAAGGGGAGAGGCAAGGUGUCACAAAUUCCUUCAGAGAGUUAUACUUUUGUAUUGCACAGUGUUCUUAGUCUCUGCUGUCUUCUCUAUAAUACUCUGAUACCAAUUCCGAGAUAAAUUAUCUAGCAAUAGGGAUUACAUCUUUGCCUCAUUUUCUUGUCCAAUUCUGUUAGUAUUUUUGUUCUGUAUGCUCAUUCUUCUGCAGUCACUGCUAUUUGCUGCAGGCUUGCGGCCCACUCCUGCACAAGCGACUGCUGUUAGUUGGGUAAUUUGAUACUACUUUGUAAUUGACAAUUUCUCAGAACAGUUAUGCUGGCUUGCAUUUAAUGUAUAAUUUGUUUCUCGAUGUGCAGGUUUUAAAGGACGGUAUGCAACAUUUAGGGAAUAUAAUAUGUAGCAAGUUGGGUGCAAGAAUGGAUUCUGAGCCUAAACGUUGGAGAAUCUUAGGUUUUCAUUUAAGUUGGAACUUUUCACUUUUUUUUUUAGUAUCUCUGAUUUGUCAAGUUCUAUGGUGUAUGACUGUGAUAAGCCUUCUAUUUUGCAGCUGAUGUGCUCUAUGAUUUAGGGACUGGUUUGGAAGUUCUUUCUCCCUUGUGUCCACAGUUUUUUCUUGAGAUGGCAGGCAUAGGGAAUUUGGCCAAGGUACACACUUUUAUUGAGUUUUUAAAAUUAAUUUACAUGGUGAUGGUGACAUUUGUUGUCAUACAAAUUGGAUACAAUACUAGUUGUUUAUUCUCAUUCAUGCCUAUGUGUAUGUCAGAACAAGAAACAUUUCUUGUUCGAGUGAAAGUAAUUGGUUAAAAACCAUCUUAUGUUGGGUAUAAACUUACCUUUUCUCUCAUUUUGGAGUCAACAGGGGAUGUCAAUUGUUGCAUCACGAGCUACAAGAUUACCUAUAUAUUCUUCAUUUGCUAAAGAAGGAAAUCUAAGUGACCUAUUUGCUAGAGGGGAGGCUAUUUCAACUCUCUUUAAUGUUGUUGGAAUUGGAAUUGGAAUUCAAUUAGCAUCUACUGUAUGUGCGUCAAUGCAGGGAAAGGUAUACCCAUACCAAAUUUUAGCAACUCAACCUAUCCUGUAAAAAAUUGUGAUUUCUGUUAGGUUUUGUGAUAACCAUGUUGGUUAUUUGCAAUUAGAAGCAUUAUUAAAAAGUAUGACAGCAAAGAACUUUAUUAUUUUAUCUUCUUGAGAUAGAAAUAAUCUGGCCAUGUACUGAAAUAAUAAAUAUACAUUUAUUUAUGAAUCCAAACUGACAGAUUAUGAAACAUUUCUUUUUAGUUGGUUGUGGGGCCUCUACUAUCAAUUAUACACAUAUACAGUGUUUCUGAAGAAAUGAGAGCAACUCCUGUCAAUACAUUGAAUCCACAAAGGACUGCAAUGAUUGUGGCUGAUUUUCUCAAGGUGUGGUUUGAUUUUUUUUGUAAAUGAAUUCUCUCUUGGUUUCUUUAUUUGUAAAACUGAAAUGCUGUUGGACUGUUAAUUGAGUUCAAGUCAGGCUGGAAGUGUAUCAAGCCCAGCUGAUCUAAGAUAUCGAGAAGAUUUGCUAUUUCCUCGAAGACUCAUAGAAGAUGCUGGAAAUGUAAGAGUUGGUAGGGAUUUGCACAAGGUUAUUAAGCCUUCAAGGCUUCUUGAAUCAAAACAAGUAUUCCCUGGGGAGAAGUUUAUUUUAAAUGGUGAUAAUAGGUGCAUCGACAUGGUAUUGGAGCAGGAUGCUAUCGGCAAAGAUGCAUUGAGAGGGUGGCUAGUUGCUUCAUAUGCUGUACAAAUUGGCAAGUCCUCUCACGAGCUCAGUACCAGUACCCUGCUACAGGCCUAUGAGAAAAUGAAUGAGGUCUUCCCUGCCUUUAUAAAAGAAUUACAGUGCAAAGGGUGGCAUACAGAUCGGUUUCUUGAUGGAAGUGGUUGCCGCUUUGCAUUGUAGUGUACAAAUUAAUCCUAUAUUGGCUUUAGUAGGCCUUUUACCUAUUGCGAGAGAUUUGAUGCAUUACAUGUGAUGGUUCAGGUUACUUCUUCAAGUUAAUCUUAAUAUAGCUGUCUGUAUCUAACUAUCCUGCUGCAGGAUGAUCAACGGUCCAUAUCCUGAAAUGUAGGAUGCAUAUAGUAGCAAUUGACUUUGUUUUCUUCUCUUGGCUUGAUUUCAUCUCAUUAAUUCUAUUUUAUUGAAUAAAUCAUCUUUGACUUAAUGAUAGUGAAAAAGAGGCUUUUCCAUAAAUUGAUAUAAAACAUCAGAAUGUAUUUAUGAUUGACAUAAUUUGAUAAAUGAUAUAUACCCUUGAAAGUUGAAAUAGUUUGUGGGAUGUCUUUGAUUUAUGAGAACAUAGGAAUGUAAAGAGAGAAAGUGGAGAAUCAAUUAAAAGAUAUAAAAGGUGUCGAUAAAACAUCUGAUAAUGAUUUUGAUAUGGAUUUGUGUCUCUUAUUCUGAUUUUGGAUCUGGGUUUAUUUUUUAACUGAGAUUGCAUUGAUUGAUAGAGGCAUGCGGAAAAUUUUAGAAAGCCAAAACAAUUUCUGGGGUUUUAUAACCGUCAGAAAUUGUUUAUUUCAUUUUAGCAAAAUAAUUUCUAGUGAUUUUUAAUUGUCAGAAAAUUAAAUGUCACUAAACACAAUUAAAUUAAUGUCAUGUCAUCAUUUAAUGGUGUUUUUGAAGAACAGACCAAAUACAUAAUUAAUCCAUUUGAAAAUUUUAAGAACAGGCUUAAGUAAUCUUUUGGGUCCCAUGAAAUAGCAUGUUUUGAUUUUACUCCUUUAAAUAUUUUUGUUUUGAUUUUAGUUCUUUAAAGCUUUUUUUGUUUUGUUUUAAUUUUUAUUGUUAAUUAACAAUAUUAAAUAAUGAUAUAACAAUCACGAUAGUAACUUAUUGACUUGUUACGUCGUGAAGGAGUAGAAAUAUGAUUAACACAAUCUUUUUUUUCGUAAAUGUUUUAAAAUUUUGAUAUGUUCAAAAUAAUUAUGACAUUAGACUAGUAGGUGAAAGAUUUAACAAAAUUUAGAAAAAUAAAAUAAAAUAAAUCCAUACUUAUCAUAUUAUACUCUUGGGUGAUAUGACAUGUUAAUAAACUACUAAUAUCAAUAUAUCAUUAGUUAAUACUAUUACUAUCUUACUUGAUAAUUGAGACUAAAACUAUCAAUUUUUAAAGGACUAAAAGAUAAACAAUUAAAUUAAUAAACAUCCUAUUUCAUAUUGGUUUAUAUAAAACAUAAAGCUUUAGAUAGGAAAGGAGUUCAUAAACAUUUCAUCCAAGAAGAGAGAAUGUGAGAAACAAAUAGAAGUUAAAAGUCUAGCAAUACAAGGUGAUUUUAUACUUAUUCAGUGAAACUAAAGAACAUUCAAUUCUCAUUUAACCUAAUAAAAGUCAUGCUAAUGAAAAGAAGGUUACAAAAUAAAUAUUCUUGAUGUUACUCUUGAUUACAACAACAAUCUCAGCCUGAAAUAAUAAAAUUGAAGGAUUUUUUUAUACGAAGUCACUCUUGUCUAUUCCUACCAACAAAGUGUUAAAAAAAAUUACAAAAAUCUACUCAAGUGAGAAUAUGUAAGUUAAUAAGCACAAAUACAAUGACUUUGCAAUGCUAAGGGUAGAAUGUUUAAUCACAUAUGUUCCAUCCAGAAUAGUUUAUCAUAAUAGAAUGUUUCGUCCAAUAUGAUUGUUAGAGACACAUAUUUAUUCUUUUCAAGUUUUUAUAUAGGCUUGAACGAAGAUGUAUGUAUCUAUUGUGUGUUGAAGCCCUUGAAAUUUUUCUAAUCUGAGUCUUCAUUUCAUGCACAAAAACUUGACACGUUUCCACUUUUUCGCAUAGGAGAGAGAAAGUAUAUGUCCUUUUUUUCUUAAAAAGUACUGACAUUUUUUGAAGGUGUAUAUUACUUUUGUAUUUUCCACUUCAAUCUUUCCUAUGCACUUAACCUCAAAAAUAUAAUUUGCUUUUGAUUAAAGGCUGUACUUAUACCUAGAAAUCCUAUCUUUUCAUUAAAUACUUGAAAUUCAAACUUUAGAACAUAUUUAAAAAAUAAAAGAAAUAUCAUAUGAAAGGAAUACAAGAACACUUUCACCUUUAACAUAUGAAAAGAGUUCUCACCACGUGAUCUUUAGAUGGAGAAAAACUUAAGUGAAUAUAUACAUCAAGGUGUAAGUUUUUCUUAAUAGUGAUUGGACGUUGAAAGUUGGAUAUAAUAAUAUAGUUCAUAAAAAUGCAUUGGACACAACUUCAUUUGUAGGGCUUCGACACUUGAUUCUUAUAAAAGCUAUGGACGAAAGUCCAUUAUGGUGCACUGUACACAAGUUCAACUAAAACAAUUUUUAGCGUCUAAUGCGUAUAUAAUUUCAAGAACUAAGUCUAAAAAAUGUUUUCAAGAGAUACACAAUUUAUUAACAAUUGAUCAUUUUUUAUAGAAGGCUUAAAUAUAUUUUUUCUUAUAAUUUAACAUUUUUUAUUUUUCAUACCUAUACUUUUUUUUGUUUAGUCCCCACAAAUUAUGUCUAUUUUUUUUUUUUCAUCUUUAUUGUUAAUCGUUGUAACGAAAAAUAAGGACGUGAUAAAUGAAAUGAUAACAUCAUCUUUCCAUGUCAUUACUUGAUGAUAUCAUCUUAUCACGCUAUGAUAUAGAAUGUUACAUAAUAUUAUCAUUAAUUUACAAUAACUAAAAUCAAAACAAACAUAAAUGACAUGGAUGAAAAAAUAUUUAAAUCUUAGUCUCAAAAAAUAUAUAUUUAAAUCUCAAAUUAAAUAUUAAAAUAAAGGCUUACAUAUUAAAACAAAGGCCUCCAAUUAUAUUUUAAAAUUUAUGCAUUUAAUAAUGUGAUAUAUUUUACACCAUCAAACUUUUGUAAUUUCCUACCAUGAAAACUAUGGAGUGCGUGGUUCAAUUAGUAUGAGAUUUUUUCACUUUAAUCAAAUGUGUUGAGUUUGUAUUUUGAAUAUCCAACUACAUUAAACAUUGGUACGAUAUGUGGUCGUAAUAUUUUUUACAUCCUUUCUAUCAUUAAAUCGAAAGACUUGAUUAAGAGAAAAUAAAUUUGAAAAAGAUAUUUACUUCGAUGAAUGAAGAAAAAACAAGUUCUCUACAGAAACUAAGGGGGAGACAAGCAGCAACAAAAGUUGUCCUAACGCCCUCAUUUCUAAAUGAUGCGAUUUUUACUCUGAAAUUCAUGGAUCGUCUUGUUUAGUACCUUUUUUAAAGGAAGCAAAAGAUUAGGAAUAUCCACUUUUCUAGUCUUUUUCUUUUUGGGAGAUUAGAAACGAUGAACUUGAAUAGCAAGCAUGCCUCGUGCUCAUGAGUCAUGACUUAAAAGAGAAUAAUAAUAUAUUUUACUUGUACCUUUUUUUUAUUCUUUGCAUCUCUCUUUUGAUUGUUUUUAAUGUUUUGAAAAUUAAUUUCUAAAAUGCAGAAAAUAAUUCUAAAAACUAAUUUUGAGUUUGAAAAAAAAUGCCAAUAAAAUAACCCAAAAGCAUUUGUUUGAACUCAUUAAAUAGCCAACAAAAUGUCAAUUGGGCUUUGCAGCUCUUUCCACCCAUUUUUAUACCAAGUCCAUCCUUAAAAUUUCAACAUAUAAACUGACAAAAUUACCCUUAAUAAAGAUAUUUUCAUUUUAUAUUAUGUGCGUGGCAAAACACAAUGAAAACAAGUUUUUGUUAUGUUAAUUUAUUUUGUAAAAAUUUACCACUACAAAAGCAUAUUUCAUUGUUUAUUUCAGGUGAAAUAGACAACGUAAACUAAUUUUCCUUGUGUAUUUAAAAAUUUAUUUUAUAAUUGAAAUUAAAUUAAUUAUAAUAUAAGUUACAUUUGUAUUAGUAAACAAAUUAAUUAUGAUACAGAUUAUCCUAAUGAUUGUACAAAUUACACUUUCUAAAAUAAUCAAAUCAACAGUAAUAUAAUUUUAAUUAAAAUUGAAUUAUAAUGACAAUUUACCUUUUAAAAGAACAAUUGAAUUAAUUAUGACACAAAUUAAUAUCAUAAUUAAUUCAAUUAUUAUUAGAAAAAGUAAUUUUAUAAUAAUUAAUUUAAUUACUAUUAUAAUCAUAACUUCUAUCGUAAUAAAUUCAAAUUCAAUUAAUAAAAUAUCAAAUUUGUAUCUUACUUAAAAAGAUUAAUUUAUAUAAUCAUUAAUUUGAUUACUUAAAAAAGUUACUUAUAUAUAAAAUUAAUUACACAAUAAAAGCAUUUUUUUUCAACCUUUAAUGGGAGCAGAAGUUCAGUUGUUAAUAUUGAUUUUCGUUAAUAGACAGACAUCUCGAGUUAUAAGCAAUUAAAGCACACAACUUGAGCGAUGGAAGACAGAAAAUAAAGACAAAACUUGAAGACUGACAUUUUAUUAAGGCGAUUCAAAGGUACAACGCCACUCAGAUAUUAACAUAGGCUGGGUCGGAGGGUGGUAAAUACAUAGGCCAUAGUUUUAUUAUUACACAAAAUAUAUUCUGCUGUGCACAUGGUCAGCCCGUAGCGNNNNNNNNNNNNNNNNNNNNNNNNNNNNNNNNNNNNNNNNNNNNNNNNNNNNNNNNNNNNNNNNNNNNNNNNNNNNNNNNNNNNNNNNNNNNNNNNNNNNNNNNNNNNNNNNNNNNNNNNNNNNNNNNNNNNNNNNNNNNNNNNNNNNNNNNNNNNNNNNNNNNNNNNNNNNNNNNNNNNNNNNNNNNNNNNNNNNNNNNNNNNNNNNNNNNNNNNNNNNNNNNNNNNNNNNNNNNNNNNNNNNNNNNNNNNNNNNNNNNNNNNNNNNNNNNNNNNNNNNNNNNNNNNNNNNNNNNNNNNNNNNNNNNNNNNNNNNNNNNNNNNNNNNNNNNNNNNNNNNNNNNNNNNNNNNNNNNNNNNNNNNNNNNNNNNNNNNNNNNNNNNNNNNNNNNNNNNNNNNNNNNNNNNNNNNNNNNNNNNNNNNNNNNNNNNNNNNNNNNNNNNNNNNNNNNNNNNNNNNNNNNNNNNNNNNNNNNNNNNNNNNNNNNNNNNNNNNNNNNNNNNNNNNNNNNNNNNNNNNNNNNNNNNNNNNNNNNNNNNNNNNNNNNNNNNNNNNNGGAAAGAACCUCCGAAGGGAUUGCCCUAAACACAUCCUUAAUGUAGCUGCUCACGGCGUUGUGGUGUGUCUUGAACACUACGUAUUCCAAUCCUUGUUCUCCCCCUUGCUCAGCCACCACAAAGUUCUGCGGCACCACUAGCAAUUGUCCCCUCCUUAGCUCACCGUCGAACACUGCAUUCCCUUGGCAGUUCACCACUCUAACUCUUCCUUUCCCUCGAGUCACAUAGAUCACACUGUUCGCGUUCAAGUUCCAAUGUGGAGAGUAAAUUCCAUUCUGCAUGCAUGGAUAUAAUAAUACAUGUUACAUAUUAUUAUUAUUAUUAUAUAAAUGAUAAAUGUUUAAUUAUUAUCAAAUAAGAGGUAAUGAUAUAUUUUAAAUUAUAUGUCGAAACUCACUUUAAAAAAUCAAUGCACAAAUUUAGAAUACAAACAAUUUUACUCCAUUAUAACUAUAAAAUUACCUCUACAUAACCUCUAAAAAUCAGUUAUCUAUCAAAGUGAGAUUUAAUUUAAAUGACAUUAAAAGGAACCCAACCCUACAACAUACUUGUUAACAUUUUUAUGUCUUCUUAUUGUAUCGUAUAUGACCUAUGAAUUAUGAUUUUCCCCCUCUUUUAGUGCUUUCUUUUAUUUCUUUCUCUGAAGAUACACUAAUUAACACUGAAAAUCCACAAAAACACUACUAUGGUAGAUGUGCAAGUAUGCACGUAUAUUAGUUUCAUGUUGAUUACUUGUAAUAUGAAUGAAGUGAAUUACAUACCCUGUAGAGGACAACAUAUUGGGCACUGAGUCCGAAUUGGCGGAGGGCUGGGAGGGUGAGACUGUUGAGGGUGCUAAUGCGACCAGCUUUUGGGUUGUAGAAGUCAGCACGUGAAGGGCGAGCAAUGUUCUCGUGAAGCUUCAUGGUGCAAAUAUUUUCCUCAACCCCAUUUCUAGUCUGACAUCCUCUUCCACGUGGUUCUUGUUGUUCGGGCCUGCUUGGUCGCUGUGGAGGGUGAUCAGGACGAGGUUGAUCUUCUUCUUCGUCCUCGUCCUCGUCAUCUUCAUGCUUUCCAUGGCUUGGUCGUCGUGGAGGAUAAGAGGGAGUUUGUUCAUAUUCUUCGUCUUCAUCUUCGUCUUCGUCUUCUUGUUCUUGCCACUUGGGGCUGAUAACGCUGAGGCCUCCCUCCACUGUCACGAUCUGCUUCCUUUCGUCAUCUGGAGACCGAAGUUUCUCAGCUGUGUCCUCGUUGGUGUUGAAGGAUUGUGCUAAGAAAUGUUUGCUGAAGCCACUGAGCACACUGCCACCUUCUUCCUCCUGCUGCUGGUGUUGCCCCUGCUUGCGUCCACCAUGACUCUUCUGCUGCUGCUGUUGUUGCAUGGUCUCUGGGUGCUCUAUAUCUGGGUUCCCAGCAAGGUAAAAUACCUUGAAAGUAAUUAAAAAAAUUAACAUGUGAGGAGAACAUGUUUUUUUUAAUAAUAAAAUAAUAGUUAAUAGUAAAUGAAGUUCAAUUGAUAUCCAAUCAUGAUACAAGUAUAUAUCCAACUAUUUUAAACACUCCAUUAAUAUAACUUAUUUCUCUUUUCUUAUCACAUUAUAAAUUCUAUCCUAUUUAUAUGUAUUUUUUUCUUUUUCAUUUCUCCCUCUAGAUAUAAGAUAGUGUUCUUCAAACAUUUUUCAUAAAUAAUAAAACAUAACAUCCAAAUGAUGUGAUAUAAAGUAUAUUAAUUAUUUUAUUACUUAGUAUAUUUAAUAAAAGAAAAUAAUAAUAAAAAAUAUUUUGUUAGGUGUCUUUUUAAGUGUGUAUGAUACUAUGCAGUGACAUGUGUAUCACUGCUCAUUAUAAUUACGUACUCUGGGGUUUUGAUCAAGCUGAUUGUUGAAGUUGGAGGUGUCAAGAAGACUGAUGGCAACAACUGGUUCAUCGCCAGUGUUAUAGGUCCAGUAAGGAACACCAGGAGGAAUCACUAGUACGUCUCCUUCAUUGAAGUGACGAAUCUUCUGGUGACUGUCUUGUAGUUGCUGCUGCGACCUUGAGCCUCUUCUGCUUGAUUGCUGUUGUGGCUUCUCAAACGUCUCAGGACAUCCCGGAAAUGCAAAUCCAAUUGCUCCCUUCCCUGUGCAUCAAUCAUCAUCAAGCAAAACAAUCACAUUAAUUAUCAACUAAUUAACACUCUUUAGUCAUCAUAAUUGUUAAGAGUUCAUUCAUAUAACUUGUAAGAUAGUUAGUCAUCAAAUUGUGAUUAGACAUAUAGAUAUAUAGUAUUAUUAUUAUUAUUAUUAUUAUUAGUUUUAUUAGAUGAUACUAUGCCAUAAUGUGGUGUUUAAAACCUAGUUGAGAAAAACAAAUUCUACUAAAAAUGAUUAAUCAAAUUUUCUAGCAGAGAUUAAUUAUAAAAAAUUUAAUAAAUAUUUCAUAUUACUAUUAUUGUUAUCACGUUAAGCUGAUAAAUACUUCUUACUAAUAUUACGCACCUUGAACGACAAUGAUCAUUUGGGGAUAAGGUGAGUAAGAUGGCAAGUGGAGGCCGUUGCGGUUGAGGGUGCGUUUGGAAACAGUGACACCGGCGCAUUGCAGCUCAGGGUGUUGAGAGUUCCAUGUUUCAAUAAGACCACCUUCGGACUCAACGCGGUGGUCGGGUUCCAACGCGUUGAGGUUGUUGAGUUGGCACUCGUUGAACUUGCUGGAGGUAAUAGCAAAGCAUGCACUCGACAAGAGUAGCAAGCAAAGGGAAGAAAGAGAGAGAGUGAAGAAGGGCUUCCCCAUAUUGAACUAAGGAAAGUGUUAAUAAGUUUGAAGGAGUUGGUGAAGUGGAGAACACGAAGAGUGGCGAUUUAUAGUGAAGAGAGGAGAGUGAGUGAGGGACACGUCAAUGAAGAAGGGUUUCUGAGUUGGUGACAUUCUUCACCUUGCAUGGCUAUUGUUUCCAAUUUUGUUACACCUCAUACAUAAGCUAUGCUUCGUUUAUAUCUGCAACCGUACAUGAACAACACCAAAAUUGCAGGCACCCUGAAUGGUCCCCCUCUACAGAUUCUCCGCGUCUCAAAUUCUAUCCUCCUUAUACAAUAAGAUCAGCAUUCUAUUCAGUGCAUCAUAUUUUUUUUAUACAAUUAAUUUCCUUUAUAAAUGAGAUAAGGAUAUGAAAAAAAUGUGAAAUAAAAUAAAUAAUAUUACUGUAAAAGAUAAAAAAAAAGGUUUUAUAAACUGUUAAAUAAUUUUUUUAUAACCAUACUAUAUCAUCUUUUAUAUAAUGCGUUAAAUAUUAAAAAAGAAAAUGACAUCCACAAUAAUCUUAUCUAACUCCUGCAGCAUAAUUGUCUCUGUAAAAGAUAUAUAUCAAAUACUAUGAUGUUUAAAAUCUUUCUCAAUUUGAACUGUUUUACUGUAUAUGCAGUUCGUCACCAUAUAUAAGGUUGGCAUGGAAAAGGAGAAAGAGAGAAAUUGCUGCUUCGAAUCCAUUCUAUUCACAUUUAUAAUAAAAACUAAUAAAUUAACAUUUAUUUAUAAAAAAAAAUUAAUGAUAAAUUUUUCAAAAUUAUAUAUAAAUUAUUUUCACACUAAUUUUUUUUAAAUGUCACUUAGAUUUAAUCAUAAAUCGAAUUUUGAGUAUAUAAUUAUAUUAAACACUUUAAAAAAAAAGGUUUUAUUUCCCAUAAUAAUUCUCCUUGACUUAAAUAAGAUUACCUCCUUUUAUGAAAGGAUACCAAUGCUUUUAAACUUAAAAAUAAAACACUUAAUAAUGUGUCAAAAAAUCAAACACUAUUUUUAUGCCUAAUUGAUUACAUGACGAGCGUGCAUGUUAUAUUAGAUAGACACGCGUUUUACUAGAUUAAAUAUUUUUUAGUUCUUCAAAAUUUAGUAAAAUUCGUUUUUGGAUCCUCAGGUUUAAAGUUAAACGUUUUCAUUUAUAAUUUGAGAAAUAGACUUGUUUUCAUCCUUCAUACUAGUGACCAUAGGUGAAAUGCUAAUGUGGUCAAUGGAUUCAAGUCAUAAUUCGAUCACCACGUCAUUUCCGGUUCAUGUGACCUAAUGGUGUCACAUUAAAGGAACGAAAACUGAAUUUUGCAUUUAAGAGGGAAUUAAACAUUUAGAUUGAAUUAUUAAAAAGAUUAAAAUCGAACUUUAUACGAGAGUCCAAAAGUAUUUUAUUAUGCUUAUAUGUUAAAAUUCAAUAGAAUAAAUAAGUACUCUCCUAUAUGAAGAACCAUAUACUAAUUCCGUUGAUUGAGUAUUAGCUAUGUACUAACAGAAAUAAUUUCCGUUUUUCCCCUUUCUCUUUCUCGUUCUUGGAAAAGUGUGUGCAUGAUUUUUUUUUUAUGAAUUCAUACUCCAACAAAUGGUAUCCAGAGCAGGUUGUUGAAGGGUGGUCAUCGAUCGAAAGUGAGGUGAGUGAAACCUAAACACGAGAGACGGUAAGCGAGUGAAAACACGAGAGACGGUGAGGAACCUUAUCAAUGGCAACAACGAACGAAAACUUUCCGGCGAACUUUCCGGUUCUUGAUGGGAGAAAUUACGAUCAGUGGAGUAUGAAGAUGAAGGCGAUCCUCGAUUAUCAAGAUGUGUGGGAUCUGGUGGUGAACGGACUUGAUCCGCUGCCGGUGAAUCCAACCACUGCGUAACAAGCGAUAUAUAGAGAUGCGAAGAAGAAGGAUUGCAAAGGUUUGUGCAUUCUGCAUCAGUGUGUGAAUCAAGCAAUUUUUGAGAAAUUUGCGAGAUCGGAGACGAGCAAAGCGGCGUGGGAUGUUCUCGCGAGCUCCUACGCCGGUGAUCAGAAAUUGAAGAAAGUACGACUUCAAACUCUAAGGUGACAGUAUGAAUUGCUAGGCAUGGAAGAGAGUGAGACAAUUGCUACCUAUUUCACUCGUGUUCAAACCAUGACAAAUCAAACGCCGGUGAUCGGUGCAUUCGCGAUUUGAUCAUGUCACGGUAGCGAUUGAAGAAUCGAAGGAUCUAUCAACGCUAAAAUGGAGGAGCUCAAGNNNNNNNNNNNNNNNNNNNNNNNNNNNNNNNNNNNNNNNNNNNNNNNNNNNNNNNNNNNNNNNNNNNNNNNNNNNNNNNNNNNNNNNNNNNNNNNNNNNNAACUCUGGUAGAGGAAACUCUAGUAAUAAUUACAAUAGUGAACAAAAGAACAAUAGCAGUGAAAAUUAUAGAAGAAGAGGUGGAAGAGGUGGUAGAGGAAGAGGUGGAAGAGGAGGAAGAAAAAUUGAUAAGAGUCACAUUCAAUGUUAUAAUUGUGAGAAAUACGGUCAUUUUGCCGAUGAAUGCUAUAGUAAUCCAAGCCACCCUGAGGCAAGAUUGGCUUAAGAAGAAGAUGAGAAGGAGGAAAUUCUGUUAAUGGCAGUAGAGGAGGAAAUUGGUGAUGAUGGAGUGGAAGAAGUGAGAAAGGAGAAAGUAGAUAUAGAAGAAGUGUUAUAUAUGGUGACUGUGAAGGAUGAGAGUGAUCAUGGUGAUAACUGGUUCCUUGACACUGGGUGUUCAACACACAUGUCAUGAAAGAAGGAAUGGUUUGUUGAGAUAGAUUUCACUGUCAAAAGCAGGGUGAGGUUUGCUGAUGACAGGACUAUGAAGGUUGAAGGUGUAGGAAAGGUGAUGAUCAGGAAGAGAGAUGGAUCUAAAUGCUUUAUUUCUGGAGUGUUGUAUGUUCCAGGAAUGAAGAGCAAUCUUCUGAGCAUUGGACAGCUACUGGAGAAAGGGUACAAGAUGGUGUUGGAGGAUUGUGCCAUGAAGGUGUAUGACAAUGAGAGGAGAUUGUUGAUUAAAGCAAAUUUGUCAAAGAAUAGAACAUUUAAAGCUGAGCUAGAUGUUCUAGUGCAACAAUGUUUAGCAUCAACAAUUGACAAGGAAGAAUGGCUAUGGCAUUUUCGUUAUGGUCACUUAAACUUCAUUGAUCUGAAUAGGUUACAGAGUAAGGGAAUAGUGAAAGGAAUUUCUCAUAUCAAGGUGCCAAAUGAUGUAUGUGGAGAAUGUAUAAAAAGCAAGAUGUCCAGAAACUCAUUCAAUCAAAAUGUAUCCACAAGAUCCAAGAGGAAGUUGCAAGUUGUUUUUUCUGAUGUAUGUGGACCAAUUCAACAUAUGACUCCUGGAGGUAACAAAUAAUUUGUUACAUUUAUAGAUGAGUUUAGUAGAAAACUUUGGAUUUACUUGAUUAAGAGGAAGAGUGAUGUGAUUGAAGUAUUCAAGAAAUUCAAAGUUUCAGUGGAGAAACAGUGUGGAAAGAAUUUAGAGAUAUUAAGAACGGAUGGUGGGGGUGAAUAUGUAUAUGCUGAGUUUGCUGAAUUUUGUGAGAAAGAAGGCAUCACACAUGAAGUAACACCUCCAUACACUCCUCAACAUAAUGGAGUAGCUGAAAGGAAGAAUAGAACUUUGUUGAACAUGGUGAGGAGCAUGUUAAAGAGCAAGAAACUACCAAAAUAUUUGUGGGGAGAAGCUGUGAACACUGCUGCAUACAUCUUGAACAGAAGCCCAACUAGGAAAUUGGAAAAUAUAACACCUGAGGAAGCUUGGACAGGAGUGAAACCAAGUGUGUCUCACCUCAGUGUUUGGAUUUAUUUGUUAUAGACAUAUACCUGACCAACUGAGAACUAAACUUGAUGAUAAAGGAGAAAUGAUGAUAUUGAUUGGAUAUCACUCAACUGGAGGUUAUAAAUUGUUGAAUCCAGUAAACAACAAGAUAGUGAUAAGCAGGGAUGUAGUAGUGGAUGAAAGCAAGGAUUGGGAGUGGAAUGUCACACCAGAGAUAGAAAAAUAGAAUCAAGUUGAAUUGCAACUUGAAGACAGUGACACUGUGACUGUGCAAGAAAAUGAAACUGGAGAAGGCAGUGCUGAGGGGCCAAGAAGAUCUUUGAGACAGAGACAAGUCCCUCAAAGAUUAAAUGAUUUUGAAUUGUUGAAUGAUGGUGCAAUUAAUGAUGAAGGUGAGCCACUCACAGUGGAAAAGAAGCAGUGCAGAAUAAGAAAUGGAUUAAAGCUAUGAAUGAAGAGCUUAAUUCCAUAGAAAAGAAUAAUACUUGGGAGUUAGUGGAACUACCAAAGAAUAAGAAAGCCAUUGGAGUGAAGUGGGUGUAUAAGGUGAAAGUAAAUCCCAAAGGAGAAGUGGUGAGGUAUAAGGCUAGAUUAGUAGCAAGGGGAUUUCUCCAAAGGCAAGGCAUUGACUAUGAAGAAGUAUUUGCACCUGUGGCUAGAUUAGAGACAGUGAGAGUGGUGGUGGCACAUGCAAGUUUGAGAGGGUGGAAACUACAUCAACUUGAUGUAAAAUCAGCAUUUUUGAAUGGUGAUUUACAAGAGGAAGUGUACAUUGAUCAACCACCUGGGUUUGUAGUGAAAGGCAGUGAGAGAAAGGUGUUCAAAUUGAGGAAGGCUCUAUAUGGGUUGAAACAGGCACCAUGUGCUUGGAACAUGAAAAUAGAUAAGAGCUUGACCAAUUUGGGUUUUGUGAAAUGUAGGUCUGAGCAUGGAGUGUAUGUGAAGUCAGGGGGUGAAGACAUUAUGAUGCUAUGCCUUUAUGUUGAUGAUCUGUUAUUGAUAGGAAACAAUGAAGCAAAAGUGAAUGAAUUUAAGAAAAAUCUGAUGGAUGAGUUUGACAUGACUGACCUGGGUGAGUUGUCAUAUUUCCUUGGAAUUGAAUUCAAGAAGUGUAGUGAAGGAAUUGUUCUCACACAGCAAAAAUAUGCUACUGAUAUUCUGCAUAGAUUCAAUAUGCAACACUGUAACAGUGCUGAAACACCUGCAGAAGCUGGAUUGUGGCUCGAUAGAGAUAAUGAAGAGGACUUAGUAGAUCCUACUGAGUUUAGAAGGAUUGUUGGGGCAUUGAGAUAUCUCUGCAACACCAGACCUGAUCUGGUUUUCAGUGUUGGUCUGAUUAGCAGAGUUAUGGACAGGCCUAGAGUAUCACAUCUCAAUGCAGCAAAACGAAUAUUGAGAUAUGUGAAAGGAACAAUUGGUUAUGGAAUUUCGAUGCCCAUUAACCAUAGUGAAAAUACAAGAAAUCUAUAUGGCUAUACAGAUGUUGAUUGGUGUGGAGACAAAAGUGAUAGGAAGAGCACUGCUGGGUUUGUUUUUCUAAUUGAUUCAGCACCAAUUUCUUGGAGCUCGAAGAAGUAAUCUGUGGUUGCACUUUCAUCGUGCGAAGCUGAAUACAUUGUUGCUGCAAUGGGAGCUUGUCAAGUAGUGUGGCUUGAUACUUUGAUGCAGGAACUGAAGAUCAAAGAAGAAGGUCCAGUUGAGCUAUAUGUAGAUAACAAAUCUACAAUCAAGUUAGCCAAACAUCCAAUUGCACAUGGAAGAUCAAAGCACAUUGAAACCAAAUUUCAUUUCAUAAGAGACCAAGUUGCGAAGGGGAAAUUCAAGUUGAAGUUCUGCAGAUCAGAAGAUCAGCUUGCAGAUAUAUUUACCAAGUCCUUGAAAUCUGAAACCUUCAAGAAACAGAGAAGCACGCUGAAUAUUGUUGAUAGCAGGAAACUAGCUUAAGGGGGCGUGUUAAAAUUCAAUAGAAUAAAUAAGCUAGUUAUUGAUUGAUAUAGAUAUUGCCACGUGUAAUAAGUACUCUCCUAUAUGCUGAACCAUAUACUAAUUCUGUUGAUUGAGUAUUAGUUAUGUGCUAACAGAAAUAAUUUUCGUUGUAAUUGUUUUUCCCUUUCUCUCUCGUUCUUGAAAAAGUGCGUGCGUGAUUUUUUUUGAUGAAUUCAUACUCCAACAUUAUAUAAAUUAAUAACUUAGGUAGAAUAAAGAAAGAAAGAAAAAACUCAUGAAGUUGUAAUUUAAAACAAUUGAAGUCGUGUUUGAGUAUACCACUUUUACAGAAGAAGAAAAAUCAUAUUUGGAUUGAAGUGGUGUUUAAUCAUGCGAUUUUUGUAUACAUUUUCUUACAUGAAUCUUGAAAUUAAGAAGUUCACAACCCUUGAGAUAAGUUUUGGCUUUAUAUCUCUUUCGCUUCCUUUCUCAUUAUAAAUUAUUCUCGCCAAUUUCAACCUUGUUGGAAGCACUAUGCAGACAUUUAUUCGCAGAAGCCUCUGCUAAUGGCUCACAGGUUGGUUCAAACCAGAGUCAUGUUUCGCAAGUGGUUCGGUCUCUGCUAUCUUCAUUCACUAUUCAAGUUUUGCUAGCAUUCAUCGGAGCAAGCAUGUGGUGCCAACGAAUCAUCGUGAACGUCAUUUCCGUUGCUGAUUUCCUAACAGUUGUCUCUGGAAAUAGAACAUGAACUACACCACAAUAAUAUUAGAAAAACGUCAUUGUUCCAGUCUUCAGCAAAAUGCAUAAGGGAAGAAGCACGAUUAGGGUUCCAGUCUAUGCUUCCCAUGGAUCAUGCCGCCGCCGCAUGAAGAUUAUUAGGAAAACAAACUUCUCUUUAAUAUUCUGUAAUGGUAUAUAUAUAAUUCAGAAGAAGCCAACAGCUAGUCAAACCAUUUAAAUUAGAUAAAUGAUGGUGAUUAUCUCCUGGUUGAAAUUUAUUGUUAAUUGUUAGUUUUGGUCAAUCAAGAAAAAAAUCAUUAAAUAAUAAAUAAAUCCUAUCAAAAUCCAUAAUUUUUGAUAAAUUUUUAUUAAAUAAUAGAGAUAGUAUUAAAAAGAAAAUAUCAGAGAAAAAAUAUUUGUAAUAUUUCUUUUUAAAUUAAAUAACAAAGUCAUGUUUUCAUGGAAGACAACUUCAACCAUUUAAAUUUAAAAACAAAUCAUAUAUUUAAACUCGAUUUUAAUUAUUAAAAAAAUAAAACAAAAAUUAUAUUUUAAAAUACUACUUCUUUGUUGGAAGUAUUUUUUAAAAAACGACUUAUCUAUCUCUAGUAAAAAAAUUGAAAUUCCACCCAUUUUGAUAAUUUUUUAAAUAAUUAUCCCCAUCACGUAAAAAAAGUCUAGAUUUAUAAAUGUAACACAUAAAAAAAAUACCAAAUAAUGAUUUUUUUAAUGUUACAUUAUAAUUUGGAUAAAAAAACUAAAAUGAGAGAAAAUUUUCAAUAUAUUUCAAAAAAAAUAAUAUAGAAAAAAUUAUUACACAAUUGUAUAUAUAGACUUUUUUAUAUAAUUUUUUGGACUACUUUCUAACUUUAGAACAUGUGUCACACUUCUAAAAUGGGGAAAGAAAAAAAUGAAAUUCUCCGGUUUCAAUUUUGAUCAAAGCUCUAUCAGGAAAAAAAAAUGAAAUUCUCCGAUUUCAAUUUUGAUCAAAGCUCUAUCAGCCACUAGCUAGGUUCUUCUAGUUUGUUUGGAUAAUUUUUUUCUAUAAACAUUCAAACAUGAAAAACAAAUGUAAAAUGUGUUAAGUUUCUUCGUCAACAAAAUUCAACUUAAGAAUCUUAGCUUUAAUUAGAAGAAGUUAAAUAAAGAGAGUAUAUUAUAUAUAUAUAUAUAUAUAUAUAUAUAUAUAUAUAUAUAUAUAUAAAGUUUUUUAUCCAUAAGAAUCGAAAAUAGGAUUAAAAAAAUUUCAAUAACUCGCAUGAUACUCAAUCAACUUAGUUAAACAAAUUAAGUGCAUAAAAUUAUUUUAGCUUAUCAGAGAAAGUUGAUUUAUUUUACUUUUUUAUUUUAUUUUAUCAUAAAUAUUGAUCGAGAAGUUUAUCCAAAGAUCACCUUAGUCUACUUUAAGAAGUUCAAUGUGGAUAUUCGCAGCACACUUAUAAACAAGGACAGACGGUAAUUAAUCUCCUAAGUUACUCUUAUGAAAAGAAAAGUAUAAAGUAUUUAAUUAUUAUAUCAAAAUUAUGACAUAAGUAGUUAUAUCUAUCUUUUACAUAAUUGAAAACAUUUAAUAAAAGAACCAAAAACAAUAAUUAGUGUCGCUAGCCAAAUCCAUAAACAAGAUAACAAUUGGGUUUUAAUUGAUUGGGUCUCAAAUCAAAUAAUGGAUUUGUCUUUUCCAUGUUAAAAACUAAUCAGUUGGAAUUCGGAAAGAGGAAAAUAUUCUUUAUGAUCAUAAAUCAUUUAGCUAAUGGUUUUUCAUAAAUCAUUUUACUUUCAUAAUUUAUUAUGAUCAUAUUAUUCUUUUUAAGUGACCCUUGAAAAUAAAGAGUAUAUAUAUAUAUAUGAUCAAUUUUGUUACAAAAUUGCAUGGCCAUCGUUUCCAAUUUUGUUACACCUCACAUAAGCUUUUGUAUUUGUUGGCAUGCUUGUCAUGACCAAAGAAGCAAUUUUUUUGUAUGCUUCGUGUUUAUAACUGAGCAGUUGAAUGAACAAUACCAAAAUUGGAGGCUCUCUUUAGAUUCUCCGCGUCUCAAAAUCUAUCCUCUUCACAAAUAAGAUCAACAUCUCGUUUUUUUUUCCUGACAAGAAACCACCAAUGUUUUUCAACGCACAUACUAUAUAUGAUACUAAUUUCAUCUGCAUUAAGUGACUCUCGUUUAGCCCAAAAAAAUUUAUACAAGAAAGAAAUUAAACAAGUUCAUCCACUAACUCUAGUUAGCUCUCCAUAUAUGAAUGCAACAUACAGAAUCUUUUACUUGUGUCAAUCCUAUGAGUUAAUGAGAUCAACAUUCGAUUCAUAUACAUUAUUUUUAUAUAAUUUCUUUAGUAAAUGAGAUAAAUGGAUAUAAGAAAAAAUGUGAAAUAAAAUGAAUAACAUUGGGUCACACGUAUACAGUAUAAUCACACUUCAGUGUGCAUAUAUAUACGUUGCUAUCAUAUCAUAUUAAACUUACACGUGCCUCGCUUAUAUUAUUCGGAUUGUGAAUUUGGGCUACCAUGUCCAGAAAAUAUAUAGAGGCGUCGAUUUUAUACGUUUAUAUACGAUUGACCCGUAGAUCUAGCUAUCUUGUAAUGUUUGGAUUUCAGGAUUAUAAAAGCAUGCGCAGUAUAGUGAGCAGUGAGAGAAAGAAAAGCAAGAAUAAAUCUUUAAAGAGUGGGACCAUGCAUGUCUGAACUAUUUUAUUAGAGGAAUUAUUGUUACUAAACAUGUUUUAAUUUUAUUUGUUGAUACGAUUCCAGUAAGGAAUUAUGUAAAUUAUUACAUCUAGUAGAGGCUAAUUUUUUUAUUAACGUGUUAUUAGUAAGAAGCAUUUAUUAAUUUUUAUUAAAGAAUUUGACCGAUCUUAAGUUUUUCCUCCCAUAAUCUUUUAUGUUAAUGUUGUUUUUUAAUGAAUGAUUCAGAAGCAAAAGCAAGGAAGGUUACUGAGUGGUUGUCAUUAAUUUGUCUAGGAUUUCUAGGCGGAACAUGAAGCCUACAAAUAUGUUGUUAUGUGGCAUGUGAAAUCUCAAUAAAUCGCAAGAUGCAUGGAUUUUGUGCGUUGCAAUUUCAAUUUUCAUUUUGGCGUUAUUCUAUGAGAAUGAAUUUAAUUUGUAUUGUAUCUGGAGUAUCUGCUUGGGUUGUGAAUUUGAUUCUUUAAUGUCUGAUUGCCUCGCAAAUCGCAAUCAUGUGCCUUGGGUCUCGAGGUGUGCUUGUGGAUGGCGAAUUUUUCAUGCAAAAAAUACAAAAUUAUUCAAAUAAUACAAUUAAAAAAUAUUUACAUAUGAUGCAAUUCACUAUUCAAGGUGAGAAAGUUAUUUUUUUAUUUAACACAUAUUUAAUUACUAAAUUUACAAACAUAUUUUUAAUUAAUUUAGCGUCGGUUAAGCUGAAAAAAUACUUAUAUUAGAUUAUAAAAAAAUAAAAAUCUGCUUAUUUUAUUAAAAAAAAUAUUUUUAAAAACAUAAGUAUUUUUUUAUUCAAAUGUAUUUUGUGUUAUUUCAAUUUUUAUUGAGAUUAUAAAAUAUAAGUACAAAAAUGAAAAAUAUAUUAUAAUUAUAAAGUUUACAACAAAAUAUAAUUAUAUAUUAAAAAGUUAAACAAUAAUUGAAACAAUUAUAGUAACAUUUGUAAUUUUUCUAUAUUUUGCAUAGGAAUAGUCGACAUUAAAUUGAAUACAAAUGUGGUUAAAUAACGAUUGUAUCAAUUAUGCAAAUAAUUUUUGGGUUUUAUUAUUUGAAUAAUUUUUUACUUUUUUUAUUAUUGGGGUGAAAAUUUCUAUGGAUAGCUCGGAUAUGUCAUAGUGUUACCACAAAAUGUUAUUAUUGAGCAUUUUACUAUAUAAGACUAAACUUGGCACAAGAUGUGUUAAAAGUUUAGUAUAAAGAUUACGAAGUCUCAAGUUAGAUAUGGAACUAAACUUGGAGCAGUUAUAAUGCGGCGCUUUUGUUUUCCUUUUGAAUCUUUUGGCUUCUUUCACAAUUUCAGCAGAAUUCUUAAUAUUCAAAUUUCUGAAUUUACUUGUGAUUUAUGAUGCAUCCUGGUAAAGGAGUUUUAAAACUGGUGUAGGCUCAAGGUGUGUUUUGUUUAGGAAAUUAGUUCCAGAAAAUUUUGGUUGAGUUUGUCGCCGACCAAUGUUUUAAUUAACUUCCAUAAGCAGAUUCAAAUUGCUUUCAGUGACCAGCAACCAGAAUUAGACAUGAUUUAUUAAUCAUUUGUUUUUAUUCAGAAAACUUAAUGCACCAUGGUGCAUUUUCCAUUUUGUUGAUGCAACCAAUUGUCCAUAUUUUGACCACGUUCCUAUCUAUCACUAGAUAAACAAGCUGUCCCCCAAAAAUUAUCUCCAACUAAUAAUAUUACACGAUCAUCCAAUUCUAUUCCAUUAAAUUCAUGUGCUUUGAGUUCCAAGUGUUAAAAAAACCAUUAGAAACAUAUAGAUAUGCAAAGAAUCAACAAUUCUAGCAGCCGAGAACUAAAACCUUUGAAUCUUUAGCAGUGAGUAAAACGGGUCUAUUCUGCCAAGCAAUUUCAUGUUGGUAACUGAGUGAGGAAUGUACAAUAUCUUCAAAUCAAAUUGCUACUGUAACAAGAAGAACAUGGGAACAGUGGUUCUAGCUGUAGAUCUAUAGAACAUUUUCUUCUUCUUGUAGGUUCUAUUUUCAACUGUUAUCACUAUCUUCCCAGGUUCACUGAUGUAAAAGGAGUUUCUAGUGCUGCUACCAUCUACACUUUGGUUUUGCAGUAGUACAGUGUAUGAGCCUUCAUCAUCUGGAAUGAACUCUUCCUUGUAGGACACAUCCCAUCCCACCACAGUUACAUCCCACAUUAUUGUCACUCCAAGCUAGACACAUUCCAAAAUCAAAUUACAACAAAUAAGCAAAUUAGUCUUACAUGGUAAAUAAUAAUAAUAAUAAUAAUACUUUUAGGUACAUGUGCAUAAGUGCAUUCAAUUUUGAACCAAAAAAAGAUUCAUGUUGUAUAUACCUGUUGGAUCGGAAAUUCAACUUUAGAAACCGUACUUCCUUUGAUUUUAAGCUCUGAAACCUUAUCAGAAGGCGAGAAGUCUUCAUCAUUGUUCCUCCUUAGACCACCAUAUUCAGUUGGAAGGUGCUCUGGGGCUAUAAACCUUCACAAAUGACAAAUGUUAAUUAACUGUGGUUGAAUAAGAUUGAGAGAAUGGAACACUAAGGUUCAUGUUAAGCACACUUACUUGAGAAGUGUCUGUGUGACCUUCUGUGACCUAGCUAAGAUGAACUUCUUUUUAUUUCUCUGGUUCAUGAACCCUGAUAAUAGCACUUGAGAAGUGUAGAACCAAAAUGGAGCAUAUACUAUAAUCUGCAAAUUAAAUCAAAAAAUGGGGGGAAAGAAAAAUCAAUCAGCAUUCUGCAGUUUCAAUUUAGAUUAAAGCCUAAUAGCCACUAAUACCACUAUGCUCUAUUAUACUUUUAUAAACUAACAUUUUUGUGAAUGAUCUCAGGGUAGUAGUUCUGAAACAAUAUUAGAGCCUUUUUGCUGACUGAGUUGAGCUCCUUGGUUCCUUGCAUUGGAGUGUUCCUCAAAUCAAAAACCUGAAGUAUGGAUUCCACCCCUCCUUCUCUAAAACAAAGCUUCUUCACAGCCUUUUCAAUCAUUUGAAUCCUCCACCUCAAAUACUUGUCACAUGUGUUAUCUGAUCCAAAUGUCUUCUUGUAAACACGCCUGUCUUUGAAAAUCUCACAAGCAUGGUAACACACAGGACGACCUUCCCUAUCCUUACCGCACAAGAAUCCUGCAUUAUUUCCGAACUCAGAACCCAAAUCCUCAUCGGUGAUCCCAUCAACGUUGUUCUCGCGGCGCCACACAAGUGUCUUUUGCAGCAUGUCAAAGGCCUCAUUCACCUUGAAAUCCUUGGCCUUCAAGAAUUUCCUCAAAACAACAUCAGUGCCCUCAUGAGCCUUGCUUAGCAACAAAGGGACACCCCAGAGAGUAAUCUCUCUAAUCUGUUCCCUUGCCACUGCUAUUUCUUGUGGUGCAAGUUUCUCAUGAUCUUGUUCUCCUAACAAAUAGUUCCCAAGAAUGGCAUCCUCAACCUUGCAACGAAACUCGAGCAAUGACUUCUUCAUCUUGAGUUUAAUCUCAGCAGGACUAGGCGCCCCCGCGUCUCCCAAAGCUGUGGCAUCAAGAUCAUCGUCAUCAUCUUCUUGAUCACAAUCAUGAUCUUCUUGGUUCUUCUUCUCUUGGACCUUGAGACUCUUCUCAUCAUUGUUGUUGUUCUUAUCAAAGAAAUUGAUAACCAGGGGUACCCCAACAACGAUUUCCCCAUAUUCAUCAUUGCAACAACAUUCAUUGGCGUCGUUCAUGGUUGCCACUCAAAUGUUGUAAUUAAUUCUUCUCCUGCAUGCACCGAUCCUCCUCCUCCUCCUCCUCCUAGAUUAGAGAGCUCCACAAUCGUGAUUUGGACUACUAUAUCAAGAUUUUUUAACUAUCAGCAACUCAACGCGACUGCAAUUGGAACCACAUGAGCUGCAUUUGUCCGCGAUUUGCCACGAUGCCAACAAUCGCGAUGAAACCACGGUGACCGAUAUUUAAAACCUUAGAGCAUUUGAUGGAGGGAGGGGGUGGAGAAGGAAAGAAGAGAAGAAAGGUGGCAUUUACAUUACAUUAUUACAUGCAUAGAUGCAUGCAUGCAUGAGAAGGCCUUGUUAAUUUGUGACAACCCAAUAAUGUUGAGUGAUGAUGGAUCACUUCCCUCAAAUUGAGAAUGCUCAACCGUUAGUUUAGGUGAGUAGCGCCAAAUAUAGAUCACAAGUAAUGGCUUGGUUUCUUAUUCGUUGGCAAAUAAUGUUUUUGAAUGAUUUAAACCAAGUUGGCAUGGCAAGAGGACAACGCUCUUUUUCAUGCAACAAAAUCAAUUCACACGGGCCAACCUCGUCGUAAUCACAACAAACUUGUAACAUCCUGUUUUUUUCAUAAAAUAAAUAAAAAAGUGUGAGGUCGAGUGUAUUGUAUAAUUCAUUAGCAAUAUUUGCAUGCAAAAAUUAUUUUAAGGGUUAGACCUGAAUUAGGAAAGUGAGAUCCUAAUGGAUUCUUCGAAGUUUAGGCCUUCUGGGUAAAUAUACUCUAUUUGAGUGUUCUUUUAAAUCUAUGUUGAUCUAUAUAGUUAGAGUAUUUUCAUAAAACAGAAUGACCUUGGCUAGUCACCUUAUGAUUUCAUUUAGUGAGAGUGACCUAACAUACUCAUUGUAUGAUGUGUCUUGUUAUCUACUCCUAUGCACUCUAGUGUUGUUUAUAACUGACAUGAUACCACAUUACAUAUAGGAUUGAGUCUUAGUGUAUUUAUUGUAUAACACUUGUGUAAUGAUCAUUGUGACUUCUACAUGAUGGUGGGUAAUAAAUUAUGUGAGUGUGAAAUAUUGUGUUGUACUUGAGAUUUGUAAUGUGAAGGUGUGGAAUGUGAUUUUGUAAUUAAAUCAUUGAGACAAGUGAUGUUACGCAAUGAGUAGUAAAAUGAUGUGAAUUGUGCUAAGUUGAGUUUGUUAUACUUAUAUCAUAUACAUGUGUCUUCAUCUUUACCUGUUUAGGAAUAUGAUAAUUCACUAUGUGUGUUGUUUGUGUAUGACUAGGUGGAUUGUUUUAAGGAGCCUCGUACUGAAAGACGUCAGGAUAUAAUGCUCUGAUAAGAUGUGAUAUUGGGAUAUGAGUUUCUGUUUUAAUUGUAUGAAGUUCCAAACAUGUCAUUUUAUUUUAUUUUAUUUUAUCACUAAACUUGAGUUCUUUUGUAAAUUUGAACGGCCUUAUUUUAAGCCGAAAAUGUUUCAAAGAAGUUUUAUUUGAUAAUAGCAGAGUGAAUCUAAAUCCUUUACCCAUCGUGAAUUUACUUACAAUUUUAUUAAAUAAAAUUAAUUUAAUUAGAUUUUAUGUUAUAUAUAUAUAUAUAUAUAUAUAUAUAUAUAUAUUUCAUUUAUAUGCAUAUCAGUGUUGAAGAUAUCACAUCUUUGCAUUCUUUGCGAUCUUAAAACCUGCCUCAAAAAAAAAAAUCAGGGAUCAACUUUUUAUAUAUCCAAUAGCUUAAUAACCAGGGCCUUGCACUUGCACGCACGGGUGUUGAAAUUUUAAUAUACAAAGUAUUUUUAAAAUUAUUUUAGUGUAAAUAUAUAAUCAAAAUAUAUUGGAUUUGCUCAUAAAAUUAUUUGUCUUCAACAUUUGACCUUCAUCAAACACUUAAAAGUGAAGGGAAAAAAAAGUUAAAUGAUGAGAUAUGCAAGGCGUGGUCAAAGGAAAAUAAAAAUAUGUGAUAAAAGUAUGAAAAAUGAGAUGAAUGGUAAAGAAAGUAAAAAGAAACAUAAACUUACCCAUAAUUUCUUCCUUAUCAUGUCAUUUAAAUGAUAAGCCUUUACUGGAAAAACUAACAGUAGAGUAAUAGAAAACACAGAAGCAUGAUGCGUGCAAGGAUUGUCUAGGAUCACAAAAGUGCCACCAGAUCCUACGGGUAUUCAUAAAAAUAUCCGCUAGCAGGAUGAAAAUUAUCCUUAGAGUUGGAUACAAAACGGAUAUAUACUCAUAAGAACGGAUAUAUACCCAUAAAUUUUCAUGUGUAUUAGUGUGGGUAUGGAUAGUAUACCACCUAUAGUAUCCAACUCGUUUGGCCUUGCACAUAUUAUAUAUAUAUAUAUAUAUAUAUAUAUAUAUAUAUAUAUAUAUAUAUAUAUAUAUAUAUAUAUUUUGUAAAAAAUAAUUAUUCUUUUAUGACUAAUAUUUUAAGUCUCUAAUCUUUAACAAUAUUAUUAUAAGAGUGAAAAAUAUCAAACAUUUAAUUAAGUUAUUAGAAUAUUGACUUUAACAAUUGUUAUAUUGGAUGAUUAUUUUUGUAAUUUUAUUUAUUUAUGAGUUUAGAAAAACCAAUAUUAUGUUUGCUUGUUUUAAUUAAAUUUUAAAUAUUUUUAUGAUUUAUUAUUAUUAAUUUUAUAUGAGUCAUAAAUACCAAUAAGGAUAUAUAGUAUAGGAUCAUAUACGGAUAUUAUUUUUAAACACGAUGUAAAUCUUACCCAAGUCCUAUCCAUUAUCACCCUUUUGAUUGUCUAAGGAAAAAAGAAGUAGAAUAUAUAUUUAUUAUAAUUAUAAUUACCCUAAUAAAAAAGAUUAAUUUAAUUAGUUUACUUUAAAAUAAUCUUAUUUACCUCAAUUAAUGUAUAUUAUAACUACCUUGAUUUUAAAAUAGAAUAUACAUUGUUUAAAAUAGCCUACGUAACAACACUUCUUUUAUAAUAAAAAAAAAUUGAUAAAAGUUAUAUUUGUAAAAUAAAUAUAUUUUGAAAAAAGAAAUUAUAAUAAAUUAAUUAUUAUAUUAUAAAAAUCAAAAUAUGCAUAAUUACUAUAAUAAAAUAUUUAUACUGAGCAUACAUAAUUACUAUAACUACUAUAAAUAUAAUAAUAUAAUAAUAAAUAAUAUAUGUAAUAAUUAGUUUAAUUAUACAUUUCAAAAGAGUUUGAUUUUCAUAUGUUAACUUAUUUAAAUUUUCAAAGAUAGUAAUGCGAGAUUAUCAUCCUAUAAUAUAUUUUUGUCACAAAAUUAUCAUAAAUUUAAUGUUUUUUUUUCAAUUUGAAUCCAUUAUAAAUUUGAAAUUCGGAAUAAAAUAUAUGUUAUUUUAAUUAUAUAUAUAUAUAUAUAUAUAUAUAUAUAUAUAAUAAUAAUAAUAUAUUACAAUAAUCACAUUAAUUAUGUAUUUUAAAAUGUUCAAAUUACCAAUGAUCAAUCAUAAAAAUAGAUUAAUUGUCAACUUAUAUAUAAAAUCCCAGUAAUAUAUUUAUGUCACGAAAUUGAUAUAAAUCUUAAGCGAUUUUUAAGAUUUUGAAAUUUGAAAAUUUUGAAUUAGAAUAUAUUGUGUUAUAUAAAUUAAAAAGUGAUAUUGAAAACACGUGAUAUUAAAAAAAAUUGCCAUAAUUAUAAACCAAUAUCUAUUUAAGAUUUAAUGUUUUAAUUGAUUAAUUUAAUCAAAAUAUGUAUACGUGUUAUAAGUGUCUAUGUUACUAUAAUUAAAUAAAAUAGUGUAUUUUUUAUAAAUUAAAAAAUAAAAUAAAAUAAAAUAAUAGAAUUAGGCAAGAAAAGAAUGAAUAUGAUGAUUUCAACCGUGCACCUAUCAGGUAGGCAUUAUUAACCUUCCUAAUUUUGACCAGCACGGUAUGCACGUACGAAAUGUUAAACUAUAUUUUUCUAUAUACAUCAGAAAUAAAAGAAACGUUAUACUAUAUAAAUGUCAGCUGAUCCUGGGACUAGCUUUUUCAUAGAUUUUUUUUUCUUAUAGAUUCCAAUGUAAGACUUAUUUAAAGAAAAUAAUAACAUAUACCACGAACUAACCAGUUGUUGGUACCGUUCAAUUUAUAAAUGUUAGUGUCAGCGUUAAACUGUAUUUGUAAGGUUUAUUUAUAUAAUUUCUUUUACGAUAAUAUAAGAAAAAAGAUAAACAUAAGAUAAUAUUAUGUGAAUAAAAAAUUGUAACCAAAAAGUUAAACCAUAAACAAAAUUCAAAAAUCAAUGAAGAACAAAAAACAUUUUACACUAAAAUUUAACAUAAACACCAAUCAGAAUUUUGUGGUACAAACUCUCCUAAUCAAUCAGUCUGCUUGGGAAACAAAAUAUAUAAAUUGGAUGAUAGAAUUUUCUAAUUAUAGUUCUCUUCAACUAAAGAAGUGACGAAAGCAAAAAAUAUAAUCAAAGGAUUAGUAUCCACUUGACCAACCGCACGAGUUUAAUUAGUUAAUUAUCAUAUUGUCAAAUAUCAUUUUCUAAAAAUCAAACAUAAUAAGCAAAAAAUUCGUACAAGUGAUAAACAAGGCCACUACUUUAGGUUGACAAUUCAACAAUUGUUUCUUUGCAAAUUACUUGACAAACUUGGCCUCUUCUUUCAUUUAGUUCAUAAAGAUGCUUCAAUCCUUAUGCCUAUUUGAGCUUUAGGGCUAUGCAUCACAUGCAAGAAAGUAAUAGUCAAGCCAGAGAAAAAGUUAAAUGAAUAAAAUAUAAUUCAAGAACGAACGUUUGGACAUCUAGCUACUGUAUUCUACAUAAUCUGAGGAAAUCCUAUUUACAAUAGUUUUAAAAAGAACCCAACUGGUAACUUAAAACACAAGAAAUUGAAGAGGGGUGAAAAGAAGGAUUCACAUUAGUUUGGCCACCUCCAGACAAGAAAUAAAAAUGCAACCAACCUCUGAAUGCGGUACAUAUAACAGGCGGCUUAUCAACUGUACCUUAUGGAUGAAUUUUAGAACUCUCGGUAUUUAGUCAAAUCAAAUGUGAGAGUUCUCGAACAGCUGCAAAUUCCAAGUAAACCAGGUCAAUACACUGAGCUAGUGCCAUAAACAUACUAUUUAAAUCAAUUAAUGAUAUCAAGAAAUUUACCCUCUUUCAGAGUCUCUGUAAACCCCAACUAAUGCUUCGGCUUUGUCAUAAAAGGUGUCUUUCAGUGAUAUCACUAUACUCUGAAAACCAUUUCCACCAUCAGCAUCCUGACUAGUCCUUGCUCCUUCACAAGAUUUUGAACGAAUAAAGCCAGCAACCUUGGCAACAUUCAAGUUGUCCAAUGCAGCAUCAACUUCGUCCAAUAUAAAGAAUGGUGAAGGCUUAUAACUGAAACAAGAAGCAAGUAGGGAACCAUGUUAAUGGAACAUGAAGAUCAGAUAUCAGCAAAAUAGUUUUAGGCUUAUGUGAGAUGUGUCAGUAUAUUAGAUGAAUUUGUGUUAUUAAACACAAAUUCAGAGUAGUUACAAAAUAUUCUUGUUCUAAUAUUAGUACAAACAACUACCUAUGGAUGGAGAAUAGCAAUGCAAGUGCAGCAACUGUCUUUUCCCCACCAGAUAGCUGCUCCAUAUCACGGAAGCGCUUUGUUGGGGGCAUAGCAGUGUACUUGAUGCCAUGUAGAAAGGGAUCAUCAUCAUUUUCCAAGUUUAGGUAUGCUGUUCCACCCAGUGGAUGCGUGUUGCUCUUUGUAAGUUGUUUGUAAAUUUUAUCUAUAUUACCAGAUAUAUGGGUGAAAGCAUCCAUGAACAAGUGGUACCUGCAUCCAACACAAACUUUGGCUUCCUCAGAGGACAGAUAAGAUACAACAAUUAUCUAUUCAAAACAAGCUCCAAAACAGACGGCAAAGAAAACUCCCAUAUAUCUCAAUAUGAACAAUAAGUAACUAGAAAUCAAAGAUACACAUAGAAGUCAAAUAAGGAAAGCAUGUCAACUUUUUCUUCUUUUUUGUGUGUGUGUGUUGGGUUGGGGGGGAUGACAUAAGGUCAUAGUUUUCAGAAUUAGAGAGAUUCGCAAGGGGAAAUGUAGGACAAUACAUUUUCAGCAGAAACUUUUCCACAACCCCUUCAGUGAAAUUAUCAAAUAAUCAAGUCGACCAGGAGCUGAUUGACCUUUUUUAUUAGGAAUCUUUUAACAUAAGAUCAUAUUUUGUGGAUUUUUUGUGAAGUUACCAUCACAAUUUCAAAUUGGAUCUUAAAGGAUGUUGAUGUUACUAUCACAGUUCUGAGGGAUCAUAAAGGUUCUUCUGAAUUCUAUGAUGUGAUGCCAAAAUAGUAAAUGGUGGAAGCCAGUGAAUGGGUGACCACCCCCAAAAUGCUAUAGUGGCAUAGUAGAUUGUGACUUGUGAGGCAGCCCCUGCAGCAAGAUAUUAUCUAGAAUGAAAAUAAUUGAAAACGAAAAGAGUAAAGCACACAAAUAUGUGUGUGGAGUAGCACAUUACAGCAUUUACUCAAAUUUGAUAAAUCACACAAUUUAGUAUAGCAUCAUCUGUUACGCCUUGUUUGGUACGAAGGAAGGAAAUAACUUUUAGUAGAAGGAAAUGGGUUGGUGUUUGGUAGGUGAGACUUAGAGAGAAAUUAAUAUAAUUGUUGUGACAGUAUAAUAUUUCUCACUUAUAUCCACUAAUUUCUCCAUGUCUCUCCUCAUCUCUUCUCUAUUUCUCUUCUAACCAAACACCUUUAAUUUUCACUUUAUUUCUCACUUAUUUCCAUUCAUCCUUUUUUUAUUUUCAUCCACCCUAUUUUCUCCUCUACCAAACAGGGCAUUAAAAACCACUCCUCACUUAUACAAACAACUAGUCAUUUCAUUUUUUCUUUGCAUGUUUUCUGAUGUAAUUUUAAGAUUCCUUAAUGUGUCCACCUAAACCAUGCACACUAUAAACUAUUGGCUAGGUACUAAUGUUAUACAAAAUACAAGUAAUGGCAAAUGAAACAAAAAUAACUUGUACCUUCUCUGCUUAACCUCAUUGAAUCUCUGUGUUUUUUCCCUCUCCUCUUUCCUGACAGCUUCAAACUCUUCAGUUACAACUCUCUCUUUUUCUAGCAGAGCUUCAUAUUGGUCUAAUGCCUUCAAAUUUGGUGCAGUUCUUUCAAUUUCAGAUAUCAAGGCAUCCAUUUUUUGCUUAAACUCUACCUCAAUUUUAUCCCUAUCUGAGUGUCUCCUAUCUUUCAGUGCCCUAUUUAGUUGAUGAAAAUCAAAAGAUGGACCUGGAACUGAGAUAUCAGUAUCCAUAGGAUCCAGUAUGACUGGGAGGCUAAUCUGUUCUAGUUCACACUUUUCUAAUAUCUCCUGCUUUUGCACAUUCAACUGAUCAAUCUGUGCCUCCUGUAAAGACAAUAAAGAUGUUGGCUAUCUAUAUUAUGUCGUGCAAGUUACACAAGAGACAAGAACUGUACUCAUCUAACCUUAGAGUGUAUCAGACGAUUAAGUUUGGAUAUGUUUGUUGUGGCUGCAGAAGCUUUCUUUUUCCACUCUUGGAUUUCCUUUUCACAAUCUUCUGACUUUGAUUUCCACUCUACAAGAGUAAAAAGAGAACAGAGAAAGAAUAAGAUUUCCAUGGAAGAAAAAUAAACAACAAAUUGAAGUAAUAGUGGGUCUGUGUUCCCAUCAAUUUCAAAUAGCAAACAGCAAAGGACUACCCAGAUAACCAAGCUUUCACCCCAAUAACACCCCAAAUCCACAAGGGGAAAAAAAAAGAUAGCAAAUCCAACGAAAAACAACUGUCACAUGGUAUUCUAUCAAUAUCAUACAGCCAACACAGGUUGCACCAAAUAUACCUUUAGCUUCCUCCUUAAGCUGAUUAAUCUCUUCUGUAGCAUUCUCAGCUGCUAACUUUGCUGCAGCCUCUCUGUCCUGUACACGUUUUAAAUCUUUCUCUAAAGUGCCAAGAGAAGCUUCCAAUUCUUGAAUUCGUGAAGUCAUAUCCCGAUUUUGCUCAUACUCCAACCUGUAGAAUAUUUUCCAAAAAUACAAACAAAUCAAUAGCUAGAUGGCAAAUAUAACUUGAAGUUGAGCUCCAAGUAUCUUCUCUUUUUUUGCUCUUUAUCAAUUCUCUUGGGUAAUUGGAAACCUUCUGGACAUAAAAGGAGAUGCAGUACAAUAAACUUCGGGAAAGUGAGAACACUAUAUGCAACAAGGGCCAUAUUCCGUAUCACUUAACAAAAAGCUUCAGUUGAAGAAUUAAUUUUGAUGCAGUACAUCAUAAUUGACUCUUGGCUUCUCUACCACAUAAUCCAUGAUUUGAACCAUGAACCAACCCGCAAGAGUUAUGAAUCUAAAAUUACUAAUGUGAAAUAGAUCCUAACAACAAAAUAGGUAAUAGGUAUCAGACAUUUGCUGACCACCCCCACUUAAACAGUGAAACAAAUAUACAGACCUAGUCUCCAACACAUAAUCCUCCAACUAGUAUUUCUAUCCCCAAGAUAAUAUAGUAAUUAGUUUUUUUAAAAGAAAAAAAAAAGAUAGCUUAGCAUUCUAGACUUGGUUGAACUUCAACAAUUGUAGUUUUCUUCUUUCCUCUUUCAAUAAUGUACUAGUUGUUGGUAUUUAAAACACUUCUAGCAAAGCACAUACAUAUUAUUUGUUUGCAAGCUCAUAAAUGCAUUCACACAUGUAAAAUUAUGUUGGUCAUGUUAACAAAUAACAAGGUGUAAUUAAAGUAAAAGAGAAGGAACACACUGAUAUUUUAAUUUUGAAAGUUGGCUACUCAGGUUCAGCCUCUCCUCUGCUAUACUUUGAGCAGCCUUGAGUCGAUUUUCUUCAUACUCACGGAUGUUUGCAACCCCAACUGACUUGCUGAAGUCCCUGUAUAUCCUAUCAGUAAUUUCAUUUAUCCUCCUCUCAAGCUUACGUACAUCUGCAUUGCUCUUGUUAACAGCAUCAUUUAACUGCAGAGCAUAAACACCAAGUAACCAGUUAGAUAUAGAAGAACAUUGCUAAAAUGAACUAAGGAAAUGUAAAUGCCACCUUCUGCAGUUCUGGACUGAUGCAUUCAAUUCUUUCUUUGAUGGUCUUUUUUUCUUGGCUCAAAUUUGAAAGUUUAUCUUCAAUGCUUCGCUGGCAAAAUUAAAAGCAUAAAAAUAAACGAACAAAAGACAUAACUUCAAACACACAAUCCUUAAAUAAUGUUAGCUUGCAUUUGAUUGGUGCAUGUUUUCAAAAAUAAACCACAAAAAAUACAAUUUUAACUAAUUUUGCAAGGACAGAAUAUGACCAGUUAGAUUUCUCAUGCCUACAAACAAACUAUAGCCAACAGAAUAUGACCAAUUACUUCCAGCUAAUUAAUGCUGAUAUUUUAAUGCCUAUAAUUAUUAAAUUUCAAAUCUAAAAACUUAUAAACAAUUGGAUGAAGUUUGUGCUACUAGAGUUUGGGUGGAACUUAUGCAUCCUCAACAUAUAAACUAGCCAAAAAUCCUAUGAGCCCUGCUUUACUUGGUCAUUUAUUGUAUCCUAGUUGGAAAUUAAAAGACUUGCAGCUUCCAUGUUUGAUUGUACCUUUUCAAUCUCAGCAUAUUGAAUUUUCUUCUCAAGCCCACUAAUUUUUCCAGAUGCUUCAGACUCUUUAAGGUGCAUAUCUCUUAUUGAUCCUAGCUCUUCCAAUUCUGAUUCAUACUGCUCUUUCUUUUUAUUAAGUCCUGAGAAAACAACAUGAUUAUUGCAAGAGCAAAAGCUUUGAAUUAAAUUUAAAAAAAAUGAUAAAAACCUUCAAUUUUCUUGUCAUCCCACUGUUUUGACCUUGCUUCCAUUCCACCACUAGUGCCCCCAGUCAUUGUGCCGGAUUUUGUCAACAGAAUUCCGUCCACAGUUACAACUAAGCAAAUCAAAUUACAUAGAACAAUGUUCACUAAUUUGCAAUCUAACAAGCAUGAUUGUAUUAAAUGCACCAGGAAUGCAUCACAAGCAUAAUAAAUACACAAUAGGAUUCUCCAGAAGCCAAAAGGUUUGUUAGAUAAGAAACAAAAUUACAAAAAAACAAAGAAAAAUCGUGCAAAAACCAGAGUCAAGUAAAAGUUAUAAACUGGGUGCCAAAAAAAGUAAGGAGAAUGAGAAGCCAGAGGGAAAAGUACAUUGGGAUCAAAAUGGAACAACAUCCAACUACUAUCAUUAAGCUCUAAUGGCAUGUCAGUAAGAAGGUAAAGCACCUGUAGAUAAUAGAAAGAAAAAAGGUCUUCUUACCUUUAAACCUCUCACCGCUCCAGCUUAAAAUUUUGGCCUCCUCAAGAUCAUCACAAACAAGAGUAUUCCCAACAGCAAAGAGAAUUGCCUUCUCCAAGGAGGGAUCAAACUUGCACUAGUUAAGUCAAAAAGCUUAAAGCACUUAAGUUUAGAUGUGUAUAAUUAAGUGGUUUGACAAAAAGCAUGAAAUUAAACUUUAUGAUGGGGUAUUCAUGAGAAGGGAAAGAAGAGAAAGUACAAGAAUGAUUUAUGCUCAAUGCUUAAUAGACCACCUAAUUAUAAUCCAAGAAUGCAUCUGUCACUAUAGAAAUUCAUUAAUUCAACAGUAAGUCAAAUAGCAUUUUGAUGAGAUAUGAGAGGAAACUACUGAAAAAAAUCUGCAAAUCUGAAAAAAAAUAAUUAUAUAUCCUAUUAGGGAAAGGCUUUGAUUUUAGUGGGCUACAGGAAACAGCACUGACAACAGAAGCUGUAGCAUAAAGCAAUACACAAUAAGAAGGGAAAGGACAAUGUAAUAAUAGCAAACUGUUAAAAACUACCAAAACCCAGUAACAAGCAAACUCUGAUGAUGUUAAGAUGACAGCAGCUCAAUCCAUCACAAUGACAGACAUGGUUACUCCACCCACAGAAACAGCCAUUUGCAUGAGAAGGAGAUUGCACAUUCCUUUAGGAUUUUGAUCAUACAAUUCAAACGCAGUAUGAAGCAUACAACAACCUUAUAUCACUUGGUGAGGUCAACUACAUGGAUCACACAUCGCCAUUGACCUCAAAGCAGGAAGCAUGUAAGCAAAAAAUAUUUUAUAACUAUACAAUGGCUGUACAAAAAAUUGGAGUUCAUAAAAAGGUAAUGUGUGUACUGAUGGGUGGUCAACCCAUCACCAUUGUGCCUUCCCAGAUUCAGAAAUUUUCAAGCAAUGUGGUUAAUGUCAGACAUUGCUAAUUUUUUAAAUUAGUCAAAACUCAAAACAAUAAAGUCAUGAUGGACAAGCUAUCUACAGAAGGUAAAUAUCAAGAAAACUUCAGUUUCAUUAGCACAAAUUUAAAUAACAAAUCUGCAAACACGAACAGAACCAAAUUCUUCAAAGUAGCCACUGGAGAAAAAAGGAUAUUGAAUCACGUCAAAAAUCAGUUUUGCUGUACCCCCUAAUGUGCGCAAUCUUUCCAUUAUUGGCUUCACCCGAACUGAUUCCAGAGGAAUAAAUGUCUGGGGAGGAAGCCUCUGAUCUUUUAAAUACUGAAAAGCAGAGAAAAAUAUUCCAAUCAAUAUCAAUACAUAUAACAAAAUGAAACCAAUUAUAGAGCUUCAAUGUUCAAACAGGCAAAAUUGCAAUUUUAACACCAAAUUCUAGCUAUCAAGAAUAUUUAUAGCAAUCUGUUCAGUGCAACCAAAGAGCCGUGUCAAACAUAACAUAAAUUCCACUGGAAUGACAGAUGCAGAAAGUGAAUUCUAGUAUCAAGGAUGAAAAGACAAAAAAAUGAAGGUCCACCAGUUUGAAGGCACCAAACAAGCUUAAUACUUGGGCCUCAGUUAACAAGGUUUAUGUAGCACAUGACAUUUUGCUAUUUUGGAAGUCCAUAAUAAUUUUAUUUUAUUUUUGUAUUUUUUUCAGAGCUCAAGGAGUGUUCCUAUGCAUAUGCAUCUUGUAUCAAUUAAUGCUGCUUUGGCUUCUUUUCUUUUUACUUAUUCAUGCUGUGUAAUCACUAAUACUAGAGACAAAAAGGGUAUUCAAAUCAAAAGCAGCAAAAACCAUUAAAUAGAAUCUGAGUUCUAAAAGAUAACUUGGUAAUCAUAAAAUCAAAAGGAUAAAGCAAAAUGGAAAAAAAAUAUUAGGAAAACUUAUUAGGACCUUGAUGCAUUCCUUCCCGGUCUUUUCAUUAUCAACUACGACUGCAUCCAUAAAUUUACCCAUAGCAACGGUAACAGCUAGGUUAUACUUCUUUUGUGUUGGCCUACAAAGAUCAGUCAUGCGACCAUGAACUCCUUGAAACAGGCGUUUCAGAGUCUCAACAGCCUGAGACAACCUAACAUCUCUCUCAUUCUCAUAUCUAUCAGCCUUCAAUUCACGUAGUUGAUUUUCUAAUUCACCAAUUUUUAACUUCAAAUUUUCAUAUUUUUUCCUGCAGAUCAAAAGUAGAACACACCAUUACAAAAAUAGCAUCGGCAAAGUACUUUAACGCAGUGGGAAGCUUUAACAAUUUUUUUUAAAAAAAAAAGCAUUGAAUAACAUGUUGAAUUACUUGGAAUCACGAUGUUUGUCCUGCAUCACGCGUAGUUCUUUUUUCAAGUUUUCAAGGCCAACUUUAUUUUUUGCAGAAUUAUCAAGAAUUUUUUCAAGCCUUGCUCGCAUCUGUUCUUCCUGUGAAUUCAGUUCAGACUCCCUGUUUCUUAACUGUUGAAGAUUUUCUUCUAAGUUCUUUUGAGCUUCACUAUCAGCAUUUAGUUUCCUAUCUAGAAGCUCCUUUUCCUCUCUAAGCUUUGCAGUUUUCAUCCCAGCUUCCUCUUUGCUGUAAUGCAGCAUCAUUAUUACAAAUUCCAAAACAGAAAAAUGUAAUAACAAAUUAAAAGUUAACAUGCAUGAUAAGUGAUAACUACAAAGUACUGACAAAUAAAUUUUUAACUGCUCAGGGAGAACAAAUAGGCUACCAGAAGACAGAAUUGAUGAAAUUCAGAGCAAAUUAUGAAAAAAAUAUUUUUGUUGCUAAUAAGGAAGUUCCAAUUGAGAACACAUGGACAAACUGCUAAUGAGAGGUAAUUGGUUACUGAAUGAAAUACCAUAUACAAGCAACACCAUCUACACAAUUUUGGCUGAUAUUAGUCAAAAUCACCAUGAGUAAAUGUUCCAACUUCUGGCUAAUGACACUUGUUUUCUUUUUCCUUUUCAUUUCUACAUUAUCCAACUAAUGCACAAUUUUAACCCACAUAAAAUAAAGGAUUUUCCUUCAAGUAACAGAAAAUAAUAUACAGAAUUAGCAAAAUAGUUUUACCUUGUAUCCCUAACAGUCUAGCUCACAAAUUAUCUCAACAGAUCGGAAUAAUCAAAUAACAUGAGUACACAGUAUAGUGGCAGACAUGAUUUUAAGUGCACGCCAAAACUCAAUAGCAUUAAAGUUUUCUCUGAGCACAAUGCAAGUAUUCUGUUUCCUAAAAAAAGGAAAAAAAUGUAUAUAUAUACAUAUAUAUAUAUAUAUAUAUAUAUAUAUAUAUAUAUAUGUAUGUAUGUAUAGAGAGAGAAAGAGAGGCAGUAGUUGGCAAACAUCUACAUCAAAUAAACACUCACAUGCGAAAAUAUUCUUCCAAGUCAUUGCCUUGCAAAUCAAGCUCGUCAUCAACAUCUCGUCCCUUUUCCUGAAGGUCUGCCAUUUUGGCUGUAAGAUCCUGGAUGUCAUUCUGUAGUAAUGCUAUAUCAGCAUCAUGCUUCGUUCGUUCAACCUUUUUUUUAUCAAGCUCUUUCUUCCCUUUUUUAAUUUUUGAAGUGAUACGAGUCAUUUCCUCCUUUAACUUCAGAAGCUCAGGUUGCUGCCAGGAGGGAGGCAAACCAGAGAAACAAUCCCAUAAACUAUUCAGUGUAUAGCGUAUUUCAUAGCAUAACAAAUACAAUCAACGAUAGGAUUAUGGGAACAACUAAAAGAUUUUAGCUAGAUGAUUUUCAGGUACUCCCAAAUCUUUUUAUCUCUAUUUUGUGUCUAAAGGAGUUGCUAUCUUUACCACCCAAGCUAUUCACAGAUUAACAAAACCAUUUUCCAAAUCUUAAAAUUGCAAUUUUAAACCCAGUUUUCUUCAAAAUAAAUAUGACCAGAAGCAACAAAGUUCAAAGAGUAGAACAUAGAAUCGACCUAAGUAAAAAGUUCAAUUGCUGGAGUUGAUAAUAGUAUGAUGACAAUGAUCUUAACUAUAACCCCACCGCAAAUGUAGAAAAAACACUUACACUCUUGUCAAGCUUGUUGCUUUUCUCAGCAAUUCUCUUUUCACGUAGUGCAAUCUCUUUCAGAUAUUUGGCCUGUUCUUUUUUCUUUUUACUAGCUUCACUUUCGAAGUAUUCUAGUUCUUUAACAACACCUUCACGACUUUUUUCCUCAUCUUCAAGAUCCUUAAUUGUUUCAGCAUAAUCGUUGUGUAUAUUAAACAACUUCCACAAGAAAUGUUCUCCCUUCAUAGAUUUCUGCAAGAGAAAAAAACAAAGAGAUACUUGAAAACUUCACCUGCCACAAUAAGUCUGAUGACUGAUCAAGAUCAAGAGAGAAAAUGCAUGAAAUGGUGGUCUAGGAAGCACACAUGACUCCUAGUUGAAAAUGAAGUAGAAAUGUCGUCCAGCAAUGUAAUCAUAUUUUUUCUUCAGUUGAAAAUAAAAAAAAUAUCUAUAGGUACUUAAUAGUGAUAUAAUUAGCCACCAAUUUCAACCACUGCAGGGGUUGUCGAAAACUCGGGUAGAAAGAUUAUUUAUCAAAGAAAUUAGAAACUAUACACCCACACAAAGCCUAAGCAAUUCCAAUGAAGGGGAAACAGAUACAGGGGACAGGUAGAGGUCACUAAAAGCGGAACCUAUAAUUUUUUGUCAGUAGCCUUUGGAUCUUCAAGAGAAAGUUCCACUUUCAAUCAACAAUCUCUAUCAAGUAUCAAACCAGGUCAAUGGAGCAAUGGAGGAAGGAAGAACACAGAAAAGCAGUGAAGUCGUGGAAGUGUUGAUGUAAGAAGGGUAAUAGGAAAACUGAAAGUGAAACUCUUACUUUUUUUACUUUUUAUAGUUAAUAGAAGUACCACCCUGCCUUGGUCCAAUUAGCCAUGUGGCAGAAGAAAGUACAAUAAAAACAUAAUCUUAAAGCUAAACCAAGCAAAUGAAACUACAUCAAACUAAAACAGGCCAAUUGGAACAACAGGCAACCUACACCUACACACAUACACAACAAGCAUAAACAAACAUAAAUUGAAACAGAUCCCAUUACCAGUUCUUGUUGCAGACAGAGAUGCUUCUCUGCUUCUUCCUUCUGUUCUUUCUUCUGCUUUCUCUCCAUAACCACAGUCUUCUUUUUCUGAUAAACAAGUGCUGAUUUUUCCUCAGCAGCACCUUUUUCCUCCUCAAACUGCUCAUAGUCCCUCUUGCACUCGUCAGAGCCGGAUAUCUGUUCCACCAGUGCAGUGAGCUCUUUGGGAUUCUUCGACGCAAUAGACUCCACAUCACCCUGCACAAUUUACCAUUGUCAAUUGACACCUGUAACAGAUAUAGGCCAUGCUUGGAUAAACUUCAGUUCAGAGUCUAAAAUAGCAUUGCUUUAGUGCCAGAGUGGAGCGGCUACAAGGGCCACCAUAGCGGAGCAUUUCAGUGUAACAGCUGUAGUGGACCAAAUAGCGUCUGUAGCAGACAGGAUAGUGGCGCUAUGAGUUGUUUCCAGAAAAUUCCUUUGAAUAGAGAAUUAGGGCUUUUUUAGGGGGAUAUUCUUGGGAUUUCAAUUUCCAAAACGAAAUGUACAACUAUAAUAGGAGUGAAAAUGAUAAAGAAGAAGGCUUAGAUUUUAAAGAUGAUGAUUGAUGAUUCCUAUCUAAGAAACUAGUAUUUGACCUUUGUUGAUAUUAAGUUGUUUGUUUUGCUUAAGGUCCCUAUUAUGACUUUUUACUGUUAAUUAUGAAUUAUGAAUGUCAUGAUUUUUUGAGAAUUUAUCUCUGUAUAAUAACUAACAAUAGAAACUAUCCCACUCUAGCAUUUUUCAGGGAUAUAAAAAACGCUGCCUCUCCAUAGAAACUUAUAUUCACCUCAAGCUUUUGGAGAAGUAAAACAAUAGAGCUUCAACAAAAGUUAAUUGCACAAAAAGGGGAAAAGAAGCGAAGCAGAACCUGAAAGACCAAGAAAUUGCGAGCUUUGACGAGAAUGCCGAGGGACUUAAGUCUGUUGUUGUAGGUGUCCCAAUUGACAAGGGAUUCGUCGAUGCGGUACUCGCUGGCGCCGGCGCUGGUGAUGGUGCGAGUGAACUUGAUCUCGGUGGAGUUGGCGAGGUGGUAGACGAGGCGGACGAAAGCUCUGCGGCCUUUCUGCUCCUUCUCGCGGUCGUCGAAGGCGUAGAUGAGGUCCUUGAGCUGCGCGCCACGGAGCUGGCCGGUGCGGACGCCGAGGACGAAGCUGAUGGCGUCCAUGAGGUUGGACUUGCCGGCGCCGUUGGGGCCAAGGAUGGCGGUGAAGUCGUAGAAGGGACCGAUCACUUGGAAGCCCUUGUAGGACUUGAAAUUCUCCACCUCGAGGCAGUGGAUUUUGCCCGGGGAGAGUAGCGACGGCAUCGUGAAGUUCGUGCGUGCGUGCUCGGAGUGAAACUGUGAAACCCUAGGUCGAAUCGAAGGUGCGGUUCCGGCAAGGGUGGAGUGAGGUUAGGGUUUGGAAUUGAAUGGGGGAGAGGGGAAAUUGGCGGGAGAAGAAACCCUAAGAGAGAGUAGAGUGCGUCGUUAGUCGUUACGUAGCCAGUAGAGAAAGAAUGACUUAAAGCUUUAACGCGAUAGAAAGAGGCUUUGAUAUACUCACUCAACCAAAAAAAUAAAACAUAUAAUUGACUUAUUGUUAUGAUUAUAGACUUAAUUAUAUAUUUGGUCUUUCAAUUAUAAUUUAAAAUUUAAUUUAGUUAAUCAUUCAUUAAAAUGCUUAAUUAGGCUUUAAACGUAACAAUCAUGUGAUUUUCGUUCAAUUAUAACUUUUUCUUUUGUGAAUGAAAGGGGCUUAAGAAACAAACUAGAAUUCCCAAUGUUUGCCGAGAAUGAGAAAAUAACAUUUUCAUAUGAUCACGUAAUAGUCCACCAGCUACAACUUUAGUAAUUAUAACUUAUACCAUUAAAUUCUAAUUUGGGGCGAGUUAAAUUUGUAAAUAGUGACGGCUUAAAAAUAGAAUUAACUUUCAUAUGAUCACGUAAUAGCCCCAGUUUAACUAUUAUAAUUUAAAAAAACCAUAGAUUUUCCUAAAUCAAUUUCAAUCAGAACCUAACCAUCCCCCAAUUAACACACUCAAAACCCUGACUACCUCAAAUCAACACAAUCAGAAUCCUAACCACUACCAAACCAACACAAUCAGAACCCUAAUCACCUCAAGUCAACACAAUUGGAGCACAAUCAUAAAAAAAAAUUGGAAAAAAGCAAAUGGGUUGUCGUCGUCUAAUUCUCCAACCCCAACACCCACCCAUCCCCUUCGUGAACACAACUUAAGCUCACAAUGGAGCAAAUUUGGUUCAUUGUUUUAGGAGGUGGAUGCAUCAUAUCUGGACUUGUGGUUUAGGUUGCGUGCGGAGGUUGGUGGAUUUGGUUUGGGUGGUGGGUGCAAAUCUGGGUUCCUGGGGGUGCGGUGGUGGUUGGUGGUGUGCGCAGACAAUGGAGCGCGAUUGUGUGGUUGGAGGUAUAUGCGUGGAGUUUGGAUCUUUGCGGAGGUUGAUGGUGCUUGUUUGGGCUGAGUGUGGAUUUGGGUCCACAGAGGUUGUGGUGGUUUCUGGUGGUGCGCGGUGGUGCUUGUUUGGGCUUUGCGGAGGUUGGCGGUGUCGUGGUUGCGGUAUGAUGCUGGCAAUGUCAUGGGUGGCGGUACUAGUCAUGGUUGUGGGUGGUUUUUUAGGGUAGAAGGUUAGAGAAAGCAAAAGAAAGAGGUUGACUGUAAGUCAACGUGAAAUUUUUUACAGAAAGGUUAUAAUUAAUGCGUUUUUAGAACUUAAUUCAACAUUUUAAUAAUUAAUAGAUCAAAUUGAACUUUAAAUCAAAUGUAUAAUUAAGCUAUUGUUGUAUUAUAAAGGUGAUUAAGUUUUUAGUCUUUUGAAUUUUUUAAAAUUUUGAGUUUUAGCUCUUAAACAAAAUUUAAUCUUUUAUUAUGUUACAUGUUUUUUUAAUGCCAUGUAAAGCUGGAAUAAGUCCCUGAAAAAUUGUAGCAAAGUAGUAAAUACUUCUGGACUAGUCCCUAACUUAUGUCAUUAACUUCAAUUAAAUACCUAACUUAUGAUAACAAUUGCAAAUCACACCAUGUCAUACCUUUUGCAUGUCUGACAUGAAAUUCCACCCAUUCUGUAUGUAAUCCCCAAGAUCUUCAUGCUACAAAGUUAAAAACCAUUUCCAAUUGUCUUUGUUCUCAAUGUCCACAACAGCAUAAGCAAUAACAUAGAUGUGGUUAUUGCCAUCAAGCCCAACAGCAGAGAGCAAGUUUCCUCCAAAUGCACUCUUUAGGAAACAUCCAUCUAGACCUAUGAAUGGUCUACAUCCAGCAACAAACCCCUUCUUACAGCCAGCAAGACAAAUAUAUAGCCUCUGAAAUUGUGGUGGACCUUCUGGACUUGGCACUGUGUUGAUCUUAACUGUUGAUCCAGGAUUGCUCCUCAACAAUUCAUGUGCAUAAUCAAAUACUUUGGCAUAUUGUUUCCUCUCAUUCCCUUCCACUAAUUGCUUUGCUUCUUUCAUGGCUCUCCACAUCUUUGUAACUUCAAUGUGCACUCCAAACUCUUGCUUGAAAUAUUCCAAAGCUUCAACACAUUUAAGGGUUGGCUGCAUUCUGAGUUUGCCCUCAAGUUUACUGACCACCCACUGUCUAUUUGCUUGUUUGUUGUUCACUUCUCUGCAGCAAUUAUGGUUAUGCUUAAAUGUCUUUAUCUGAAAAGAGUUUCUAACUUCAUUCUUUGCACAGUAGAUUUCCCAAUCACAAAAUGCCUUCUUGCAUUUUGCUCUAGCCCUCUGUUUAUCAUUCUUCUUCCACUUGAACUCCCUGCCCAUCAAUAUGCUAUACUCCCUCAAGGCAGAUUUAAAUUCAUCUAGAGUACCAAACUCCAUCCCUAAUUCCAACUUCUGUUCACCAACUCCACUACUUUGACUAUAUUGAGGAUAAACUUCAGGAUAUUAAGCUCCUCUGAAUGAUAACCAUCUGUCUCAACUUCAGCUUCAACUUCAUUCAACAUACAAGAGCCUUUCCUCCUCACUAUCAGCAACAUCUCUCUCUUCACCAUCAGCAUCUCUCUCCUCACCAGCUUCAGCAUCCCUCUGCUCACUACCAUCUCUUUGCUCACCAGCAUCAGUAUCCCUCUGCUCACUACCAUCUCUUUGCUCACCAGCAUCAGUAUCCCUCUGCUCAUCAUCAUCCCUCUGCUUACCAGCAUCCGUCUGCUCACCAGCAUCUGUCUGCUCCCCAGCACCAACAUCUGCAUCAAUGGUCAUAAAGUAAAAAUUAAUCAUAUUAAUUAAUUAUGGUAACCAUGUCGGACCAAGUACAGAUGAAUUAAAACUUACCUUCCUCAUGGCCAGCAACAGGUACAUCAUCUAAAUCAUCCUCAUUCUCAACAGCUUUUCGAAUUGGAUAACAUUUCAAGUACAACAUUUGUGGGACUUCUUCUAAAAUUGGAUCUACUUCAUGAUGAAAAUAAACAUUUAUCUCAUUCUCAUUUUCAAAAGCAUCCCUAACUAAGUGUAAUAUAUCUCCAUCAGUUGUACAACUCCUUAACCCAUGAUUAAAAUCUAAGUCCUUAUCAAUCAACCAAAAACAUUCUCCUAUAUUACUAUACUUCUUACAAGCUUUCACCAGAUCAUAUAAGAUAAAUGCAUUCAGGCAAUCUGCAGAUAUAUCCUCCCAAACGUCAAAUUCUCCGCCUAUAUAUUCAACCUUUCCAUCACUGGCACGUGGAGUGAAUCUUCCUCCAUGGUGCAAUACUAAAGUUAUAUUAUCAUUCAUUCUACACAAUCAGAAACCGCAAACAUGGUCAGAUAUUAGGAAAUAAAAAAACCUACCUCAAAAAGCGCGAAGACAUUGACAUUGUCAAAAACCGCGAAGACACAAUCAAAAACCAAAAACAUUGUCAUCUAUAAAAACAGAGCAUCAUAAACGAAAAUAAUAAACGAUCAUAAACCUCCCUACGAAGCGCGAAGACAAUGCCGCAAAUGAAACCCCUCGAACAUGUAAAACCCCAAAUCAAACCACCAAAACAAUGCAAACGAAUUGAAUGAAACCACCAACCUGACAAAAAGCGCGAACCCUCAAUCACGAGAAUGCAGGGGAGGGAAGAGCAACAGUGAAAGGGAAAAUGGGUUUACUUCAUUUUUGAUUUCUUUUAAACCUAAUUUUUCAAUUCAGUCCUUGCCUUGUCACAUAAUAUUGCUGACUUGGACUCAAACCUGCCACAUUGGAUGCUUACAUUUGCCAAAUAGACAUUUGACUAACGGAGGAAAUUAGAUUUUAACAGCAGAGACUUAUUUGCAUAACGGAGGUAAAGUUAGGGACUAUUAUGAAUUAAAAUUUAAGUCAGGGACUAAUAUGCAAAGUGGUUACAAUAUCAGAGACUAAAUUGCCUAUUCACUCAAAUAUAAUGAGACAUGGGGCGUAAAUAAUUUUGAUGAAGUCAACAAGAAAAUAACAUGAAAAAUUAAAACAAAAAAAAUAUUUGACGACGAACAUCCAUACAAUACUACCAGACAGGUAAAGAGAGAAGAAAAAGAAAAAAAUAUAUAAUUAUAAUAAAAUAAUAAUACAUAAAUUAUUAUUUAUAAUAAUACGGUAACCUCGUUUUGACCGACGCAAGCGGUACCAUGAUCUGGGCAACCGCAAUCCUCUCCUCGUCACAACAACUACACCUAAAGCUAAGAAACAACGACAACCUCGUUCUCCUUGCUUUCAAAUCCACCAAUACCACCAUCAUUUGGCAAAGCUUCGAUUCCCCAACGAACACCCUUCUUACUCUCCAACCACUCACGGAGCGAGCGAGCUUCGUUUCCUCGAGCAGCCAUAGUGUUACUAGAUGAACCUUCCAGUUCAUGUUUGGACCUUUGUUGGCCAUUGCUGGAAAGGAAGAAUUUCCAGAGGUCCAUUCCUAGAGCUAUGCCCCAAGGCUUUGAAGGUAUCUUGCAGAUGCUUCAGAACCUGCAGCUAAUGAUUCAAAUGGCUGAAUGAGAGCAUCAAUAUCAUCAUUCCCAUCAUCAAUGGCAACUUGCCCACUACUUGAUGUCGAUUGAUCAAGAAAUGUUUGCUCUGCAUUAGUUGUUUCCAAACUAGCUUCAAUGCCCAUAGAAAGUUGAUUUUCAGUAUCACGACGAAACGUACGACCUCUUCCACGGCGUUGCUCAUGUUCAUUACCAUGUUGAAUGUGGAAUGUGGAAUGUGCUGAAUCACAAGAGAGGAAGGGAUUUGAGAUUUUGGUGUCCCGUCAUAUAUACUUUAGUGCUAAGUUAGAUAGUGUACAUAGUAUUAAAAUUAUCAUAUCUCACUAACAACGAAUGAUUAUUUUACAAAACUUAAGAUAAAAAUAUGGACUAUUUUAGAUUUUUUAUUAAGUUAGAAUUAAUAUGCAACACAGUCGGAACUAAAUUAUUUAUUUACUUAGAAAAAAAAAUACAAAAUUUAUCUAAUCUUUUGGAUCAAUUUUUAACUAAUAAACAAUAUGAUAAUUAAUUUUUUGAAUCUAUUUAAUUAAAAAUACUACAAUUCCGUGCCUCUAUAAAUUUGUGGGUUGAUUAAAGGGAGUAGUUAUAAGAAUAUUUGUGGAUCAAUAUAAAAAAAGUAUAUAUAAAAACAUCAUAUUAUUCUCUAUUCUCAACAUAGAUUAUAAAGGAGAAAAGGGGGGAGAGGGUGGGUAUUGCCUCACACACACAAACACAACAGUGUCUGCUGCACCCUACAAUGGUUUCGCUACCAACAUGGUUUCGCUACUUUCACCACAAGGUCGGAUACUCCGUUUCCCUCGCCGUGAAGGUUCUUCUUCCCUUCCUUUACUCUCUCACCCUUUUUUUUUUCUUUUUUUUAUUGUAAUUUUAUUCUUCCUGAUAAUUGUCAAUGGUAGUCGUUUAUAUUUGUUGUAAAGUUUUCCUACUUUUAAUUUGCGCGAUUCCUGCUUAAUAAAAGGAAAAUAGAAAGCGGUGUGCUUGCUAUUACCCUUGUUUAUUAUUUGGUGGAGAAAUUUCAUUUGUGGGAAUAUCUGGAUUUUAUGAAGAGCGAAAGAGAUUAGAAUUGAAAUUGAAAUUUGCUUCGUUGUCAAAUGGUAUGGUGUUCUGCAUAGUGUGUUUGUAAUGUUUUCGUUUAGGUUCUGGUUUUUAAUGUUUUCAGUCUAGUCCAGAUCAUGCUCGAUGGUCGUGUUAGAGGAUUUUGCAACUGGUUGUUUCAUUGUGUUGUUAAGGAGAUCAUCACUUGUAAAUGAAUGCGAGUCGGUAUGGGUGUGAUGAUAGAAUCUCUCAUUUGGAACAUACGAGUACGUUCCGAGAAUGAUGUUUUUUUGUAAUUGUUAGUGGGAAUUAAUGAUUGCAAGUACAUUUAAAACUGUUUAUUUUGCUGUUUAAGUGUUCGGCAUGGUAACGAUGAUGAGAAAGUUCUGUAAUUUGGGUCUAGGGUAGGAUCCUUCUCAUAAUUUGUUCUAAUAACUUGUCUUGUUUAUUUACAAUGAGAUCUUUGCUCUUAGUUCAUUCAAAAGUUCUUACUCAACAUGAGACCUUGUUGAAUUCUCUGUCAAUAGGCACUCUAGCUUGUAUGUUAAUUAGAUUUGGGGAAAAAAGAUUAAUGAAUGGAACAAAAUUUGCUUGUCCUCAAAUCAGGAGCCGUGUAGUUUGAAAUAAAUCAUAUUUGGUGUUCUCGUAGCAAUAGAAUGGUGGCUGAAAUAUUUAAGCUGAGAAAUUUAACUUUUAUUUAUUACAACAAAGUGAAUAAGGGCUUGUUUGGAUAAACUUAUGAGGAAGGAAGGAAAAAUGAAAUAAGCUUCCCAUAAGCUAAAUUUAGCUCAUGCAUAAGUUAAAAAUAAGUUUUUGAGGAAGCAAAUAUGUCAGAGCUUCUACAAAUUAGCUGAUGCAAAAGCUAAUUUUUCAUUCCUAUUUUCUUCUCCUACUAGUGCUUAUGGAGAAGUUUAUCCAACGGGUCCUAAGUUUAACUGUAUGUCUAAACUACCUUGGAUAAGAAGAAAUCAUAACCUUUCAAACAAAACUCCUUUUGUUUUAUUUAUUUUCUUCUGUACAUUGGGUAUUGUUCAAGCAAUAGGUCUUCUCCACUCCCUUUUAAAUUUAUGCAGUGUUAACAGAGGUGUUGGUGGCUUGGAAACCAAUUUCUAUCUUAUUUUAUGAAAAUUAAGGGAAACAUUGGAUAAGAGGCAUUGGAGGGCAUGUGAUUUCCAAGAUUACGCUUUUAUCUUGAAAAGGCUAAUCUAUUGGUUGUCAAUCAUUUCAUCCUAAAGAAUGACAUUUAUAGGAAUAUUUUUCCUUGUAGUUUAAGUUCUACAACUGUGCCAGUGCAAGGUUUUCCUGUUUUCCUGUUUUCUAUAACUGUUUAUCACAUUGUCAGCACUUAUAAAUCCCCUCCUCUGAAAUGAUUUUUACUAUACAAUGUUUAAUGUGAACAGAACAAUAAAGGAGAUCCAAUCACAGCCAGAGAGAUAAAUGAUGCUGUUUGGAAAAACUUCUUUCUAGGAAAGCUGACAUACUUGCUCUGGAAUAAAGGAGAGGAGAUGGCCCCUACUAUUGAUGGAAAAGCAGUAACUCUUGUUCGGAAAUUACCAGCUGUAGACCCAACGUAAUUUCAUACACUAUCCUUUUGUGCAAAUCUAUUGACUGUUAUUGCUAGUUGUUUGAUAUUGGCCUUCUAAAGCUAGAGAUUCAAUAUACAUGUUUUACAUAAGAAGCUUCUAUUUGCUUUAUAUGCCUUUCUUAGACUCUCGGUAUGCUGUAUCUUCUUCUUGGAUAGCUGUGCAACCCUUGCUUACAAACUCUUUCAGUCACUUAUUUUCUUUUCAAUGUCUGUUGAGAUAGAUCCCACUUUUUUUACAUCUGGCCCAUCAUAUAUUUGUCGUAGUGAACUCUUGAAAAUCUUUUCUCUUGUUAAAUUAUAGUUUAUCCGCUGCCACUACUGAACAUCUGUGUAACACAAUUUAAGUUUACCCACUUUAUCUUGACAACAUUAAAUAGUACAUCAUUUCGGUGCUGUGUCCAUCCAAAAUAGCAGAAUGGCAUAGAAAUAGAUAUCAUCUGGAGCUUAUUAUUUAGUGUAUUAUCAUCUCCAUUUUUGUUAUGAUAGUCUGGGUUCUUUGACAGGAGUGUUUUUGUAGGAGAUGUUGUGGUUAUGAAGGACCCUGAGAAGCCAGAUAACUACCUACUCAGAAGAUUAACUGCAAUUGAAGGCUAUGAAGUGGUUUCUACUGAUGAAAAGGAUGAACCCUUUAUUCUUGAGAAGGAUCAAUGCUGGGUAGAGGCUGAAAAUGAAAAAUUGAAUGCCAAGGUAAAAGCUGCCUAACUUUGCUAUCCCUAGGUGGAUCAUUAUGCACCUCUGCCACAAUUUGAACAAUAUUAUUGUAUUAAUGUCAUAGUAAAAGUUUUAGAUUAAAACAUCAUUUAUCAAGCAAUGAGUUAUCAUUGAUAUACAAGUAUUCAAGUUGAUUACAUACUCUUAGUCAUUUAAACUUUCUGAAAUCAGUGUGUAAGAUUAAUUUGAUAACUAGAUUGUUACAGAAGAAUGAUAAAUAGACCCUCAAUAGAUUGAUUGGUUAAAAUAAUUUUAUAUGAUGAGUUAGUAGAGGUGAAUUCACCUAAUGAGGUAAGACUUUUGUUGUUUGUUGUUGACUUAGUGGAGUGUAAGCCAGUACUUACUUUUGUCAACAAUUCUGACACUAUUGACUGGAUCCGGACUUAUUUUUCUGUUAAACCCCCUCUUUUUAAGACAUAAAAAUGAAAGACUGUAGCUUAUCAUGGCAAUUCAGUCAAGCAACUUUUGGAGUUCAGUGUAUGAUAUGGCUAGAGGUCGUAUAUGUUAGCAAGUUUGACUUGAUUCCCCAAGUGGAAAUGUUCAAUCCAUGUUUUAAUUCAUUCAUGACUUUUAUUUUUCUGGUAAUACCAAAAUUGCUUAUUCCUAAACAAUAACCAUGGUUGUAACCUGUAGAAGAAACAAAAAACACCUCUAACAGAAGAAAAAGAAAUCACCCACUAACGAUUUUUAGUGAGACUCUCGAUAUUUGAUUAUUUUCUAUGUAGCACUGUAUGGUUAAGUGAGAACUGGGGAUAUACUUAAUUUGAACCUCAUAGAUUUUCUUACAGCUUUGGAAUUUUGUUAAGUGACCAAAUUAUCUUUAAACUUCAAAGUGAAUGUUUCCACAAAGGCUAGUAAAUCUGCUGUAAUAUUUUUGCUAUGCUUUUCCCUCUAUAAUUGCUUGUAGAACACUAGGAACAAUUCAUUGUUUAAUGCUCCCAACCCAAAUGGCAGGAAGCGAAGGAUAGCCGAACAUUUGGUCCAGUUCAGAUGACAGACAUUGUAGGCAGAGUCAUAUAUUGCCUGCGAAGUGCUGUAGACCAUGGCCGUGUACAAAACAGGUGAACUAAAUUUCUUAGGCUAACUAAACUAUCAUGAACAAAAAAUGGGGAUGCUCUUUUGAAUUGAUUGUUGAUAUAUUUUACCCCUUAACCAGUGAUUUCGGCAUGCGAAACGAUACACCAGUGCUGGAAGUGGAACUUGAUGUUGAUGAGAUGGCAAAGAGUCACAAAGCCUGAAACAUUUUUCCCAAGAAACACUAACUAGUUUACUUUACGCAUGCCUUAGUUUCUUCUUGUGGAUUUUCCUUGAAGCACAGAUUGAAGAAUAAAAAAAUAUGAUUUUUAAAUUGUUGCAAUGGGAUGAUGGUGUUAUGUGGAUGUCCUCUGCAUGCUAGGCAAUUGGCUGCGGCCUGUGUUAAAGCUUGAGUUCAACAUUAUUGUAUGCUAAGUUCUAGCAAGGACUCCUCUGCCCUUUGUUCUAUUCAUUUGGCUGUAAAAUUGACCAAGUUUUGGUCUUUUUUUGUUAAUGGUCGAGGAAGAUAAUAAAAGAUGCUGCGUUGUUAGAAAUAAUGCUUUCAGAUAUUUUCAUUUUGUGAAGACCUAGUGCCUAGACUGAGUGUUCACUUCUUGCCAUAUUGUCUUUCUAGGGAAUAAUCCUUGAUAUCCGUUCUCUUUAGUCAGUUGAGUGAAAAAGAACGUUUAACUAAAAUUUACCUGGAUCACACGCACAAACUUUUAAGUCACAAUUUAUGGUUAAUGACCUGCAUUAGAAUGAUGCUUGCAAAGGUGGAAUUGAUUUCUUGGAUCCUCUGUUGAGACUAUAGAUUAUCACUUCACAGACGUUUAUGGUAAUUGGUAAAAUUCCAACGUAAUAAAAAAAUACUCAUUUUUUUAUCCACACUUGAAAUUAAGACAAUUUUUUAUUUAUCAUUUUCUAAUACGCAAAGUGCUCUUAUAAAUAUUUUUUAAAUUAAUUAAGUUUCUUUGUGACAUUUUCCUUUUUUAUUUAUAUAUGUAUAUAAUUUUAAAAAAGUUAUCACCUAUGCUCAAUUUUACCUUUUUAUAUUAAAUUUUGUUCUUUUUGUUCUCAAAUAUAAACUGAUAUAAUGUUUUUUUUUCUUUAAAUUUAAGUUUAUUAUUGCGUGACUUAUAAAUUCUGUAUUUUUUUUCUUUUAAAAGUUAACCCAUCAUUUUUUUCAAUUUUAAAUUUUAAUUGCUUUGAAUUAGUUAUGACUAUAUAUAUAUUUAUGAUUUUAUAUAUUUUAUUUUAAUAAACAAAGUAAACCUUUAAUUGAUAUUUUAAAAUAAUAUCCAAUACCGUGUUAUAUUACAUAUUCUGGGUCAUUAAAUUAGUUCUUUAAUGAUAUUAAACGUGAUAAAAAAAAGUUGUUAUAAAUUUAUUCCUAUACUAUAGAUUAAAAUAUUUAAUUGUCAGCAUUACGUUUAAUUGAGUAAGACUGCACUUUAAAAUUUACUCAUAACACAACAAAACUUAAAUAACAUGAAUAUACACAAUGAAAAUUAAAACAAUUGGAAACACAGCCAUAUAAUAAUAUGACAUGAGACCACAACAGGAACACUAGAAAGUUGAAAUACAAGAGAGAGAGCGUAUCGAUCACGCAACACAAACUUUUGAGUUUCGAAUGUUGUCUCCGUGCUUUGUUGUGUUCAAUGUUUCAGAAUGAACCUCGGUAUAUUGAAUUCUUUAUGAAUUUAGAAUGACCCUUGGAUUUUGAGAAUUCUUAAUGGAUUUAGAAUGACAAUUGAAGUUAUUUAGCCUUGUAAUAACUUGGAAAGAAAAAAGCAAGAAGGAAGAAAGAAAUAAAGGAUGCUCAGGAAACUCAGAAUCAAUAUUGAUUAACUUGCACGAAAAAUUACAAAAACUAUAUCUCCUGUGAUUAUUAGCUAUACACAUAUAUAUAAGAGGAGAAACAAAAGAAAAUAACUAAAUACAGCAAAAUAGAAUUAUAAUAGAAUUAAUAGAAAAAUAGAAGCUAGUUAGAAACAGAAUAGCAGAAGUAGCAAUAGACGCCUUGAUCCAAUACCCCCCCCAUCAAGAUGGGAGGAAGAUGUUAUCAAUACUCAGCUUGACAAUGAUACUAAGAAAUGUAUUUCGGAGUAAGGCUUUGGUAAAAAUAUCUGCAAGUUGGUGGUACUUUCUGACAUGCAUGAGCCUUAAAACUCCUUGAGAAACCUUUUUCCUGACAAAAUGUAGAUCAAUCUCUAAGUGUUUGGUCUUCUCAUGAAAAGUGGGGUUGGAAGAAAUAUGGAUUGAUGCUUGGUUAUCACAGUAGACAACAGCAAAGGGAAUUCUGACAUUGAAAUCAGUGAGUAAAUUUUGAAUCCAUGUAAUUUCACUAGAAACAGAAGUCAAUGAUCUGUAUUCUGCUUCUGCUGAGGACCUACUUAUUGUCUUUUGGCUUUCCAGGAAACCAAGGAAUUCUCUAAGAAGAUACAAAAGUCAGUGGUUGAUCUUCUACUUUCAGGACAUGAUCCCCAAUAUGCAUCCACAUAUGCAUGUAACUUUGUGUCUGAGUUGGCUCGAAAAAGAAUACCUUGACCAACAGUGUUUUUAAGGUACCGAAGUAACAUGUUAGCAGCAUGCAUGUGGUUUGUAUAGGGGUUGGAGACAAAUUGACUUAAUUUGUGCACACAGUAACAUAUAUCUUUCCUAGAUAUAGUUAAGUACAAAAGUCUACCAACGAGCCACCUGUAAGAUCCUGGAUCGGCAAGUUUUGUUCCUGAGUUAGCUGGCAAUUUGUUAUGUGCUUCCAUAGGAAUUGAAGAAGGUUUGCAGGCAAGCAUUUCACAAUCUUCGAGGAUAGACAAUGUGUAAUCUCGCUGACACAUGAAAAUGCCUUCCUUUGAUCUAGAUAGCUCUAGGCCGAGGAAAAAUUGUAGGUCUUCCAAAGCUUUGAGUUUGAAGUGCUCUUUCAAAAUGGUCUUAGUUCUGGAUAUGAUGGCUUGACUUGGGCUGGCCAAGAUGAUGUCAUCAACAUAAACUAAAACUGCUAUGAAAUUAUCUCAUUCUCCUUUAGUGAACAAUGAGUAAUCAUACUUAGAUUGUUUGAAUCCACUUCUGAGUAAAGCAUUGCUAAAAGCAUUGAACCAAGAUCUUGAAGCCUGCUUGAUAUCAGAAUGGAGGCAUAGCAUAAUGUUCCAAAGGUCCUGAAAUCAGCAUAGUUCGGAAGUUUAGCAUAUAAAAUCUCAAAUGGUGACUUGGCUUUCAGAAUGGGGCUAGGGGUCCUAUUCAUCAAGAAAACUGCAGUUUUGACACAUUCACCCCAGAAUUUUAAUGGUAAAUAAGAUUGAAACAGCAAGGCACGAGCAAGAUUUAAAAUAUGUAGGUGUUUCCUUUCUACAACACUGUUUUGUUGUGGGCGUUCCAUACAGGAAAAUUGGUGUAAGACACCUUUAUGUGAAAAGAAAUCUGAAAGGUAAGUUCUCUUGAUGGUGGUUUGAAAUUGGUUUUCCACAUAUGAGAAAAUUUGUGGUACAAUGAAGAGACAAUCAGAUUUAUUUCUGAGAAGGUAAAUCCAAGUGAACCUACUUUUAUCAUCUACUAAAGUUAAAAAAUAUUUGAAUCCAUCAAAGGUAACUUCCCUAAAAGGUCCCCAGAUGUUAGUAUGUAUUAAAUCAAACAAUUCAGCACUAAAAUUGUUUUGGUUAGUGAAAGUGAAUCUGUUUUGUUUAGCAAUAUGGCAAACUUCAUAAUAAAAUUUGGAAUCAAUAUACGAUAUAGGAACUUUAUUGCAAAUCAGUUUGUACACAUGUAUAGGUAUGUGGCUCAAUUUGUGGUGCCAAGUUUCAUAGGUGACAACAUUACAAGAUUGUAUACUAGUAUAAUGAAAAGAAGACUUAGGGAAAUAAAAAAGAAGUAAUCCUUGAUGUUGCCUAGCGGUGCCAAUCCUCCUCAAUGUCUUGAGGUCCUGAAGAACAAAGCUGUUAGGUUGCAUAGUAAACUAGAAAGAAUUGUCAUUUAUCAAAGACCCAAGGGACAAUAAGUUAAAUCUAAAGGUUGGAAUAAAUAACACAUUGUGUAGGAAGAUGUCAUCAUUUAGUUUUAUACUUCCUAUCCCUUCAACCUUUACCUUGGUGGAAUUAGGUAAUAAAACAUGAGAAUCAUGUAAACAUUUAAAGGAAUUAAAUUGUUCUUUCGAGCAACAUAUAUGUGAGGUUGCUCCUAAAUCGAUAAUCCAAUAAUGGUAAGAUUCAUUGAAAUCAAAACUAUUGUUCAUGCAUAUACCUGAAACAUUUAUGGCAAGAGUAUCAACAUUGUUCUCUGUUUUCAAUUGAUUUGUUAAGAAGCUAAUCAACUGUUGACAUUGAGUAAUGGACAAAGUAUUUGUGGCACCUUGACUAGGGGACUCAUCAUGAUCAGUUACCUGAUUUGCAGUUUGCUGAGGCUUGUUCUUGAAGUAACUUGGAGGAUAGCCAAUAAGUUUGUAACACUUGUCUUUUGUAUGACCUAACAAGUUGUAAUGAGCACAUUGAGGUCUCUCUUUCUUAGCAUUUCUACUUUUACCAUUAGUAGGGUUCUUGGUUAUAGAGUUGAUAGCAAAGGCCAUAGUGUUAGAGUUUAGACACAGUAUGUGGUUUACAACAAUUUCUCUUUGUGCUUCUUCUUGAAUAACAAGAGAAAAAACAUUACCAAUGGAGGGAAGAGGAUCAGAGAGGAGGAUUUGACCCCGGACUUGACAAAAUUGGCAUUUAGGCCCAUUAAAAAGGAUAUGACAUAUUCAGAUUCAUUGUAAUCUUGUAGAGUUUGUAACCCGCCACAUGUGCAUUGGAAGGUUGGUUUAUAGCCUGAGAGUUCUUUCCAAACCGAUUUUAAUUUGGUAUAAUAGGUACUAACAUCAUCAUUUCCUUGUUGUAAUGACAUUAGCUGCCUUCUCAAUUGGAAAAUUCUUGGGCCAUUCUUUCGGGAAAAUCGUGUUUCAAAUCGUCCCAAAUUUCCUUAGUCGUGUUUGCAAACAAGAUGCUGCUAAUGAUAUCUUUAGAAACAAAAUUGUAAAGCCAGGAAAUGACAAGAUUGUUACCACGAGUCCAUGCAGCAUAUGUAGGAUUGACUGUGGUUGGCAUCGGGAGGGAUCCAUCGAUGAAGGCCACCUUGUUCUUCACCGAAAGAGCUACCAUCAUUGCGCGGCUCUAUGUGGUGUAGUUCUUGUGGUUAAGAGGCUGGGAGGUAAGGAUGAGUCUUGGGCCAUCCGAAUGAUGUAGAAAUAGUGGGUGAGAGAGAUCUUAACUGGAAUCUUUAACUGGUGCUGCCAUGAAUCCAAACCGAAAAGCCGAUGGGAGAGUGAUUAGGAGAAGAUACAAAGGAGAAGAUCAUAGGACCAUUGAGGAAGAGGAUCGUAGAGAAUGUUGUUCAUUUGAUAUCAUAUUGAAGUUAUUAGCCUUGUAAUAACUUGGAAAGAAAAAAGCAAGAAGGAAGAAAGAAACAAAGGAUGCUAAGGAAACUCAGAAUCAAUAUUGAUUAACUUGCAGGAAAAAUUACAAAAACUAUAUCUCCUCUGGUUAUAAGCUAUACACAUGUAUAUAAAAGGAGAAACAAAAAGAGAUAACUAAAUGCAUCAAAACAAAAUUAUAACAGAAUAACAUAAGGUAGUUAGAAACAAAAUAGCAGAAGAUGCAGAAUAGCAUAGGUAACACUAGAUUCCAUGAUCCAAUAAUGACCCUUGGCGUAUUGAAUUCUUUAUGAAUUCAGAAUGACCCUCAGAUUUGGCGAAUUCUUUACGAACUCAGAAUGACUCCUGGUGUAUUGAAUUCUUUACAAAUUUAGAAUGAUCCUCGAAUUCGGUGAAUUCUUUAUGAAUUCAGAAUGACACUCAGUGUGUGUUUGAAUAAAAAAAUUUAACUGAGAAAAGUAAUUUAUUAGAAAAUUUGAAUUUCUGUAAUCUAGAAUUCAUUGUUUGGAUGUUUUUUUUUGUGAAGAAUUACAACAAAAUUUUAAAUAACUAAAAAUUUGGAAUUUUAAUUUCCUUAUAGAGAAAUUGAAAUUCUCUUGUUACCAUCUUCUCCAAGAAAUACCGUCUGGACUCGUGGAACAUCGAUCGGGUCUAGAGGUAGAAGAACAUGUAAAACUAACACACCAAUCAUAUCUUUUCUUUUUUUUCAUUCAUUUUUUUUCACCCUUAUAAUUUUAAUUUUUUUUAUUCAAACACAAAAAUUUGAAAAUAAAAUAAUUUUAAUUGAAUUAAAUUCCUUCGUCCAAACACAUUCUAAAAUUUAAAAUUUCUCAUGAUUUUAAAUUCCUCCGUUCCACAAUAUUGAAUUCUUCACAAAUUUAGAAUGAUCCUCGGAUUCGGAGAUUUCUCUAUGAAUUCAGAAUAUGACCCUAGCCCAAUGGCAAUUACGAUAUGAAUUUUGCAUUCAAAGUUCGAAGCCUCGAUGACCCUAAUUUGAAUUCAAGAUGAAAUCUUUAUUCCAUGAUCUUGAAUUCUCUAUGAAUUCAGAAUGAUCCUCGGUGACCCUAGCCUAAUGGCGACUGCAAUGUGAAUUUUUAUUAAUAUUUUUGAAGUGGGAAUGAGUCUCGGUGACAGCUUAAUGACAGUUACGAUUAUGAUUUUUUUUUAAUUCAUAAUUUUUAAGCAGGAUUGAAGCCUCUCUGACCCUGAAUACGAUUGCAAGAUAAAGACUGAUGGAAUAUUCAGCCCAUAAUGAUCCUAAAUUCAUAUUUUGAUUCGUUGUGUUAAAUGAGGAUGGUUGGAACGAGUACAUAUGAACCCAAGCAUAACUGUGAUGGUCCUAAAUGCUAUUAUAAUUAUGGAAACAUGAAUCUAAGCAUGUGCCAUGACGCCUGACCCUGAAAGCAAUUUCGUAUUGUUAAAUUGGGACGAAAUGCAUUGUGCCUUAGUGAUUCUGAAUGCAACCUGUGCUUGGGUGUGCUUGAGUUUAUGAUGAUAAAAAAUACAAUAGUACAAUGCAUCUGAGGGUAGUCCUUUUGAUGGCCCUAAUGCAUGUAUGUGCCUUAGUGAUUCUGAAUGCAACCUUUGCUUGGGUGUGCUUGAGUUUUUGAUGAUGACAAAUACAAUAGUACAAUGAAUCUGAGUGUAGUCCUUUUGAUGGCCCUAAUGCAAGUAUGUUCCUUAGUGAUUUUUUAUGCACACAUGAAUCUAAGCAUGUGCCUUGAUGACUAACCCUUAAAGCCAUUCUAAAUGGGAUAGAAUUCACUGUGCCUUGGUGACUCUAAAUGCAAUUGUGACUGGAUCUUUUAUGAUGCUAAAUACAAUUCUACAAUGAAUCUAAGCACAAUCCUCAAUGGUUCUGAAAUGCAAUUACAAUAUGAAAGCAAACAUGAAUCUAAGCAUAUGCCUCGAAGGCUGGCCCUUAAAGUAUAUAAAACUGAGAUGCAUCAAUGGCUUGGGGAAAACCAGACUCGCAAAGUUGUUGUUCAAUGAUAAGACGAUGGAUGAACUUUUCCAAUAAAAGAUGUGGGUGUGUAUCUCUGAUUACUUUGAUAAGAGGCAGAUAAUUAUUAAAAUCAUCAGUUCUGCUUUGGCUUCAGCUCCAACUAGUGCUCUUGCUAACCAAGAAAAUGUUAACAGCUUAGAUAUUAAGCAGUUACAAAUUUAUCUUAGACACAAGCUUUCUGGUCAGAAGUAUUUACUAGAGAUGGAUGCUAUAUGGAAUGAUGACAGUGCAAAAUGGAUAGAGUUGAAAGAUUUAAUAAAAGUUGGUGGAAUGGGAAGCAAAAUCUUGGUGACAAUAAGAAGUAACUCAAUUGCUUCAAUGAUGGGCACUCUUCCCUCCUAUAUUUUAGUAUCAAAUGGGCAUUCACUUUAGGAAGUUCUCUGUUCUUAAAUUUUGAUUUAGAAAGGUGGGAAUUCGUAAGAGACCAUGAGAUAUGGAACUAGAAACAAAAAAAAAAAAAAUGAUGGCAUUUUACCUUCUCUUAAGUUGAGCUAUGAUCAAAUGCCAUCCUAUUUGAAGCACUAUUUUGCUUACUCUUCCCUUUUCCCUAAAGAUUUUGGCUUUGCUGGUGCUCAAAUUUCAAGUCUUUGGGCGGGACUUGGAUUGCUUCGAUCUCCAGUUGGAAGUCGACAGGUAGAGCAUAUUGCAGCACAAUAUAUAGAUGAGUUGCACACGAGAUCAUUUCUGGAGGAUUUUGAGGAUUUUGGCCACAUUUACUAUUUCAAACUACAUGAUCUUGCUCUGUAUGUUGCAAAAGAGGAUCUUCUAGUGGUAAACUUGCGUACUUGCAAUAUACCUGAGCAAGCAAGGCAUUUAUCAGUUGUUGAAAAUGAUUCACUUAACCAUGCUUUGUUCCCCAGGUCCAGAAGUGUGAGAACUAUACUAUUUCCCAUUGAUGGAAUGGGUGUCGGCAGUGAAGCUCUCUUGGAUGCAUGGAUAACAAGAUACAUAUACUUACGGCUUUUAGAGUUAGGUGAUUCCUCUUUUGAGACUCUACCUAAUUCAAUUGCUAAAUUGGAACUUUUGCGCUCUCAAACUUGAAAAUAAUCGCAGAAUAAAAAGGCUUUCUUAUUCUAUAUGCAAACUCCAAAAUUUGCUAUUUUUGUCACUCAGAGGAUAUGUGCAGCUUGAAACAUUGCCUAAAGGAUUAGGGAUGUUAAUCAGCCAUCAACACUUGCAUUUAACCACAAAGCAAUCUAUUCUGUCAGAGGAAGAUUUUGCAAGCUUGAGCAAUGUUCACACUUUAACUUUUGAGUAUUGUGACAAUUUGAAGGUUUCUCCCUAAACUGAAGAUUCUGUCUGUAAGACACUGCAAGAUGCUAAAUCUGUCGUUGAACUGUGAAAGUGCAAUCCAUAAAUUGAGGAUGAAAUUCCUGCAUCUUGAGCAUUGUCCAAGGCAACAGACAUUGCCUCAAUGGAUUCUAGGAGCCGCUGACACUCUGCAGACAUUGCUAAUCAUAAAUUCUCAUAGUCUUAAGAUGGUUCCCGAGUGGCUGACAACAAUGACUCAUCUUAAGAUGCUUCAUAUUGUUAACUGUUCUCUGCUGUUGUGUCUGCCAAGUGACAUGCAUCACCUCAUUGCCCUUUAAGGUUUGAGCAUAGAAAAUUUGAACCACAAUCUGGUAAUUACUGGUCCUUCAUUGCUCACAUCAAACACCUAUCCAUUGGAGAAACAAGAGAAGGGCACCACCUCCUUUUCCGAAUGCAGUCGCCGAUGCGGUUAGUAAAACUAAAAUGUUAGGCACAAAUAUGCAGUCAUGACAGAGGGCACUACACACGGAACCCUCCACCCUCAGCUUCUGGACGUUACUGUAAGCUAUCCACUACUAUGAUCCAAAUCAUUUUCCUUUGAGUUUGAAAUCUCACCCCACAACAUCUUCUGUUCUUAAUUUUGAGAAAAUAGACUAUGCACUGAUAGUAUAAAAUAUAUUCAUUCUAUCACAAGUUUCCGUGUAUGGUUAGUUUGUUAACUGCAUAACUCCUGGUCUUUCUGCUGUGUGCUUGAUUGCUUGCCUUUAAAUCUAGUUUGUGCUGCUUUGUUCAGCUAACAUCAUGUUCUUUUCCAACUAUGUACACAGAUUAAAUAUAGUUAUAUUUUUGAACUGCAUAUUUUGCAUUUGCCACCACAUAUUUAAAUAAGCAUUCCGUAGAAAACAAUCUAUUUAAAUUCCGCACAUACACGUGAAAUGUGACAUUGCCACCACAUAUUUUUAGACAUUAAAAAUCCUUUCGUCUACUCUUUUGACUUAUGUAACAUACUGUUAGAAUUAAUGUAUGUAAGAACUAAUAAAUAAAUAAAUAAUAAUUAAGAACUAAAUUGUAAUUGGGCAUAGGAGAAGUUUGUAGGAUUAAAUGUUAUUUGAUGGGAGUAAUGGUUAUAAAAGGGGUUAAUACCCACUAACCUGAAAUAAGGUCUCCUUUUAGAAAAGUGUUAUCUCUCAUCCAUAGUCACCCAUCACGAACCUAGAGAGACAAAAAAGUCUAAAAAAGUCAAAUCUUAUUUCUCUCCUCUUUCAGAAGGAAAUCAAAUACCUGAGAGAGAAAGUCUUCUUAUGGAGAAAGUACAAGUCUUCCUAUGGAGAAAAGUAUGCAUUAUUUGUUUAAUGUAUUGUUUCCUGUAAUUGAUAAUAUAGAAAAUCACUUAAGAAUUAUACAUAUACUUCUCUCAUUUCACCACUUACUAUACCCCUUUACCAGUUAUUUCAGCAUGCGAAAGGAUACACCGGUGCUGGAAGUGAAACUUGAUGUUGAUGAUAUGGCAAAGAGUCACAAAGCCUGAACUUUUGUUCUUGUGGAUUUUCCUUGAAGCACAGAUGAAGAAUAAAAUGUAUGAUUUUUAAAUUGUUGCAAUGGGAUGGUGGUGUUAUGUGGAUGUCCUCGGCAUGUUAGGUAAUUGGCUAGCUCUUCCCAAGCAGAAAUUUGAAGCUGUCUGUGUUAAAGCUUGAGUUCCACAUUAAUGUAUGCUAAGUUCAAAAUUGACCAAAUUUUGGUCUGUUUUGUUAAUGCUCGAGGAUGAUAAGAUAAAAGGCUGCAUUAUUAGAAACAAUGGUUUCAGAUAUUUUCAUUUUGUUGGCUGCUCAAUGACAAUGAUAAAGGGUUCACAUGCCAUUUGAAUUUCAAGGGCGAUAAUCUUUGAUAUCUGUUUUCUUUUUAGUCAGUUAAGUGAGUUCAUAAAAAAGAAUGUUGAAGUGAAACUUGAUUGAAUCACAGACGCACACAAACGAGUUCUUGUUUUUAUUCUGCGUCAAAAUUUGUGGUUAGUUAAUGACCUGCAUUAACAUGAAGCAUGCAAAGGCGGAAUUGAUUUAUUGGAUCCUCUGUUGAUAUUAUGGAUUAUCACUUCUUCACAAACAUUCAUUCUCGAUUUGGGAGUCAUGUAUUGCCAUCAUGCUAGCUAUGAAUCAUUAUGGCAAUUGCAUGCAUUACUACGAUAUGUUCUUACAUAUUUUGGGUCAUUCGAUUACUUUGUUAAAGAUCUAAAGGAUAGGUUUGAUUGUGUGAAAGAAAAAAGAAAUAUUUAAAUUAAAAUAGGUGUGAAAUUCGUAUUAUAUUUAAAAUUUUUCCCUUGAAUAGUAAUUUCUCUCCCACAAUACAACCACCCCUAAGUGUGAUAAAAAAAAAAGUUACAAGUAAUCUUUUAAAAACUUCCAUAAAAAAAAAUCUUUUAAAAACUAAAAUAAUAAUAUAUUUCUCUAUUGUGUUGAUGUCUUGAUUCUAUGUUGUGUAAGAUCAUCCAUGCAUUUUUCUACAUGUUUUAAAUGGAUUUCAUCGUUACACAAUUUUUUUUUUUUAUUUCUUUACAAUUUAAGUAACUCUUCUCUCCAACCCAACAACUUGAUUAUUUUUACUAAAUGGAUUCCACAAAAACCACACAUCCUUACAAUUCAUCAACACUAAUUAUUACUAUACUAUUAUUAUUAUUUGAUAAAAAUGUAAAAAAAAAAAGAAGUUUAGCAUCGGUGUUUACAUAAACACUUGAUGCUUGAUAAGUUCUUAACUAAAACGAGCUUGAUGAGUGGUUCUUGACAGACGCUGUUUCAUAUUAAGAACCUGGGAUGGAGAUGGCCUAAAUGUGAGAAUAUCACCUAUAAUAAUGCAAAAUAUUAACCAAGAAUUUCAUCAUGUGUAUACAAAAGGCUUUAUUAAAAAAAUGUUAUAUUUAUUUUAUUGAUUUCUACAUCUCAAUUAGCAAAUUCUCUCUCUCUGUAUAUGUACGUGUUUCUUCCUACAUUAUAAAACUCAAACACCACCCCCUUAUCCUUUAAGUCACAACGAAAAGGGAUAUUAUUUGAGUUGUAUGGGUGCAAGAAACUGGUGACUUUCUUAAAAUGAGAAGUAAUGCCAAUACACUCCUCCAUAAUUAUUGGUUAAAAUAUAUUAAAAAUUAUAAAAUCAGGAGAAAAAAUCAUUAAUUAAAUAAAAUAUAAAACCUAUUAAAUUUUUUAAUUUUUAAUAAUUUUUUUUAAAAAAACAUAUGUUAAAAAAAGAGUGUUAGAGAAUAAAACUCUAUCAUUUCUGUUCUUAAAGUGUCCGUUGAGAAAAAAAAGAAACAUAAACAUAUAUUUGCACUACUAUAGCUGCUAUAGCUGUGGUUGGGCCAUUGUUGGCCUUUUUUAAUUGUACUGAUGACAAAAAAAAAUGUCACACGAUUACAAGUUUACCCCUAAAAGAUUACAUAUUUCCGAGAACAUCCCUUAUCAAACAAAAGAACCUACGAAUCGCAUGAAAAGCGGCAUUGAGUGAGAGUGUUCCCUCUCCUCUCUUCUGCUCAAACAAUGUCGCAAACAACGCUGCACGCUUUCGUCGCCAAAAACCUUGGUUAGUGUUCCCUCUUCUUCUCUCUGCUUUAUGAUUCUUCUUUCUCGUUAUUAUAGAAUACAAAACUAAACAAAACCUUAGCCACGCUUAAGUGUUUCAGCUUCAAAACCCCGCCUCAUUUCUUUAGCUUAAAUUACAAAUUAAACACUAGGGGUUUUUCAAUAUCUGUUUCUAGUGACAUAAUUUUUUGUCCUUUUUCAAUGAAAUCCGUAGCUUUAUGAAUUAUGAUUGAAAGUUUCUUUUUUUUUUUCUGUUGUUUUUAGUGGUUUCUUAACCCCACCAUGUAUGUUGUUACUUGUGUUAUUGACGUGGCUAUUAAGGGGAUUUUGAGGCUUCAUUCUUUUGGGGAAAAUGAUAUUUUGAGUUUGGGUUGAUGAUAGAAUGUUCUGUGCGUUUGUGGUUUUGAAGCUGGCUCAUAUUGCCCACUAUCUAUUUGUUGAACAGUAAUGUUAUAUCUACACCAGGAUUUCUCUUGGUAAUUGAGAUGUUAAUGAACAUAAAACAUUAAGCAAACGAUAAACGAGGCAAACUAAUAAUUUACAUGUAAGUAACUGUGUGUAGAUAUAAUAUUACUACUUGUUUAAAUGAUCAUUGUGAGUGGUAAGCCAUAGCAAUUGUUCACUUCUGUUAUUAAUUGAAGCGCUCUUUCUCCAGUCUGGAAGGGCUUAUGACUUGUUAAUGGGCUUCUUGGUAUAGUUUGUCAAAAUAAGCUCUUUUUAUUUUAUUUCAAUAAUUUUCAUGGUCAAAUUUAUAAGUUAUCAUGUAAUAAGAGCUUAUUGAAUUAGUGCUUAACUAAAUUGUUUACCCAUAUACACCCUUUGUCCGUUGCAGUUGUUGAUAGUUUUUAUAUUUACAUCAUUUUCCACCAUGGUUAUCAGCAUUCUUUUUUGUGAAAGUAAACAAUCAAAGUGCUAUAAUGAAAAUGUUGGUCUUCAUUGACUGUAGGGAACAAGCUUCAUGUUGUUGAUGACUCUUUGAGGGGCACUCACCAAACUUAACAUUUGCCUUUUUGUUUUCUUGGAUGAUGGAACCAAUGUGGAUGUGCAUGUUUUAUCUGCAAGCUGCUUGUAGAAUAGUGUUAAGCCAUAAUGAUUGUAUCAUGAUUAGUUUGUUUCUAAGCUGGCUUUUCUAGAGUUGGCUCCAUGUUAAUAUUCAGAGCUUGAGUACUCGGUGUGUUAUCAUGGGUUUAUUUGGCUUGACUGCUUGAGACCAUGUUUUGUGUCAUUUUGCACUUUAAUUUUUUGAGGAGUGCUAGGAACAUACUCUCUAACUCACUCUUUGCUACUGGUUAGAAUUUAUUGGAAAUUACAAAAUCAGGAUUCAAGAGCAUCACACAUUUUUGUGGUUUUCAAUAAAUUCAAAACAAUAAGAGUGUGUUCCUCUAUUUUUUUUCUACCUGUUCUCAUACCUCUAUAUAUGUGGUGUUAAAUUAUUUUGGUGUUAUUGAAGGAUGUGGAAUGGCAGAAGGCAAGUGUCUCCCAUGUUCAGGUGUUUCUGGAAGAACUGCUGCUGUAUAUUCCUACUCUUCUCUAGGUCAUCGCAGAAUUCAUUCCCAUGUCCAAGUUAGAGGACUAAAGUGUGGCUUUAGGGGUGCAUCUUUUGUAUGUGAAGCAAAGAGGAACCCAGAUUUCUCAAGGCAAAACAAGCAUGGGUCCUCCAGAAGCAGAAAUCGGAAUAGUGAUGGGAGAGACAGCUUUGAGAGCUUUGACGACGAUAUGUUUUCUUUAAAAAAUGGACCACCUGUGUCUCUUUCAACCUCAGGAAAAUUCCAGGCCACUUCAGCCCCUGGUCCUAGGGAGAAGGAGAUUGUUGAGCUAUUUAGGAAGGUCCAGGCUCGGUUGCGUGAGAGGGCUGCCUCCAAAGAAGAAAAGAAAGUUGAAGCCUCCCGAGCACAAAGCAAAGAGAACAGUACUGUGGAUUCCCUUCUCAAACUACUGAAGAAACAUUCAGUUGAGCAAGUGAAGAGAAGUAGUGGAGGCAGAGGAAAAGAUUUUAGUUCAGACCAGUUGCAAGAAAGUAACCAAUACAAUGGAGGACGGAACUCUAAAAUUUCUGAUUUAGAUAGUUCUCCAAAGGAUGAGCCCCAAGAGGACAUUGUCUUCUCUUCCUCGGUAGCCAGGCCUCGGUCAAAUUUCCAAAGAAGGUCUCCCGUUCCUCGUUUAAAAUACCAGCAUGUCUCUAACGAUGAGAAUGAAAUGACUGUAGUGCCAGUAGGUAGUGAGGAUACAGAGAACAAUCAGGAUCAGAUAGAUUUGAAGCUUGAUGACGAAGCUGAAUCUGACUUUGAAUCGGAUGUUGAUUCAAAGGAUGAGUUUUUCUUCCCAAACAUAGGGAUGGCUGAAUUGUCUGAGGAUGAUGAUUCUGAGCAAACCUAUAAUGAUGAGAGUGUGGAGGAGCAGCCGGCAGCUCAACACAAGGAUUUGAGUGCACUGAAGCUGUCUGAAUUGAGGGCACUUGCAAAGACUCGUGGCCUGAAAGGAUUCUCAAAAAUGAAGAAGAGUGACCUCGUGGAGUUGCUAACUGAGAGCUGAUUCUGAUGGAAUGAUAUACGAGAAGAAAAAGGGACAAAACAACACAUGCCAUAGUAAAAUAGAUUUUUUUUUUCUUUUCUUGCUUUUGACUUGACAUUCUAUCCGAUGUUUCUUUGUGUUCUUUUUUUUUUGUCACACUCUAAUUUAAUUUUUCCAAGUACUUGAGGUUGAGAGUUUGUGGAACAUUAUACUAUUAGAGUAAUUAUGAUAUCUUUGCCUCGGAGAAUUUUUGAACUUGUAGUUAUAUUCCCGGGAUGAUAUCUUGUGGCAUUUGGUUAUUAUGUGAUCCAAUGACCUAUCUGGCUAGUGAGAGAUUACAUCAUUGUCGUAGUAUUUUGGUUAUCUCCUUUAUUCAUUUGUUUGUGAGAUUUUUUAUGGUCAUUCAUAUAAUGCAUGUGCAAGCAUAAAGUCGGAAGAAAUAUCCAUUAUGGUUUUAGGUUAAGAAUGUGCACCUGAAACCUUCUUAUGAACUUUGCUCAUGAUGGCUCGAAAACAAAGUGUCUUAGCCCAUGUUAGUUAAUUUCUCAAUGAUUUUGUUCGCAGCAGCAGGCACAUGGUUUGAGCCUUUGAGGCAUCAGGCAUGAUUACCAAAUACCAAAAGCCCUAAGGCAUCGACUUUGCUUAAAUGGCCGUUUGGAAUCUUAGUUACACGUGGAAACAAACAAGCCAUUAAUCUAUUGUCGUUUUGGACCUUAUUUCUUGAAGUUUUUAGUGAAAGAAUUAUGCUUUCUUUUGCUUAGCUUGCAGGAUGGGUUAUGAUUGAUCCCUUUUUUCAUCGCCUAAUGGUAGUUGUUAAUUUUGUUAGAAUGUUUGUGGGAGUGAUUUAAAUUCAAGGCAUGACAGUAUAGUUCUCACACUUCUGGACCUGGGGAACAAAGCAUGGUUAAGUGAAUCAUUUUCAACAACUGAUAAAUGCCUUGCUUGCUCAGGUAUAUUGCAAGUACGCAAGUUUACCACUAGAAGAUCCUCUUUUGCAACAUACAGAGCAAGAUCAUGCACCAAAUCAUGUAGUUUGAAAUAGUAAAUGUGGCCAAAGUCCUCAAAAUCCUCCAGAAAUGAUCUCGAGUGUAACUCAUCUAUAUAUUGUGCUGCAAUAUGCUCUACCUGUCGACUUCCAACUGGAGAUCGAAGCAAUCCAAGUCCCGCCCAAAGACUUGAAAUUUGAGCACCAGCAAAGCCAAAAUCUGUAGGGAAAAGGGAAGAGUAAGCAAAACAGUGCUUCAAAUAGGAUGGCAUUUGAUCAUAGCUCAACUUAAGAGAAGGUAAAAUGUCAUCAUUUUUAUUUUUUUUUGUUUCUAGUUCCAUAUCUCAUGGUCUCGUACGAAUUCCCACCUUUCUAAAUCAAAAUUUAAGAACAGAGAACUUCCUAAAGUGAAUGCCCAUUUGAUACUAAAACAUAGGAGGGAACAGUGCCCAUCAUUGAAGCAAUUGAGCUACUUCUUGUUGUCACCAAGAUUUUGCUUCCCAUUCCACCAACUUUUAUUAAAUCUUUCAACUCUAUCCAUUUUGCACUGUCAUCAUUCCAUAUAGCAUCCAUCUCUAGUAAAUACUUCUGACCAGAAAGCUUGUGUCUAAGAUAAAUUUGUAACUGCUUAAUAUCUAAGCUGUUAACAUUUUCUUGGUUAGCAAGAGCACUAGUUGGAGCUGAAGCCAAAGCAGAACUGAUGAUUUUAAUAAUUAUCUGCCUCUUAUCAAAGUAAUCAGAGAUACACACCCACAUCUUUUAUUGGAAAAGUUCAUCCAUCCUCUUAUCAUUGAACAACAACUUUGCAAGUCUGGUCUUCCCCAAGCCAUUGAUGCAUCUCAGUUUAAUAUACUUUAAGGGCCAGCCUUCGAGGCAUAUGCUUAGAUUCAUGUUUGCUUUCAUAUUGUAAUUGCAUUUUAGAACCAUUGAGGAUUGUGCUUAGAUUCAUUGUAGAAUUGUAUUUAGCAUCAUAAAAGAUCCAGUCACAAUUGCAUUUAGAGUCACCAAGGCACAGUGAAUUCUAUCCCAUUUAGAAUGGCUUUAAGGGUUAGUCAUCAAGGCACAUGCUUAGAUUCAUGUGUGCAUAAAAAAUCCUCUAACACGACCAUCGGGCAUGAUCUGCGACUAGACUGAAAAUAUUAAAAACCAGAACCUAAACGAAAACAUUACAAACACAUUCUGCAGAACACCAUACCAUUUGACAACGAAGCAAAUUUCAAUUUCAAUUCUAAUCUCUUUCCCUCUUCAUAAAAUCCAGAUAUUCUCACAAAUGAAAUUUCUCCACCAAAUAAUAAACAAGGGUAAUAGCAAGCACACCGCUUUCUAUUUUCCUUUUAUUAAGCAGGAAUCGCGCAAAUUAAAAGUAGGAAAACUUUACAACAAAUAUAAACGACUACCAUUGACAAUUAUCAGGAAGAAUAAAAUUACAAUAAAAAAAGAAAAAAAAAAGGGUGAGAGAGUAAAGGAAGGGAAGAAGAACCUUCACGGCGAGGGAAACGGAGUAUCCGACCUUGUGGUGAAAGUAGCGAAACCAUGUUGGUAGCGAAACCAUUGUAGGGUGCAGCAGACACUGUUGUGUUUGUGUGUGUGAAGCAAUACCCACCCUCUCCCCCCUUUUCUCCUUUAUAAUCUAUGUUGAGAAUAGAGAAUAAUAUGAUGUUUUUAUAUAUACUUUUUUAUCAUUUUAUCUCUAAAAUUGCCUUUUUAAUUUUUUAUAUUCUUAUAACUAUUCCCUUUAAUCAACCCACAAAUUUAUAGAGGCACGGAAUUGUAGUAUUUUUAUGUUUUGGGAAAUAUGCUAUUUUGGUUGCAUGGUGUACAUAGUAUAUUUUUUGUGGCAUUUGAUAAUAUGUUAACAUAAAGUAAACAUAGCACAUGAGCUUUAUUAUGUAUUUGAAAUAAAAAAUGAAACACAAAGGUUCUCUUGAUACAAAAAUUUAUAGAGUUGACAAUGAUUUUAACUUGGCUUGGAACGUCCAAGUUGUCCUGUCCUACCACCAUAUAGUAUUUAACUAACUUGUUAGUGUUAUUCCUUUUUCUUGAGAAAUUCAUAUGAACUUAAUUUAUCAUUUUAUGUGGACUAAAUCAUUACAUAUUAAUUAUUAUGUUACAUUCAGUUAUUUCUGAUCUUUGUAGGACCAAGUAUUUUUAUGCUAGUAGUAUUAUUUUAAUAUAUUGUGAGGAAGCUACAAGCUAACAAAUCACUUAUACAUGAUAAUUAACUUGUUCAGUUGUUUGGGUUCCACAAUGAGUUCAUGUUCUAUUUCUCGAUGAUUGAAUUCUGUCUUUCCCUGUGGUCCUACUUGAUGAUGCAACAGAUGGGACAUGAGUAUCAUCAUCAGCUCACCGCAACAUGAAUCAACAUCACAAACUAAAACUAAAAGUAGAAGAUGCCGAUAGCAAUACCACAGUAGCAGACCACAAAGGAGGCAGCAUUAGGAAAUGGACAAAAUAGAAUAACAGAAUAUCUUCUAGAUACUACUAACAAAGAUUUGUUCUUGAUACAAAAAUCAUUGUCAAUUUUAACUUAUACAAAAAUUUUAUUUUAUUUUAUUUUCUGUUUCUAUAAAUAUUUAUUUAAAAAAUUAUCCAAACUAAGCACUAAGAAGAUUUAAUUUUAAAGGUAGAGCAAUCUGUCUCUAAGAAACUACAGCUAAUUGAUAUACGAGGAACAGUGUCCCUAACAUUCAUCUUCAUACAUUCGAUCUCCACUUUGGCUAAUUGAUAUACAAAAUUAGGAAGUAGUUCCACACUUGCAACAUAAGUCAAUAGCGCCUUAUUCCGAAUCCUAAAUUAAGUCCAAGUUUGCAUGUUUCUUUUACUGUUACAUGUUUUAGAUCAAGUCCUUGUUCUUUUUCUUUUCCCUCGUUCAUAUGUUGUUAUGUUUGGCUUCUUCAUUUAAUUGUUGGUUUCAUGAAUUCGUGUAUGUAUGCAGCCCAUAGGUUUAUUUUUUGAAUAAAAUACAUAUAUAUAUUGUGACCACAUGUUUACCUUUGUAUUAUGAGUCAAAAGGCAGUGUUUCUUUCUUAUUUUAGGAUUAGAAUAUUAAAAUAUGUUGUUUUGGUAGUUAAAAAGAAAGUUUAACUUUUUAUAAGAUAAAGAAAUAAUGAUAACUCUAGGAUACAAGAGGCACGAAAGGUUUUUUUUAUUCAUUAAGUUUAUUUUUGCUUUUGCUAUUUUAUCUUUUAAGUUAGAAAUAUUAAAAUAAUGAUAAGAAAAUGUAAGGUUGUGUCCUUUGCAAUAUGUGCUUCUUUGUAUAGGUUAGUUUAGUUUUGAUUUUCUUUCUUAAAAAAAAAAAACAAGAAUACAAGGUCAUGAUUUAGUUUCACGGACAUGUUUUUUUUUUUUUUCAUUUUCCUUUUGUUAGAAAGUGAUGAAUAAUUUUCCUUGUAGUAUAAAAGUUCUGAUUUUACUUUUUUUCUUAAUUCAUAUUGUUUGUGUUUCCAAAUAAAAAUAACGUUUUUUUUUAAUUUAUGCAAUGGUUUGUGAUAUUAAUUGAGUAGCAAUUCUACCUUUUACUUAAAUCAUAAAAGUUCAUAAAAUAACCAUUUUUUAUCUAAGCUUUUGGUACAGAGUUAUUAUUUUAACAAAAUAAAUAAUUUUAUUUGAGUAAGCAACAAUGUUACCUGAUUUGGAAAAUUUAAAUAAUUUGCUAGCUUAAAUCUUUGUGCAAAGAUCAUUUCUCUCAUAUAAAAAAAGAUAAAAAUGACAGUAAAAAAACUAAAAUAUUUUCUUUUGGGGUAAAAUAAAUAUUUGUGAGAUUGUUUAGAUUUUGUGUAAUUAUUUAUAGGUAUCAUUUUCUUAACAGGGUUGUAGGGUGUUAAAAUCUUCUUUAUGCGUAAGUGACUCCCGAACGGAUCUUUAAUUUCAAAGACCAUUUCUUAAAAGGGUUUUCCAAUAUUUUCUCUCAAGAUAAAAAAUAUUGGUGGUAAUUCCAUUUUAAAUAUUUUUGCAUCGCUCCCGUGUUACCUCAUUACAACAACCCACACAAUAUGGGACUAGUUACAAGAUCCAUAAACUAGCCACAAUAGAUAACAAACCAUCACCAUACAUAACAUAUAAAUAAUGAGUAUUUUAUAAUCUUCACUCCUUGGUUUGAGUAAGAAAAACUUCUACAUUAAAUUAGUUUGUAUAGAAGGACUGGUACGUAACUAACCCAAAUUCCAUGUGUGUGCUCACAUUAAGGUUCACGAUAGUGGGUCAAUGGAAGGACAAAUAUGUCACUUCUUUUUAAUUUGAGGACUAAAAAUUAAUGUUUUUGAUCUUUCAAUGAUCAAUUUGUUACUACUUGACACUUCUAGGUACGAAAAUGGAUAUUUAUUCUUUUUUCCCUUAAACAGUUAGGCCCAACAAUUUUGGAUCGAAUGAUUAAGAUUGUUUGGUGAAAUUGACUAUGCUAGUGCUACAUACCCUAGCAUACUAAUUACAACAACAUCACACAACACAAGUAACAUAGAUUAUAAGAAGAAUAAGAAGAAGAAACAUUCAUGUUAUUCUAUAGUCACUGAAACAAAAUUGUGUUGAACGACAAGGUAGAACAAUGACCCUUUUUUGCAUUUUGACCUUCGAUUUUGAAACUCUUCAAUGUUUCAAGUUUAUUUAUUUAUUUUAAUUGAACAAACAAUUUGUUCAUAUUCAUGAAAUGGUUUAGUCUUAAUUCCAUGUUGAAGGCUAGGAAUUGCAUGAAUUGAAAUAAUUUAACUGAUGGAUGGGGUUAUGGUUUCGUCAUUAAUUUUGGGUUUGUUGGAUAUUGAUUUUUGCUAUUGAAAUCUAAUUAUAUGCCAUUGUGGGGUAUAAGAAAGGAAGAAGAACAAUAACAACAUUUUAUUAAAUAGCAAUAAUGUAGGAAUUACAUAAAAGUAGAUCCAAUUACAUUAAACUCCAAUGAAAGAUAAGAUAAUUGCUCAGAACCAUAGGGGAAGAAUCCCUUGUUGGAGAAAAAAUGGGAGAUAAGUCCCUACACGUCCAAAGUUGUCACAAGAGAGUUCAAUUUAGAAUGUUUUUUAUCUAUUUAAUUGGUCUCUUUAAAAGCCUAAAAAUAAGGAAUAGGUCCAAGCCCAAUUAAAAACAGAAUUAAAAUAUAUUUAAACAUAAUUCUGACACACCCCACACCGUUGUGCCUAUGCCUCACAUUGGUGUGGGUACGCUCACAAGAGUAUGGAAGGCGCACUAGAAGAGAAAAUGCAUGUCAAGAUUGCCCACAACAUUGUGGCUCAAUCUGUAGAAAAUGUAUGUUAGUUGUUCGUCUACCGGCAAGUAUACCGAUGUGCACAAGUAGUAUAUAAAACGAUAAGAUACACUAAUAACUCGUGAAUAGGCUAUUUUCUUACAAUUGUUCAAUACACUAAUAACUCACGAAUAACAAUUAACAUUAGCAACACCCAUACUGUUGUGGGGACUUGUCACACCUGUGUGGUUAUUUCUUGGGCUAAAUUCAAUGCUUUUUAAGCUCUUUUUUGCUGCUUAAAUCUCUCCAAGCCCCUUCAAUCUUCCUUUAAUGUCAUUGAUAGUACUCCAAGUUCCUCUUCAAAUUAGUUUUUCGGCAAAUUCCUUCAAAAAAAAAAAUCAAGUGCAGAAAGAAAUAAAAUUGAAAUUUAAACUAUGAAAAUAUUUAUUUAAAACUUAACUAAAAAUCAACAUAGAAAAGUUCAAAAGAAUAAGAGACAUCACAUAAUUAUGCCAAAAUGGCUACCAAAUGUAGGACUAAAUGAUAAUUAUCAGCAAGCUCCCAUAGUGUGACGAGUGAUGUGGACAAAGUCUAGAAGGAAUAGACUACUUGACAUGACUUUCUUUGGAUCAAAUAGCCUAUUGCGUAAAUUUCUUUGGAUCAAUUUUGAGUCAAAAUCAAGACCCAAAAAAUCAUUAAAAAAAAUAGACAAAACACAUGUAUGAUUUAGGUCUUAAUUUAGAUCCAGAUGCUGAUCCAAAAAAAUUAAGGUAAUAGACUAUUUGACAUGACUUUCUAGCUAUUCUUUCACACAAAAUUUGUAUAGACUGUAUUACAUGCAUGUCAUUUGUCUUUUCUCCUCUACAAAAUUUUGUCAAACGGAAUCUCAGCCCAAAGAUCAAACCAGAAGAAAUUGAAAUAAUAGACAUGCUAAUGAGGUGAUAAUUGUCACUAACUUUGGUUUUCCUCAUGUCGUCUCGCUAAGAAUGAGCAUGAAGACCAAGGUUUGAGGGUUUUUAUAGGGAAAAAGAGGAAUAUUCUUGAAGAGAAAACGAGGGAAGGUCAAAGAGAUGGCAAAAUGUGGUCCACCUUUGAUUUUAGUUUUUUUCUUUCAAUUUAAAAAAAUAAUACAUUUAUUAUUCAAAUUCUAAGAACAAUAAAUUAAUUAUUAGAUCAUACUUGAGUUGUCAAAAUUAAAAAAAAAUGUGCAUGAUUUUAAAUGUAAUUAAUGUUUUUGAAUCCAUAAGAAUCAAACUCAAGUAAUAGUUGGUUUAGAAUAACUCAUGAAUAUUGGUUUAACAACUAAGUUGCACCUCCUUAGUUAAUAUUUCAAAUUUUUAUAUAAAACAUUAUGCAAUUUUCUAAUAUAUCUCUUGUCUUUCAUAUUCAAUAGAUUAUGUCUCUUCUAUAAUUUUUUUUUAUUUUCUCGCUCCAAAAUAAAUGGUUAAGGAUUUAAAGAAUGGUUAAUGCUUCAUCAAUAUUGUAAAAUGAUAAUCUAAUGAUUUUUUUUGUUGAAAUGUAAAACAAAACGGACCAACGGGAGCUGAAAACAUUUAUCUUCUUAUUUAAUAGGUCAUUAAGAGCAUUUAUCUUCCUAUAUAUUAAGAGCAUUUAAUACUCAUUAAGAACAUUUAUAACAAUUUUAAAACCCAACUCAACUUGGUCAAUCGAACAGGUUAGACAAGGAAUCAAACAUAUUGUUAAAGCAUAACCCUUUUAUGAUUUUCAUGUUUUAAUGAAACAAACUUUAAAGAAAUAAAUUUUAUGUCCUUUAGACUUUUGCUACUAAUAUUUUGGCUUGAAGUGCUUUCAAAAAAUAAGACUUAUCAAGAAGCAAGAAGAAAAGUUGUGAAGCAUUAGCCUAUGUUAGUUAUUAUUCAUGAGUUAGUUUGGUAUUGAAUAUUUGCAAAGAAAUAGCAUUGUGCCUCCUAUUUAUGAUUCUUUUUGUAGGAAUUGUACAAAUUUUCUUUAUUAUGUGAUUUUAUAGGUUAGGAACUCCAAUUUUGUGACCUAAUGUUGAAUCCAACUCAUUUUCAGGCCAAAGAAGAGAAGGUUAAAGCAGCUGAUGACUCGUUUAGCGAAGCAUAUCCGCUCAGCGAGAUGCAUCCAUUUAGUGAGACAUCUUGCCCGCUUAGCGGAUGGGAAACCCUAGAAGAGGAGAAGUCAGAGAUCUGUGCGCUCAGCACGCAACCAGCCCGCCCAACGAGAAUGUUGUUUCUUCUCGCGCUUAGCGCGCCCACUCUCGUUAAGCGAAAAUUCACUAACUCUCGCUUAGCGAGCCAUGCUCGCUAUGCGAGCCUUCAGAAGUUUAAUAGUCCAAGAGCCUUUAAAACAUUGAGAUUGACGGAGUUUUGAAAAAGGGAGACGAGUUUAGAGCAACAAAGAGAUCUUAGUUCAAGAAAAGAGAGAGAUUUAGGGUUUAGAGGCUGGAGGAGACAUCCUCCACCAUCUUCUUCCAAUUUGUUUCACCAAAGAUAGUUUCUUUCUUAGUUUUGAAGCUUUGCUUGUAAUGGAAUGUUAAGCUUCUUUGUUGGGGAGUUCUUCUGAACAAUCUUGAUGUAAUAUUCUUGCUAUCUAUUUAAUGUUAUUUUUUUAUAUUCAUUGUUUCUAUUUAUACUUAUUUUACAUGCUUGUGGCUUGAUCACCCAUUUGUAUGUGUAGUUAGGUUUUUUAGUUUUGGUAAAUGCUUUAAAACCUUAGAACUUGAUAGUGCAAGCUAGAAAUCUGUAUGUCUAGGAAUGAAGUGCGAUGAUCUAGUCCAUUUUAUGUUGUAGGCUUAGUGCAACUCUUUUAGAGCAAGUUUGUUGAGGGAUUAAGGACGAAGUCUAAAGAGAGUUAGGCUCAUUCAUGUGAAGAAUUAUGGUUUGAGUAAUUUCUCAGCAUAAGAACACUAGAAUAACGUUAAAUAGAGAAAAACACAUUUUAGACAUCAAGAGAAAUUCAGUAGAAUACCCUCCAACGCUCUUAACUUGAUAGUUUUCACUUUCUAUAGCUUUAGAUAUUUAGUUUAUGUUCAAAUAGAAUUUCUAGUUCAGAACUCAACAUUUGCCUUAUUUUAAUCCAUAUGAGUGUUUACAUAUUGAAUGUACAUGGUCUAGGUAAAACAAAUUCUCUGAGGAUACAAUACUUGAUCUUGUCAUUUUAUACUACUUGUGCGAAUCAGUACACUUAUCGACCAGUGAACAACCUAUGACCUUGAUUCUUAAAUAUGAAGCAUAUCCAACAUCAGAAGCAUAAGGGCAAUUAGGAGUUCUAUGUCAAAGCCCAAAUAUCAAAAGUAGUACAUGACUAUAAGCAUGAUUAUGAAGGUAGUUUAAGUCAAGGGGUAGAUAUCAAAUGCUACACAUGACAAGGAUCAUAAAAAGAUGCAAUGUUAAAGGAAAUAAGUGAAGACAAACAUUUCUACACAGUCGAGAAGCACAGACCAAGAAUUAUGAAGAUCUAUGUCACGUAAUAGUUUACUGAUGCACAUGGCUUAGUGAAGCUUUCUUAAUCUAACGAGUCUAUUUGCAAAAGAAAGGCAACCAUGAAGGUGAAAUGUAGUCUCUCACAAUCUAUAACAAUCAAGAAAAGAUCAACACCAUUCUGCAAAAGACUUACUUUUCUAAAGAAGUGGCAAGCCUCACCAUGACUAUGCUGGAAAAAAGAGAAGUCAUGAGUUAUUGAGCAACAACAUGCACCAACAAACAUGUUUCAAAAUUCAAAGUUUUGAGCAAACUAUUACAACGAAAAGAAGGAGGAAGAACAAGUUGUGUGUUGGAGACAACUCACAAAGGAUAUCCUUGGCCUAUGAGACAAGGUGCAAUGGUAAUCUUCAAAGUGCCUAUAUAAGAAGGUUGAACCUAUAUAAGGAGAUUGAAAUACAACUAGAGUUCUUUGUUAGGAAGGAAAAUAGUAUAGAGAUGACAUAGAUCAAAACUCAUAUUGUAAAUAUAUAUCUUCAGCUUUUGAUACUAGGCUUCCUUAGCCCAAACUUUCUUGAUUUGGAGCCAAAUCUAUCUAGCCAUAAAGAGUUUGUAAACAUCUUCUCAAAGGGAGCUUACUGGUGGGUUUUUCCUGUGAGAUGUAUUAGGUACCUGUGCACAUAGAACCCAUUUGGAUUUGCCCUUGCUUAUGAUCACAAAGCUUAAAGCUAGUGCCUUCAUUAAGUUUUUUAGGAAUCCUGACUCAGGGGAGGUAUCUAAGGCUCUUUCUACCUAGGGAAUUAGGAUUACAAAAAAUUAUUGACUGAUUUUUACAUUAAAGCAUGAAUGAGGUAUGUAUGACAUGUUAAUGCAUGAAGAUACUAAAGAAUAUGUGAAAUUGACCCAUGCAAUAACUUCUACCAUUCGUGUAACAUCCUUUUAAUUGUGUUUUCUUGUUUUAAAACCACAUAAAAAGUAUAUACUUUCUUGCUUUAUCACUUGAUAUGUUUGUUACUUCACAAAUCUUCCUUGAAGUUUGUGUUUUUAGUGUUUUCUUGUAUUGUUUUUAAGCCUAAGUUAAUAGUUUGUUGCAUUACUUAUAUUGUACGAGUCUCUUGGGAAACAAUAUAUGGACUGAUCCAUGACAUUACUUGCCAAAAUAUCCCUGACAAAUAACAAGAAACUUAACCCAUUAAGCACCAAAACCAAAUUCAAAAAUCCAAAUCUAUUAUUUCAACAUUAAGGGCUUCAUUUGAACUUUUCAAAACUACUAUCACAACUCUAGAUCUAUUAUUCAAUUGCAUAAAAGAAGACAAAAAAUGCUUAGAUCUAAAAUGCACCAACCUUAUACACUUUGAUCUAAAAUGGCAAUGAAGAUCUUCUUGGGGUACUUCUUCUUCCUAUCCUCAAAUGCACCAUCCUAAUUCCUCUCUUAAGUACCACAUUGAUAAUACAUUGCCUCUUUUGCCCUACAAUUCCAAUACGCUCAAUCUUAAGCACAUUAUUCGCCCGCGUCUAGUCCAACCUUAUUCUAACUAAAAUGACAACACUGUUGACAUCGUCACUACUACUGACGACCUCAAAGUCGUUGUCAAUGAUCUAAACUUAUUUCAUCUUACUUUAUGCCAUUAAGGUUUAUGCUAUGUUGUUCUGCAUUGUGUUUCUUAUUUGUAUGUGUGAGAAUACAUGGUGAGGACUCAAGGGUGGGGAUGGGAGGGACAAGUUCGAGUAGUGAAUGGUUAGUAGGUUUGGGUUUCAAGAAUGAAAGAAAUAAUGUGUUAUGAGAUUGAAAGGUGGAGGAGGGAACAAUGUGUUUUGAGGAAAUGAUGCUUAAAUGGGUUUUUUUUUUAUUUGAUCAUUGCAAUUUGUGGCUGCUAUAAGGUUCCAUAAAUUGUUAAUCCUUUCAAGAAUACAUUAUUCAUGCAAUUUUUAAUCAAAAAAAUGUAAUAAAACAAAUGUCAUGUAAUUACUUAGCAUCCAAAAUAAAAGAAAAUGACUACAACACCAAAUGAAAUAAAAAGUUUGAGGACUAAGACUUGUCGCCGAAAAGUUCAAGACAGAAAUAAUAAAUUUUAAAAAAAUUAAGGAUGAAAAAACAUACUUUAUCCUAUUUUUAAUUUCUAGGAAUAUUUUUGAAUUUUUUAAUUUAAAACAAAAUAUUAAAUGAAUAGGAAUUAGAAAGAUAAAGAAACUUGUGUAGUAUGAAUUCUGAACAAAAAUAUUUUUUUAUAACCUUUUAACAAACAUCAAAAUAUAUAUUUUGAUCUCCGGAUUUCAGAAAUCAAUAAUAUUUCGUGAAACAAGUACUAUGGUUCAAAAUAAAUAGUUAUCAAAGUUAGUUUUUUUUUUCUUUUCCCUAAAGAGUUAGGCUCUAUUGGACCGUACGAUUAAGAUCGUUCGGUGAAAUUGAUCACGCUGGUGCCGCAUACCCUAGCGUUCCUGUUAUUCUAUUGUGGCUGAAACAAAACAGUGUUGAACGGCGAGGUAGAACGACGACCCCCUUCUGCGUUUUGACCUUCAAUCUCGUAAGUUCUUCUAUUUAUUAAUUUAUUUUCAAUUGAACACCGUGUGUUCAGAUACGUGAAAAGAUUUUAGUGUUGAUUCCAUGUUGAAGGUUAGGCACUGCGUGAAUGGAAAUAAUCUAAUUGAUGGAUGAGGUUCUGUGGUUUUUGAGUUUGUUGGAUAUUGAUUUUCGCCGUUGAAAUCUAAUUCUAUGCCCUUGUGAGGUGUAUUGGAUUGCAUGAUUGAUUUUUGUUCAUCUAAAGUUUCAAACUUUACUGUUGAAGUUGAGUUAAUGAUUAAGCUACUAACUUGUUAUCUCUUUGAUCAGUGGAAAAUUUGUUACAUAAAUUGUUGUACUCAUUUGAUAUCAACUGUCAUGGAAUCAUGCUCUUAUGAGGUGUCAAACUUCUUGCUUUAACCUAAUCCACUUCUUCCAGUGCUCUGCAACGAAUUAGGUGCUUUUAAUCCAUUGACACCCUCAAACUAAUUAGGGAUCAGAAAUCAGUGUCUAUGUACUUGUCCUCCCUUUUGUUCAAAGGAUAGGUCAUGUCAUUUGUUUGUAUUUGUAAUAACUAAUAACUACUGCUGAAUGCGAUUUUAGAUUUUACUGCUAUGCUCAUAAUAAUAUAGUUAACCCAGGCAUGAUUUUUUUUGUGUGUGUGAUCGUUGUGCUGUUUUAUUUUUUUAUUCCUCUUCCAUCUGGCUUGCUAUUUUUUUCUUUCUUCCUAAGGUAUAAAAUAAAAGUUAUUAACUUUUAAUACUCCCUGGACCAUCUAAUGUCUGUUUUUACAAAUUUAUGAAGUUUUUGGUUACUCUCACUUUCUUUGCUAAAGUGGCUACUAUGCCAGCUGCUAUAGUGUUUUUAGUGGUGGCCACCACCCACCAAGCAAUGCAUUUGGCCUUUAGAUAUUUGGUCUGUAAAUGAACUAACUAACAUCCUUUUCUUAUUUAUGAUUGCAUAUCAAAAUGGUCCUUCUUGAGAACCUGUGACACCUUUCUCUCGUCAUUGAAGAGAUGAGUACCUUUUUAUUUUUUACUAAAAAGCUAGUAUUAACUGAUAUAAUUAUUCCAUUUAUAUCUAAGUUCUAAAAUCAGGAUAAUAGAUCAGAGGGUAGAAAUUAUCUAAAGGAUCAUUCAAGGUUUUAAAUAUCGUUCUGUUACACCAAAAACGAGUGCAAUGGUUUUUCCCAUCAGCGAUACCGUUACAGGAUGGUAUUAUGGAGUGAAAAGAGUUGCGGCCACAACACGGCUUCGGAAAACACUGUUUUGUUACUUUUUUCUGCCUCUUUAGAAUUGAAACCUUUAGUUGGUAGCUUCACCCGUCAUCAAGAUUCAUGAGCAUAGAACCCCACCGUUCACCUACCAGACCACCACCGCUUGCAUCUUCCCAAUCUCUGCUCAGUAGUGAUUAAUUUGACUUCUGUGCAUGGAGGGAAGGGGGUUUGACUGUGUGUGUGCUUGAGUUGGGUGUGCCCAUGAAGGGUCAAGGGUUGGGGGAUUAUUGUGAAAGCUUCUUUCUUUCAAUGAUGUAUGGUCUAUAACAAUAUUUAGUCUCAAAUCUGUUCAGCAGUUCUGUUUUCUCUUCUUGCGUCUGUUUGUGCUAGUUAAAAAAUUGUGCCCCCUUGUCUUUUUUUAUUCACCAAGUUGGUUAUUGGUAGAUUUACUUUCCAAAGUUCAUUCCUUGAUGGAUAAUUUGGUGACAACUGAAAUGUAAUUGCUGAAUGCAUAAACUUGUUAGUAGACAAUUUUCAUUAUCAGGGGUUAAUUUGAUUAAUUACUGAGAAAUAAAUGAACUCUAUCUGUCUGCGGUUCAUCUUAUAUAGAGUUUUACAAGAAAGUAUAGGCAAAACACGUGAAGUUUAGCAUUGUUUUGGAUUUGCUUUCAUAUUAUUUGUUGAUGUUAUUGCAUCUUACUCUAUAUCUCUUCAUAUAAUGGAUAGCACUGUAAAAAAUGGUUUAUACUGAAUUAAUAGAAAGAAAAGGCUAAUAAUAUUUGAAAUGUUUUCCUAGUAUACUUGUGUUUAUUCUUAUUACACUUCUCUUUCUUUACCUUGAGGAUGCUUUAUUUUCAUUUGUGUAGAAUCAUGGCCAAAGCUGAAGGUGGCAAGGAACCAAUAAAUGAACAAGCAGUAGCAAAUAUGUAUGCUGCAAUGAGGUCUGAGCUCAACCAAAUUUACUCCAAAAUAACUGAACUGGAGAUGGAAGUUAGUGAGCACACAUUGGUUACCAAUGCCAUUCAACCACUUGACCAAUCUAGACGAUGCUAUCGUAUGAUUGGAGGGGUGCUUGUGGAGAGAACCAUCAAAGAGGUCUUGCCUGCUGUGCAGCGAAAUAAAGAAGGACUCGAAGAGGUUGUGGCAAGGCUUAACGAGGCGUUGGAAAAGAAGAAAAAGGAAAUUUCUGAGUUUGAGGCUAAAUAUAAAAUCAGGAUAAGGAAGGCUGAUGCUGAGGUGAAGGAUGAAUCUGGUAGGAAGGAAGGGUCUGCUCAGGGGGUUCUUGUGGGUCCUGCAGGUGGAAGUGAAUGAUUUGUCUAUUUUUAUUUUGUUUCCUCAAACUAGUAGCCAGAACUUGUCUUACAAUUGGGUGCAUGCAGUUUGAUGAUUUGUUUUAUAUGUAGACUAAGUGCGUGUCUGAAUUAGAUUCAUGUUCCGUCCAUAUAGAAGCAAGUAAAUGUAACUUCUGCAUCAUUUUGACGUGGUUUUGCUGCUUGAACGUGGAUCCAAGACGUGUUUCCAACCACGCUCAUUAGCAAGUAUACCUUGAUAUGACCUUAAGUUUAAUUGCUUUGGGCUGAAAAAAACUUAUCUUCAUUGGUUUGUGUUUAUGUAGAUUUUUGUAUGCAAGACUAGAGCAUAUAAUCGUGUGAUCAAGCUAUUUUGUCUCUCUUAUGUAUCGAUAUGUUUCAUUUGGGGUAAAAUGCUUUUCCUAAGCACCUUAUGUUUAAUUUGGUUUUUGAAACAAUGCAGAAAGAAGUAAUGGAAGAAGGUUUAAGGCAUUUUUUCAAACUAAUUAUUGAAAAAUGUAAAGAGAAAUUAUUUUCUGGUUUGGGAUAGUUUUUGUUACAAGGCAAAAACUAUUAUAUUAUGGUGACAAAAAUAAUGUGGUGUUUGUUGCCCGACAAAAAAUUAUAGUCUAAACUACUGAAAACAUAUUUGUGAACCUAUUUUUAUCAUUGCAAACCAGCUUUAACACAUUUCAAUAUAUAGUAAAUAGUCAAUUUAAUCUUUGGAUUUAUAUUUAGUUGACAUCUUGAAAUUAAGAAAAAUUCAAAUAAAUUCCUUCAUCAUUUCAUUCAAGUCUCUAAAAUUAACUAGUUUUCUCAUUUUGGUCCAACUCUAGGGACUUGAGUGUUAAUAAU
rnacentral:lncRNA from 1 species